UUUGUUGUUGUAAGGGAAGUGAGAGUGGUUGAUGUUUUUGUUUGAGCGCAUGAUGUUUUUCCUUUCUGUGAGGGAUUUUUCUUUUCUUGAGAGUAAUCUUUGAGGAAAAUGAUAGAUUUUUUUUGUUGUUGAUAAAAAUGAUAGAUUGUUUUUUGAGUAACAGAAAAAGGAUAGAUGUUUUUUUUGAGGAUCAGAAAAAAUAAUAUAUGCGGUUGGAACAGAGGCCCACAGUCUGGAGUGAGUAGUUAGGCUCAACACAAUCGCCCAACGUGUAGCCCAGCCCAUACUUCGGCGAUACAUAGUGUUCCUGAUAUUUUGGAUAUUUUACGCCAAGUUUCUUACUAAACACAACAGGCCUCUCGCAAUCUAAGAGGCUUCUUUGGUUUUGGGCGGUUCAACAAGAGGUAUUGCUUCAACACGUUGUUUCCCAGUCGAAGCUCUCUUCUUCCGACUAUCCUAGAUAGGGGCAAGAAUACGUUGAGAGAUAAGAGUAAAUGCUAGUAGUAAAUAGGACAAAAUCGUAAUUAAUCCAACAAGUUUCUUGGCAAAAUUUCUGAUCACAAAAACGGAAAAUUCAUGUUGUGUGAUUACAGCGGCAGUACACAUAGGAGUGACUCCAUUCUGAAGCAUCUGCCCAAUACGGGGGCAAGAUGUGAAGUUACAUCAAUAUAGUUGCUAACAUAAGACAGAGCACAAAUUUCAUAUCUUUGCUAUCGUCUAUAGCUUCAGCUCCGAUCCCUAAGUUAAUAUUCACAUCUUCUCAGUAACAAUGCAGUUAUGCCCAACUUCUGGUCACACAAGGAUCAUGGACUAAUUACAGGUCACGAUUACAACAUGAGCACAAGAGCAAGCAUACACAUGCCAAAAGACAGAAUAUGCGUUGACUGAAUAACCUGCACGGAAGGCAUUAGCACUACAUUAAUGUCCCUAAAAUCUACACCAGCAAAAAUCCUGACAAUUAGAAUAUAUUGUAAUACAGAAUGCCAAAGACAGUUCAGUAUAUAUUACCAGUGCAACUCAAUUAUCAACAAAAUGAGCUAACUAGUUUAACUGGGCAAAAAUGGAUUUGAUUGUGGUAACCAGUUAGAACACAAGGUAACAGUGUCUCACGUGCUUGAGGCUGGUGCGGGGUAGGUUCGACCUAGCGAGGGAGUGGAUCCAUCGGUGCAAUUUAUGCGGCCAUAUCUAUCUGCAAGGGGGAACGGCGAGAUGGUCAUCGAAGAAGCAUUAGAGCAACAAAGGCCUCGUGAACCUUUGGUUCUGUGGAGGGCAGGUAAAUGUAAAAUUUGAAUGAGUUUUGAUCAAGGAAUAUAUGUCUAUAUACUUAAAGCAAACAAAACACAAAUAUAUCCAGUUUAAGGAGUUUAGCUAUCACCUCAUUAAUUUGACCUCAACUUCUUUGGUGCUAUAGCACAUGUUUUCGCCAACAAGUGUUGUGAGGUGAAUGUAUGCCAUGGUUAACCGUUAAUGGCCAACAAUCUGGUGCAAAAACAACUCAACAAAAUUUUUAGAUCAUACUUUCAUAUAGGAAUUAUUAAGAGGGCUAUUACUAUGUACUACCUGUGUAUUGUGGAAAAAAAAGUUCAGAUCAUUUUACCUUUAAGGCUGCUGUAAUCUGCUCUAAUCUGCUAUACGCUCUGAUAGUUUCGAAUAUAGUUCAGUAGGCAUAAGCCCACCGUAGUUCCCUAUCAAGAAAAAAAGUGUGUUGAAAAUGGAAUCUUAUCAAAACUGUAAAGUAAAACACACACCACUGAAGAAAUCAAUCUUUAAGAAAGAAAAAUAGUACCUUAGUCAAUACAGCUAUCGCUGAAAAGUAGUUCCCAAGUAUAAGUGAUGGCCAGGCCUCAUUUAUUUACAACGGGCCAUCAUAUUGACAAGUAGCGGAAUAUAUAAAUCAAGUCGAUGUCGACUCUGUAUGGAGAAAAUAUCAGAUAUAGCCUGCUCUUAUGGAUUUGGAGUAUUCCAUAUUGAGUGUAAGCACCAUUUGCUGAAGGACUAUUUGCAGAACAAAAGAUUUCAAUACUAUGGGAAUAUUAUAUUGCAUAGCUGACCAUCUAAUUAUUCGGAAAUCUAUAAUUCUAGAAGCACAAUAAAUUCAAGAAUAUUAACACUGUGCCGAAUGCUGAAAACUUUUGUUGACCAAUGACCACCAACAUGUUUUCAGAAAAUUGUGCCACAAGCAGUAUAUGCAAAUACAAUGGAAGUUUUUCGACCUGCUAUGUGUAUGGCACACAAGUUCAUACCAUUUUACUAAGCUGACAAUGUUCACAUAGUUCAGGCAUCAAGACCGAAUGGUAAAGUAACUGAAACAAAGACAAACUGAAAGGCUUCACAAAGUUCUGUUGUCAGUUUUGAAUAGGAAAUGAUAGACAAAGAAGCUUGGAGCCUUUUGAGCCGACUAAAAUUACUUAAAUACUUUACCAUAAGGUCCAUAAGAACUUGAAAUCAGGUAAAUGUGGAUUUGUUUUUUUCAGAUGGCAGCUGUGAAAUUUAGUGGGAAAGAGAGCACUUAAUGAUAAACCAAAUCAUGUACAUGUGAGGCCAGGCACAACACUUUCUGUAACAUAUCCCCACUAUCUAGAUUAUCAUACUACAAGCAUUUCACAAAUUGUUAAACAACCAUACAAAGGAACAGAGAUAUGCCCCCGCACACGGUGCACUCCACUUGAGAAAACUAUAAAAGGGUCUUUCCGUCCUAUGUGUUGACUCGCUUAAACUAAUCAGCAUUAGAUGAGAAUUAGAUGGACUGCAGGUAAUCAAGCUAAUUUCUUCGGAAUUCAACUAUGCGACGUGUGGUUGGAUCACACAUACUGUACCUUGUGGAUAUGUCAAGUGAAUCAUCAACUGAACAUACAACAAACAGAACAGCACAAUUCAUCUACCCACCAAAGUGACAGACAUUGAUCACCGAGAUUGAAAAAUCAUCAGAGAUACACACUAAAAGAGACAACAAAAACAAGAACCAAUUGGCAUACAUAUUUGACACAACUCUGCCUUUGAACUGCAUGUAUGUGGCGCACAUGACGCCCACCGGAAGUUUGGCGAAGUUCCUAUAGACAGAGGGGAAGCAAAGAGUAAGCCCAAUUUGAGCGAUUUCAAGAGGAAAUUCAUCGUUUAUUACUUUUUCUGAUGGAGCGAGACUCAAAAGAACAAAAUCUUGCACUCACUGUAUCACGAGGUCGUGUGUGGAUGCCAUCCGCGGCGACCAACGCAUCCACCUCCCAAAGCGCCGCGCCUGGAGCGCGCCCAUGUAGGCGGCCACAUCGUAGCCCACGUCCCCGCUGGCGUCGAGCGCGAGGGAGACGGCAAGCUCGCCCCCGCCCUCCUCCGCCAGAGAGAUCUCGCCGGCGGCGUAGGCGAGGAGCUGCUGGUCCUGGGCGGACUUACCGGAUAGCAGGAGGAACGUGGUGGCGGCUGGGGCUCCGCCGCUGCUGCUAUGCUCGGCUGCGGUAGCGGGAGCGGCGACCCGGCGCGCACAUCGGUGGGGAGGCUGGCCAGCGCCGGCGGCGGCUCCAAUCGGUCCUCGGCGGCGGCGGAUCGUCUCGGAUCUCGGCGGCGGCUCGUAUUGGAGUAGAGAUGGGAUCGAGAGGAGUCGGCAAUGAAGGAUGGGAUCGAUGGAGCGUUUUUUCUGCCGGGUGUGGGGUUUUUUUUGGCCCGCGUGGGGUGGGGUGGGGGAGAGGACGAAAAAAACCAGCGAAAAAACCGGACGAAAAUGGUGGGACGAAAAUAAACCCGGAACGGAGACUACCAACUGAGACAUUAGGAGUAGAGAUAACAGACUGCAUUAUGUGCAGCUGUAAACGGCAACGGUGAUAUGAAUUGUUACUGAGAUCAGAGCGUGAUGCCCUGAAACCUUGUACGCAGAUAAUUGAUGGGAACGAGCUCCUGAAUGAAAGGACAGACACUGAGAAAGGUAUGCAUCAAUUCAUUCAAUCCACAUCUUGGCGGACCAAUGCUGAGUUGCCAACAGUUAAACACGGUGGUUAGGCAUAGUACACAUGGUUUGAUCGAUUGAGAAAUUAAGUGGCAUUAAUUUCUUAUGCUUGCUGGCGGCGGCACCGGUCUACUCCGGCGGCCGGCAUGUAUGCAGAACCUGACGGUUCUUACCGCUUGCUCGAUCGCCGGUUAAUCAAACCGAGGAGAAGAAACAUUUAUGCCCCAGUCGGUCCACAGGUGCAUUAGAAAGGGGAUCAUGUGAUAUUUGUGAUGUUCUCGCACUAAUUGGAUGCAAGUGACAUGUGUUCUUCAACUUUUAAAUUUCUCUUAUCUCAGGUUUGAUCUUCUAAUUGAAUGGGUGGAAUUCACACACUUGGAUGGAAGGAUUUGGGAUGUGCUUAGAUCGAUAAUCUAAUUAAGCAAUACAUGUUUAUAAUUUUUUAGAAAUGCACAUAUAAGAUUGGUUAGUAUCUCUUCACCUGCUCGACGAAGCUUGGAUUCGCCUUCUUGUGUGCUUUUAACAGGAAUAGUGUAAUUAGUAAUUAUUCCAACCGGCAGCAGCAUUCUAGAUGAUCCAGAUGUGAUUCCUCAUAUUAAGGUGAUCCAGCAACACUCUAGAUGGUUUCCCCAAAGAUGAUGCCUCCUCGAGGUCCACUUCUCUGCCGCCCCCAGCUCUGGUAUAGUAUGAAAAUCCUAUGAAUAAAUCUGAAGUUUACUAUUUGAUGCUUAUAUUUGUUGGUGCAGUAGUCCUUUUUGCUGGUCCACUCCUGGAGAUUUUGCUCAGUUCUUCCAUUUAGUCGAAUGAUUUGUCAAUACUUCUCUGGAUACAUAUGAUGCUUAAUAUUAAAUGUACCGAUGGAUCUAAUUACGACUUCUGAGUGCAUAAUGUUUAACAUGUAACCAUUCAUAAUCUUUAAAUGGUUAAGUAAGGCAAGAGCUUCUGACUAACCAAAUUGAUUUAUAUAUCGUAAAUAUCCUAACAAAGAAAAUGUUGAUUCUACUUCUGUCAUCAUAUGAACAUUUAGCCUACAUUCAAACUAUAGAUUUGUUAGGAGAUAAUUCCUCAGUCGACGAUGACAAACUAGAUAGAUAUCUAUUGUACCAGUAGAGCGUGAAUGUAUGAUGCCAAACACCUUUGACCCUUCUCCGUUACUCCUCCAUUCCAUAAUUCUUGUCGUGAUUUUAGUUCGGAUUUGAUCUAAACCUGCAAAAAUUAUGGAACGGAGGGAGAACUAGAUAGUUGCAUACGUUUAUCUCUGGUAGCUAUGAAAGAUAUGAUGGGCACACCUCGACAAACCACCGUAUAUCUCUAAGCCAUAUCCGUACUACCUGCACCUAAUAAAAUUUCAUAUACAUGAAGAUACUAUAUCUUGUUGAUGAUUUUCAUAAUAGACUAUACUAACACGUAAGUUGGUUGUGACACCAUGAAUUUCUCUUCAAAAAGCUAUGAACUACAGUAUAAAUAUUAAGAUCUCUGUACUACAGGGGAAAUGCAGUGAAGUUUUUAUCUACUCAAGAAUAUGAAGUUCUUAUACCACUCCAGAAUAUGACCAGCAAAGGAGGUCCUUUUAGACUUCUUAAAUACUGCAGCAGCAUAAAGCAUCGAUAAUCUAAUUAAGCAAUACAUGUUUAUUUACUCAAGAAUAUGAAGUUCUUAUACCACUCUAGAAUAUGACCAGCAAAGGAGGUCCUUUUAGACUUCUUAAAUGGCGACUCAUACGCGCCGGCGCGCCGGCCUAAUAAUUCGGCCGGUCCACUGUGAACCGUCUGAUUAAGUCAUCCGCAGUCAUACGAUCCAUGCGGUCGUCUUCCUCUGUUCCUCAUGAGCACGUACGAAAAAAAGACCCCUGCCUCUCAUCGCUCCCCUUCGUCUUGCCGGGUCACACGCUGCCCGGUUGCCGCACCUCGCCAGCUGUCCUCUUCAUCGGUCACCGCCCUCCGGACGUCCUCGUUGCCGGUCGCCGCCCUCGCCGGAUGUCCUUGUCGCCGGUUGUCACGCUCGCCGCCGAGCGCCGCACUCGCCGCUGGUCGCCGCCUGCACUUGACGCUGACUCCACGCAUGCAGCUGCGGACUGCGGUCACAGCUCCGGUGGCGACGGCCGCAGCUCACUGGCGUGCUCAUGUCCCUCGCCAUGGACGCAUGUCUUGCAUCUCAUGUCCAUGGAUGCAUCGCUGCUCUGGUCGGCACGAUUUGCAGCGCGUGACCCCAUGAUUGCAGCACCAGGUUGCACCGCUCUGUCAUCCUCGCCGACAACGCUCUCUGGCGCCCGUCUGUUGCCCCAUCGCCGCCAUCUCCUUGGGUCGCUGCUUCCCCGAUUAUAACCAUGGUAGCAAAAUAAAAGGCCGGAUGUAGCUUUUGUUGGUGCCGGUUGCAGGCUUGCACCUCACCGUGGUAGCGCGCCCGUCUUCAUCUCAGAACUGCUUGAUUUUGUUGAAGCAAAAAAAAACACCGGUUCCAGCUAUUGUAGGCAACGGUUCCAGCAUCCGCAUCGCAUGGUUGUAGCUCCGCCAUGAAGCAAAGAAUUGUGUGCCGGUCGUAGCAUCAUGCAGCUCCGCCAUGAAGGAUGUAUCAAAUUUCCUCGCCGGUAGUAGCAAAAGCAGACGACGGUUGCAGCAAAAAGGUCGUCGCCGUCGCACCAUUGCCUGUGAAUGCAACUCCCGUAGUGGUCAGUUCCUACCGACGGUUGUAACUUUUGGCGACAGUGCUUCUAGCUUCCCCGAGGCAACGUAUGCAGCUUCCGGCGACAUUGGUUCCAGCAUCUCCCCCGUCGCUUCCAGCAACCCUCGUGGUUGGAUGUAGCAUCUAAAUUUUCCGGUCCCAUCAUCCGGACGGUAGCUCACGGCAUGGAUUUGCAGCACAUAAGAGGGCAUGGUGUCGUCGCUCCCGGCCGCCCCUUGCUGCCAAAAUCGGGUGCGGCCGUGUCGGGAGAGAGGCCGACGCUGGCCCCCGUUCGCUUGCCGACUCCACGCUCACCACGGGUCACUGUCGCGCCGUCGUUCCCAACACCCCGGUGGCUGGCUGUGGCUGCAACAUUUUCUCAGCCGUGGUGUGCUGUUCAUGGAGUGGAGUAAAAGAGAAGACGGUCGUGUGGUGGUACCGGCAGGCUUGCGGGCGUGGAGCCAUGGAUUGGGAGCACGCGGGAUUCCGUGUGUGGCUAGAGAGCAAGAUGGAGUUUCAGGAAGAAGAGAUAAGGCAGCAGUGCUAUGGGUCCACAAAAACAUGUGGUUGGGACAGUAGGAGGGAAGAACCAGCGCCAUAGGAUCUGUGGCGAUCCGACGCAGCGUGCGCGUCCGGCCGAAGACUCGGCCGGUCCGCCGUUGUUAAACGUUUCCCUUCUUAAAUACAGCAGCAGCAUAAAGCAUGACAAGGUGUUACCUCUUGCAGAUCUUCAUACUUUUGCUCUCCCGUACUGCUGAUCAAUACUACUCGUAACAUGAAUUGCAGUUGUUUUGUUCAGCUAGUGAGGCUAUUUUCCUGGUACUUAGACUCUGUUCAUGUUGUAUGCAGUUGAGAAUAUUUAGUAGUGGGUAGAAUUUGUGUUGAGGCGAAAUUUCUUUCGAGGUGUCCAUAUCCUUGAUUAAUGCAGGCAUGUUUUGGGAGGGGCAUCUGUGGACAAAGAACCCUUUUGUAGUUCAAAUUUGACUUAAAUACUAAUACUUUACCGAGAAAUACCAUCCCAAAGGACAGGCACUGAAUGUGUUCUUGAAUUAAUUCACAGGCUGAGAACGUCUUCAACCAAGUUUUAUACUUCAAGCGUACUAUGAAAUAGGUGGGAGAACCAUGACUCACUUUGAGUCAACCAUUGCCUUCUCUGCAGUGCGUAUUGUAGUUCUCAUUUUUCAAGUCUUUGUUAGUGUUUCCAUGAUAACAAUUUCUAUCUUCCACCAUCGAAUAUAGAGUCUGAUUUGUGUUUAUAAGUGUAAAACAGUUCGCUACCUUUUUGCUAGGUGCAGGCUGCUAUCGAAGUUAAGGCCUCAGUCAUCAUUUGCUUCACCUCAUUUCGACGUGCGGCAAGGUAGAACGAAACUAGUAUUGCUUCGCGUAGGCUUACAGUUUAAUGCAAAUUAAUUCAUACACUAUCUGUCAUAUCUGUUAUGUAUGGUAUCUGCAGGAGAACUGCCAAGUACAAGCCCACCAUGCCUAUUACUUUUGUUGUCAUUCCACGUCUAAAACCAAACCAAUUGAUGAAUUGAAGUAGACCUCCAAUGGUGCAUCCAAAGUAUGUGAACAACCAUUUUCUUUGUAACCUUUUUGGUUCUUCCAUAUGUAGUUUAUAUAGCUAAUGAUUCAAAACUAGCAUGUUGAUCUUCAACUUCUAAAAGAACUUUAGGCUAAAGUUUUUGUGUAAUCCUAAACCUAACAUCAAACCAUGCUGACCAAUUAUGCAAGCAUUUGCCUUAUAAUAUGAUAGAAAAAGGUACUUAGUUUAGCAAUUAACCUUUAUCAUUUUCCGACAAAAUACACUUUAUUGUUUGCGUUGAUAGAACAUCCUUGUGGCGGCUGCACCUCGUUCUACUCUAGGCUUGCCGCCGCAAGUGGUGUAUCUCGCUUAGUUAGUUAGUUACUGAAUUGUUUUUGAUCGAUUCUCCAUGUCUGGUUGAGAUCAAUGCGAAUUAAUUGAUUUUGAUCUUUGUUGCAGGGGGUCUAGAAUGUGAAGAACCUACAAGGUGGCUACCUCCUUACUCAAGAGCGAGAAUUAUACGCAGCCAGCAACCGCUGAUCAACCAUCAACAAAUUGAUGUAUCUAUCAGCUAUUUUCUUAUGAAGAAGAUUUAGCCAGCUAGGUUCAGAGAUGAGGUUAAACUGAAAGUGAUUCUUUCUACUUCUCCAAAAAGAUAAUUCCGCUGGAGUACAUAGUUGAGUUGCACCAUGCAGUAGGAUAUUAGUGUAGUUCACAAAGGUUUCAGCAAUAAAUUAUGUCUUAAAUCAUCAUUAACAUGGCAUGUGAUUGUAUCUUGCACUAAUUCCAGCUGCUAAGUUCUCUAAAUAGUAAAGAAAAUAUUCUGUGGUAUAUGUUAUCAAAACUAAUAUGUGUGCUGGAAAUAGAUGUUCACUAGCAUGAUUCCUGAUUUAAUCUUCAUUUUUUUAAAGUGACUAAAGGUGUGUGCUGGAAAUAGAUGUUCAUCUUACUAAGUUAUAUUUGCGCGAAUACGCAAAGCAUGCAUAUAUUUUGAUUGAUAGAAGAAGAGAGAAUGAGUAUAAGUGAGAUACAAAGGCGUGAACACGUCGCCCAAAAUAGAAAAAGAAGAGAGACAAGGUGCUUGGCCCAACAAGCAAACGACGCAGCUAAGCCCACUAACUAGAGAAGCAGUCCAAACCACGUAAAGUCAGACAACCACGAAUUCACCACCGAGGACACUGCGAGCACGCAAGAUGACACCUUCCGGAAAGAAGACAACGCCGUGGCACCAUCGUCGUCCGAUCUGAAGAAUCAGACCUAGGGUUUCCCCUGGUGCUCGAAGAUGGGCGCGGAGAGAGGCCAUGACAAUGCCUCCAGGGAGGAGACGGCACUCAGGAGUGUCGCCGUUGCUAGCAUCAGCAAACCGAGAAGGGAUUUCUCCAUGGCCUAUGUCUGAGCAAUUCCAAAGCCGCCGGACCGGAACCGGGAGUCGGAAGCCACAUGUAGGUUGAAGAACCACCACCACCAGAGGGGAGCCACACUGGACACGCGAACCUUGGGCAUGACAAGGGAUGGGGCAACAAGGUGGUCGGGGUUGGGGGAGUCGGUUGGGAAAAGGGGGGCCGAUGCAGGGAUCACGAUGGCGAUCGACGACGCCGACAAGCUAGGAACUGGAGGAGACGCAUAUCCGGGUUGCCGGGCCCGAAGCCAUCAGGACACUGGAAAAUGUAGGUCGAGGGGCGCUGGGUCCGGAGCUACACCAGCGAGGGUUCCAGCGCAAAGGCAUGAGCACCCGUAGAACACCAGCAGGCACGCCGCAAGGGCUGACCAGCGCUGGGGAGGCACCACCGGAAGCACAUCAAAAAGCCGCAUCUUGAAGCCAUGGUCGCGGCUUAGAUGGAGAAGAGCGCCGUCGCGGCGCCUCAAGGACGGCCUGAGACCAGCAGAGGAGCACGCCAACCCCAAUCUCGGGUCCAGCGCCGUUAGUGGAGAGGAAGCCAGCGACAGGACAAACAGAUCUGACGCAGAGAUGGGGGGAGGCGAACGCACCUCGCCGGCGGCAAGAGUUCGCAGCGGGCGGUGGCAGGGAGGGCGGGGGAGGGCAGGGGCGAAGGAUGUCGCCGAGGACGUGCUGGCGGACGGAGCGGCCAGCGGAGGGCGGCAGGCGAGGGCGGGGGCGAAGGAUGUCGCUGAGGACGCGCUGGCGGAUGAAGCGGCAAGCGGCGGGCGGCACGAGGGCGGUUGGCCGGCAGGGGGCGAAGCUUGACGAGGCGCCCCGCCGCCACUAUCCUGGGAGCCGGCACAGGCUUUACCAGCCGCUCCUCCGGUGGCGGCGAGUUGCUGCGGUUCUGGGAAGGGGUUGCGGUGGUAAGGGCUAGGGUUCCCCGCCGCCGCCAGGGAGUGCGACGCGGGGGACGUGAGAGGGGGCGGGGUCUCUGUGGUGUCGGAGUGGUUACUAAGUUAUAUGAGUGAGGAUGAGGGCAGAAGGGGGAUUCUAAGCCGGAUACAAUAGCGUGUGGGGAAAAAAUGGAUAGGUUAGAUGUGAUUUUUGUGUUAAACCCUCAAAUAUAUAUGCCCCCCCCCCCCCUAGCAAUGCACGACACCAGCACUGGCAGUGACCAGUGUCGGAGGAUGGGCCGUGGGUACAAAAGGAGGAAGACAAAGACGAGGAAGAAGAUGGCGAUCAUAGAAUUUUACCACCGAAAAAAAGUGCUUACUUGCUCUCAUUGUAUCCACUAAAGAAAUUGAUAAAGAAAUGAUAUAUAUUUGAAGGAUUUCACUCGAUUCAUUUAGUCAUCAGUUUGAUUAUUUUUCAUGUAUUUCGCCCGUAGCAACGCACGGGCAUUCUACUAGUAAAGAUAAAGAAAGAGCACCAAGUUGUUUGUUCAUGGUUCGAUAAAUACCAAUCAACCUGAUAUUUUUUAUGGCUGUUCUACACUAACGUGUCCUGCUAUAUAUUUUUGUUUCAGAAAUUUCGAUCCGCAUAUAAUAAAAGGUCAUCCACACCUUGCUGCCCUGCCAAUAGGAUGACCACUAAUUUGUUUCAGAGUGAGAACUCCUCCUUUUGCGGGCCAAAAUAGUUCUUCCGCAUUGCUUGCUUCUGCAUAAUCACCUACCCACCUGUGUCGGUUUCGGGUACAGGUACCCUUUUGUUGAAGGCCAUUCAAGCUUUUCCUGGGAGUAUGACAUUGGUUACAUACUUAAGCACCGUAGCGUCUGGUAUGAGCCUCAUGGAGAAGCAAUCCCUAGUUCACUGGGCUCAUACUUCAGUGUUGCAGCGCUCGGUACUCGGACCUCGGUUCGAGGCAUUUUCUCUACCCCUUUUUACCCUGAAAAAGCAGGGUCACCUUGUGCAGUGUAACCAUUACAAGCAACUAUACAUGCAUCUUCAGAGAAAUACUCCUCCUGUAGGCUGCAGCAUAUGCGAAAUCAGCCUUUCACAGAAGGAAGUAAUACAACUUGAACUUGUUGAGAAACUUUGCUGUACUAUGCAGUUUGGAGCCCUGCACAAGGAUGUUAUGAUAGUAGGCUGGUCAUUUGGGUGUGUACUACUAUGUCAUGUCAUCAUUGUAAUCAACUUAAAUUAGCCAAACUUGUUGAGUAGCCAAGAGUAGUACCGGUGAGCUUGUUGAAGAGGAGGAGGCCAAGGGCGAGAUUGCUGAGUGUACCUCUUUUAGAAGCACUGGACAAUGCAUUCACCAAGCUAUCCAUGUCUUAUUUGAUGUAGGUUUCCUUGUGUUUCAUCAUCGAUGCGGCCAUCUUACAGGUAACCUUCAUCACUCUCAGGCUAUGAGCCGUCAGAACAUUGCUUUCUUCUACCAUCUCCUUGAGCUUCUUUGGAAGGCUACCUGCGUGAAACUUACAUGGCAAAUCUUGAAAACACAUAUGAAUGUGUCACAUACCGUCACACUCAUCGUCCUCCACAUGAAGAUCCUCUUUGUUCUCCUUGUAUUCAGGAUGAGUGGAAGAAGAGAUUUUAUCCUGCGCAUGGUANNNNNNNNNNNNNNNNNNNNNNNNNNNNNNNNNNNNNNNNNNNNNNNNNNNNNNNNNNNNNNNNNNNNNNNNNNNNNNNNNNNNNNNNNNNNNNNNNNNNNNNNNNNNNNNNNNNNNNNNNNNNNNNNNNNNNNNNNNNNNNNNNNNNNNNNNUAUUCAAUAGUUAUUUAUACUUUACUACAUGUAUCUUAUAAUUAUAAUUUGCAUCAUAUAAUCACAUAUAGAUGAUGUAUUAAGGCAUUAGUACCUUGGUCCUGGUUUACAGGUCCGGUAGGCAGCGUGGGCGCGUAUGUGUUUACAAGGCCGCUGCCUCGGUUGUGCUGUGAAAAGCAAAAAGGUGAACUCCUCAAGUGGCCCAUGUCUGUACAUCUCCCAACGCUCAACUAAUCCCCAACCUUCAGUUACCAGAUGUGGGCUGGUGCAUGCGAGAGGGAGCUAGCUGAUUGGGUGACGUUGUCCACACCAGAUCAAGGGAGAGAGAAAGUGCUAUUUCUCCGGGUCUACAUCUGCAAUACUCAUAUUUCAACCCCAGUUUGGGUUAGUGAUAUACUCCCACCGUCCCAUAAUAUAAGAACAUUUUUCGAGUUGAGGACUGAGGGAGUAGUAUUUUUAAUGUUGAUGUACCGAAGUGUUGUCCCUAUGCAAUAACCUCAUUAGAAUAAGCCAGGUCGUGCACAAGCAGUAGGAAAUAAUCAAGAAACCAGAACCCUCAGAAGUAGUGUAGUAGCAUAUAUUGUGCCAAUUGUGCUCCGGUAGACAAUUACUGACAAUGGAGUCUUUUUCUUUUUUGAGGAAAUACAAACACUGGAGUCUAAUACUACACUACCGGCUGGCUAAGACAUAGAUGAGUGUCUCAUCACUGAUUAGUGUCUGAUAUCACCAAGGUUCUAGGUCAGAGACCGGUCCCGGCACUUAUAUUACAUGGGAGCGACUGGAACCAGGUGACUGAGGACACCUAGUUCUCCAUGCGGAUGAUGCAGCGAAUGCCCUUGCCCUUGGCCACGAGGUCAAAGGCCUUGUUGAUCUCCGAGAACGGUACGCUGUGCGUGAUGAAGUUUUCCACCUCCAGUUCCUGAUGACAAUAGCAAGUUGUUAGCAUGAGCAUUGAGUUCUUCACAAUGUCGCAUUUCGAUGUAUGAUGACUUUGGAAAUGGGGUGGCAUCCAAAAUAUCUCAAGUCUUCGCGAGCAUUGACCAAGCUAUGUCAAAACUUAUUUUUUUUUCGGGGAAGCUAUGUCAAAACUGUCUACCUUCUUCACGUACAUCUCUACAAAAUUGGGCAGAUCAGUGCACGGCUUGAAGUUGCCGAAGAAGGCCCCCUUUAGAGUCCUCUCGUUCAGGAAGUUCAUUGGGUGGGUCUUGAAUUCGGCGUCCUUGUGUGGCACAUCGACCAGCACAGCGACACCCCAGCCCUGUAUAUAGAUAAAAAUAUUGAAUUUAAUGAUUCCAUCUAAGAGAGAAGAGACGAUGCAAAUGACCAUGUUUUAAGUGAAUGAUUGAUGUCUUGAAAAGCCAUACAUCAUAUGAUCACAUUCAAAUGCUUGUAUCAUAGCACUGAUAUUGCCGGUGCAUUCAACACUACGGUCGACUCCGCCGUUUGUCAUCUCAGCGAGUACCUAAAGAGUCAUCAUAAAGUAGUAUGUUAUGAUCAUUAUUAAGCAUAACAAAUACUACUUCGCAUGAUGUGAGUAAACGAACCUCUUGAACUGGCUUGCUGUGGUCUUUCGGGUUCACCAAUUCCGUGCAGCCAAAUUUUCUUCCGGAACAUGGACAAAAUAUAAAUCAUUAGUAGUAACUAGUAACUUCUCAAAACAACAAAAUAAACCCAUGACUUGUUCUAGGCAAGAACUCGUAAACUAAGCAUGCAAAACAGAAUGGUCAUAUAUAUGAUCAUGCAGCCUACUCGUCACAUCAUGAAACACACAUGAUAAGCAGUUGUUGGAUGGUCUGCUCAAUACAUAUCCCAUGCUCACAUUUUGUUACUCCGUCCGAAAAUACUUGUCAUCAAAAUAGACAAAAAGGGGUGUAUCUAAAACUAAAAUGCAUCUAGAUACAUCCCCUUUUAUUCAUUUUGAUGACAAGUAUUUCCGGACGGAGGGAGUAAGAGCUAACAAAAACUAGUGGUGUGUAGAAGGCAAGAUAUAUAUAUCCUUGCCUUUAGGAUGUCAAAGGGAGCCUGAUAUGAGUUCAAACUUGGGUGCCCCUUUAUCCAGCCUUCAAGAAGAUCUGAAAUAUUAGAGAAAAACAAAAAGAGCACGUUAGCAAUCACAGAGAGAAGCUGAAGGUGUGAAUGGAUGGAUUCGUCGUGUUCAACUAUGAGUCCUGUACCGAGUUGUUCGACGAGACGCGGAAGGUGAAACUUGUAGGCGCAGUGUGAGUUGGAAUUAUGUGCUAUGAAGAAGGGUCAAUGAGUAUCUGCUGCUACCGUUGGCCUGCGACGUAGCUGAGAAGCUUGUGGGCUACCACGUGUCGGAGGAGACCCUGCUACUGACAGACCGGAGCGGCAUGUUGCUGUUGAGCAGGAUGGAGUGAUUUUAGCAUAAUCUUGACUUCGUGUUUGAGUCUAGUUAGUUCUUAUCAGGAAUGGAUAUUCUAAUACUCCCUCAGUUCCCAAAUAUAAGUCUUUCUAGAGAUUCCAACAAGCGACUAUAUACGGAGCAAAAUGACUGAACCUACACUCUAAAAUAUGUCUACAUACAUCCGUAUGUUGUUGUCCAUUUAAAAUGUCUAAAAAGACUUAUAUUUAGGAACGGAGGGAGUAGUUAUCAUGCUUGCUUGCCGGGUGAUUAGAUUAUUAGAAAAAAUGUGUUAGAGCGGUUUGGAAUUUGAUUCGUAUUGGCAUGUAGCGUGUCUGUGCUUUUCUAUACACACGCGCUCCAUUGCAUGGCACAGAGAGAGGAAUGGGGUCCUCCUUGUCGGCCCGUAGGUACAAAGGGCAACCCGGCGAAAAAAAGAAGCUGGACUUAGACUGAUGCGCUACAACAUCCCCACAUCAAUUUUUGCUAAAGUGAUCGCUGCAACGGAAUCUUUUUUAUGCACCUUAUCAAACAUCAUGUUAACAUCAAUGCAUGCAUCCUAUUAAACAUCUUGUAAACCUUCUAUGUUCCUCCGCUGCUGCCCUGUGGGAGAUGCACCUCUAGUGAUGUUCACUUUUGCUUUGGCAAAAUGUCUAUGCACGGGAGGAAAGCCUAAAGCCUUUAUUGCGUCGCUGGAUGGGAAAGGUUUGGUGGCGAGGUGAGGUGAGGAAGAAACUGAAUAUGCAAAUCAAUGUAGUUUUGCUUGGCUGUUGUGGAUUUGAAUUGGAUGGUUGCAUCAUUCAUUUGCUGCUUUAGCUAUGGAAUGCCGCCGUUUGAGAUAUCUAGAUAGAACUGACUUUGUGUUCAUUUAUGUAAUGCACAUGAUUUGGCCAUGGUCAGAAGUGUAUGUGGAGCAUAGGAGAUUUACUUUAAAGAUGAUGCUUAGCCAAUCAGCAGACUGAGAUAUUACAACAGUUUCCCUUCGAAAGAUUUUGUUUCGGCAUAUCUGUUGUACCAUUCACAAUUCACUUGAUGGUCCUCCUUUACACUUUAGGCUAAUCUCUAUCGUGUUUUCCUCAGUUGUUGCAACAUGUAUCUCGUGAACAUUUGAUGCAUUCUCCUCCAACCAAAAACAUUGUUUCUAUUCACUUUGUUCAUACCCAAAAAGGCUUUCGCCCUGUUUUAUAUAUAAAGCAACAACCCUUAUACAUUCGAACCAUACAACACGGCAUCCAAACACACGCACCCAAAGCAAGAUACAAAGGUGCCAAAUAUCAGCUAAGCCAACUCGAAGCAAACGACAGAUGUACAGCAAGCAUCACCACAAAGAUGACGAAGGCCUCCAUCGAGAACAAGCCACUGUGAAGAACGCAUCUGACCGCUGACGAACCGUGAGCUCCAAGGUAGUGCAUUCAGGAAGGACACCACACCAGAGGGCCGCCACCACCCGGUCCAAAGGAUCAAUAUUUUCAUCCGGAGCAACACCGAGGAUCGGGAGAGACUGUGACAGAGCCGACAAGAAGGGGACGAUGUCCGCGGAUGCCACCGUCUGCCUGACCAUGGCCAGACAAGGAUUUCACCCUGCAUACCACUCCACCUCCGAUCAGGGUGCACCCGGACAAACAAACCUGCUGCUCCACAACCAUGGAUCGUCGAGCCCAAGCCACCCCGCUGCACACACGACCAAGGUCGCCGGUCCGUGCCCGAGCUGUGAGCUCCUCACACAAACACCACAACUUCCACCGCAGAGCCACCGCCCUGCCAUCCCGGUACCCCCAUCGGCUGCCCAUACAUGUGUCUUCGUGUUAUUUAGAUGUAACCGGUCUGUGGUUGAGUUUCGAGAAUUGGUGUAAAUGAGUAUUCUAGCUCUUGCAAUGGUGAUCUUGGUUUUAUCUUUCCACAGCGGGAGAAUGGAUAGGCCUUUUUUGCGGAAGAAAAUGGUAAAUUCAUACAUACCAUUUACGGGUCUAAUGAGUUUGUCUGUGUGUGGACCUUUCCUUUCAUNNNNNNNNNNNNNNNNNNNNNNNNNNNNNNNNNNNNNNNNNNNNNNNNNNNNNNNNNNNNNNNNNNNNNNNNNNNNNNNNNNNNNNNNNNNNNNNNNNNNNNNNNNNNNNNNNNNNNNNNNNNNNNNNNNNNNNNNNNNNNNNNNNNNNNNNNNNNNNNNNNNNNNNNNNNNNNNNNNNNNNNNNNNNNNNNNNNNNNNNNNNNNNNNNNNNNNNNNNNNNNNNNNNNNNNNNNNNNNNNNNNNNNNNNNNNNNNNNNNNNNNNNNNNNNNNNNNNNNNNNNNNNNNNNNNNNNNNNNNNNNNNNNNNNNNNNNNNNNNNNNNNNNNNNNNNNNNNNNNNNNNNNNNNNNNNNNNNNNNNNNNNNNNNNNNNNNUCUCUCCUGGCACUAAAUCUGUCAUCUAACCUGACCAGUUUUGCAUAUGGAAACUUAUAACAGUCACUGAAAAAAAUAACGCGCUAUAGCGCCGUUAAUGGCAUGAUAUAGUUUGUAGAGAAUUGUCUCACUAAACUAAUUAGUGUACAAUGUCUCGCUAAUAGUGCACCAUAGCACGCUAAUAUAUAGCAUAUUUUCAUGGGUGGCGCUAUCAUGUGCACCAUAGCAUGUCCAUCAAUUAGUGCUCUUCCCUUUAGUAAAUAGAACUUGCUUGGAUAUAUUGCUACAGAGCAGAGGCCAAUCUUGCAAAAUGCUCUGCUUGCAUGUUCAGAAACUACUUUGACUACUUUGAUCUGAGAAUUCCUCUGACUUGUGAAAUUUGUAUCUCAAUUUCUUCCUAGUAUUCUGAAAUUUCUAAACUAUUUCCAUGGCCUUCUGGUCUGUGUCCAGAUUUUUGAAUCUGCAUCUGUCUUGUUUGUCUCGUGACAUCUACUCCUUCCGUUCCUAAAUAUAAGCUUUUUUAGAUAUUUUAAUAUGGACUACAUACGGAGCAAAAUAAGUGAAUCUACACACUAAAAUAUGUCUAUAUACAUCUGUAUAUAGUCCGCUGAAAUCUUUAAAAAGGCUUGUACUCCCUCCGUUUCCUAAUAUAAGGCAUUUUAGCUUUUUCAUGUUUUGUACAUAUCUAGACAAAUUUUAGUAAUGUGUGUUCAUUCAUUUUAGUAUGUAUGUGGUCAAUAUUUUGAAAUAGCUAAAAUAUCUUAUAUUAAGGAACAGAUAAAGUAGAUAAAUUGGACUCGACAAACAACAAAGUCAGAUGGCAGAACCAUGGCCAUCAUGUUCAUCGUCAUCGUCUCAUCCGAAAAAGAAGUUCAUGACGAUGCCACAAGUUCACAAGGCAGCACCGAAAACAGCACAAGCCUUGGCUGUGUCUAAUUUAUUCUCCUUUAUUAGAGUACAUUACACUCAAAUAGUUCACAGUUCUCUUAACUUCCACAUUUAAGUCCAUACUAAAUCAAGUGGGUCACCGCGUAUCAGCACCAGCACACGGCAUCAGAUAGAUGACGAUGAUUCAGUGUUAUUAUGCCUGUAAACUUAUGUUGUGUUUUUAUUCUUCUUCUUGAACGUUCAUGCCUGAUAAACGCAUAUGAUAUACAUCCAUUUGAGGGACAAGAUUGGGACAAGCUUUUUCAGACAGAGGGAGUGUACUCCUAGAAAAUUGGUUUCGUAGCAGCUAGCACAUGGCAGAAAUUGGCCAGCUGCAACAAGUCAAGGGAGCCUUCAUUUUUUUUUUCACAGAGAUUACUGAAAACAAAAUGUUAUAUGUCGGGCCACCAUCUGCUACAGACGCUCUCUCUCGUUCGCUCCCAUUCCUUGUACAAUGAAGGACAAUGCAGGUAGCAGAGGAUGGCUUGCGGUAGUUGAUGUACAUGGAAACAGACUCUCUUUUGUCAAAAAAAAAGAAGAAGAUGGAAACAGAGGAUCGAUCAUACGUAGUCACCGCUGUGGUAUGAGAGAUUGUUGGUGUGUAGAUAAUGUAAUUAGGUGAGUCUAUAGGGUCUAAAAUGUAAAUUGUACAAACAAUAUAUAAAUCAGCAGAGAGAAUGGAUCGGUGAGGAACGAUCCAGAAAUUCCCCAAAUGCUCUUCACACUCCCUCCAAUCCCCAGCUCAAAUCCCUCAAAUCUCAGAUGAUUUUCAACAUGGCAUCGGAGCAGGUCAAUCCUGUGUGAUUUCGACCUUGGUGACGGCUAAUUGCGGUGCUGUGUCGCCGUGAUUUACGGCUGUGGGCACUUGAGCUGCGUCGUUCGCGAGCUGCCGCCGAGACCUGCGACAUCAUCUCCAAGCUACGGCACCGAGUGCUGCGCCCAAUCGAAGGUAGCCUGUUGACUGCCUCCCGGUGCAUCUAUGCUUACUCCCUGUGCUCAGAAGUGGAUGUUGUGCUGCCGCGGAAAAAUUGCUGGUUGCCAUUGUGCCGUCCGUCCAAGCAGUAAGCUGUCUUCUGUACUUCAUUGAUUAGUGCAGCCGGUACUAGUACUUGUGGCUGCCGUUGGAGAACCGUGAUUAGUGCAGCCGGAUAGCUCAUCUUUGCCUAGUGGCCGGAUUAAAAUACUUGUGCAGUGUGUGUGCAUUUGAGAGCAAUCUGCACUAGUAUAUCUGAUUGGCUAGUAUCAACUCUGCUUGUACUCUGCUUGUACUGCCUGUGUGUUGUUGUUAGUGGAGAUCUGCAAAAACCAAGUCCUGUGUGUCUGGUUUUUUCUUUCUGUGGUGGUAAAUCAUGGCAGAUCCAACAAAGGGGAAAUCAGGGGAUACUAGUGUGGAUAAGUUGUAUGAAAUUUUAAGCAAAGUAUUUGAACAGCAACAGCAACAACUCAAAGUGGUUCCUGAAGCUGUCAAGUAUGCACUUGAGCCUAAUCCAGUGAAGUUGGCUGGACCGGGCAAUUACAUCAGCUGGGCAUGGCAUGCCCAGUUAAUUCUGAGUUCUCAUGGCUAUGAAGAAUUGCUUAGUGCCGAUGAAGAGAAACUGAAAAGUGGUACUAUCACUAAACAGAUCAAUGAUAGAGUUUUGGUAUGGUUAUUAGGAAGCAUGGAACCACCGAUACGAGAACAAGUUGAGACUUUGACCACUGUAUUUGAAGUGUGGAAAGCUUUGGAGAAGCAAUUUUCAGGAAAAUCAAAUAAGAUGCAGGCUACUCGCAUCAUGCACGAGUUGACUAACUUGAAGCAAGGCUCAAAAUCAGUGACUGAGUAUGCAGGUGAGAUGAAGAGAUUGUAUAGGGAGUUGCAUUAUUACCAUCCUUUUCAACCCGUUGACAAGAAUGAUGUGGCUGUUCACCAUACCUGGUUUGAACCAUUUGUGGGCAAGCUCUUUCUUGAUGGCCUAAAUCAGGAGUUUGAUCUCCGCCGCCAGCUAAUAUUCUCCAAAACUGAAUGGCUAAGCCUUGAUGAUAUCAUUUCCAGUGUGAUUGAGGAGGAGACUCGUCUUGCUCAACCCAAUGAGCAUGUUCAAGAAAAAUCAGAUGCACGUGCAGCCCUAUCCAUACAAGCUCGUCGUGCUCCUAAGACCUUUGCUAAAAUAGAUAAAAGCAAACUUUUUUGCAACCACUGCAAAAGGCCUGGACAAACAAAGGAUUCAUGCUUUGAGCUGCAUGGUUAUCCAACUUGGUGGGAAAAAGGAAAAUCUCAGCCAGGGGGAGGUCAAGGAGCUCAUAAAAGACAUGCGAAUCUCACUACAUCCAAGAGGGAGCUACCGGUAGUAGAUGUGCGAGCUCUUGAGGAUUUCACCUCCAAGAUUAGACUCUCAGAAGACUUGUCUUCCUUCCAGGAUUCCUCUAAAGCUGAAACUAGUUUGCAUGCCACUUCACUCCAAGGUAUAACACCUCACAAGACCCACAAUUCUACAAUGCAAUCAAAAUCUUGGAUUAUUGAUACAGGAGCUACCAAUCACAUGACAGGAGCUUCAAAUAUAUUCACUUCCUAUACACCUUGUUCAGGUAAGGACAAAGUACGUGUAGCUGAUGGAUCCAUGGCACCUAUCACAGGACGUGGAUCUGUUAGGUGCACUAAGACAUUGUCCUUACCUCAUGUCUUACAUGUUCCUAAAUUUCCAGUCAAUCUCUUGUCAGUUAGCUCUAUUACUGAAUCUCUCAAUUGUAGAGGUUUGUUUUAUCCUACCUGGUGUGCUUUUCAGGAGCUAGAGACAUGGAGACUGUUGGGGACUGGGACCGUGCAUGAUGGACUCUACUAUCUUGAUGAAGGGAGUGAUGAAGUUGCUUUUGCAUCAUGCUUGUCUCCUAAUCAAGAACUACUACUACACCAUCGCAGGCUUGGGCAUCUCUCUUUUGCCGCAUUGUUUCGUAUUUACCCCUCUCUUUUCAAGUUGUGCCCUAGGGAAUUGCUUGUAUGUGAUGCUUGUGAAUUGGCUAAACAUACAAGAGGUUCAUAUCCUAGUAUAGGAUUAAGAAGUGCCAAACCAUUUGAAAUAAUUCACUCAGAUGUUUGGGGACCCUGUGAGGUUCGUUCGAUUUCUGGGCAUCGAUGGUUUGUAACUUUUAUCGAUUGCUUUAGUCGUUACACUUGGCUCUAUCUCUUGAAGCAUAAGAGUGAUGUGUGCUCAGUUUUUAAAGAUCUAUAUGCUCUCAUUAAAAAUCAACAUGGGGCAACUAUUAAAACAUUACGUUCAGACAAUGGUACAGAAUACAUGAACCAGGAGUUUGAACAGUUCCUUGUCUCAAACGGCAUUGAACAUCAAACUACCUGUGUUAACACUCCAGAACAAAAUGGUGUUGCAGAGCGUAAAAAUAGACAUUUUCUUGAGGUUGCACGCUCACUUAUGUUUACAAUGAACCUGCCUAAAUUUCUUUGGGGGGAAGCAAUAAAAACUGCAACAUAUUUGAUAAACUGUAUGCCUCUUCGGGUUCUUGGCCAUAAGACUCCUGCUGAGUGUCUGAUUUUGUAGUUCCUCCAAAGGUCUUUGGGUGUGUUUGCUUUGUGCAUGAUUAUAGGAACUCUGUUGGAAAAUUAGAUCCCCGUGCUCUCAAAUGUGUUUUCAUGGGUUAUUCUCCCUCUCAAAAGGGUUAUAGGUGUUGGUGCCCUUCGGAGCACCGUUUUUUUGUGAGCAUGGAUGUGACAUUCCGUGAACAUGAAUCAUAUUAUGGCUUAACCAGUGACACUGGCAUUGCCCUAUCUCCACCUGAAGUGCAACAAGAAGGGGAGGGGGAUAAUGAAGGCUCUCCAUUAAGCCCUAUUCUUGUUUCCACUUCGGAUGGUUUACCUACUCUAGAUAAUGCUCAAAAUCAGGGGGAGGACACAAAUAGUGAUGGGUGUAAUCAUGGUUCUGGUCAUGGAGACAUACAAGAUGCAACAGGAAACUCUUCACUUCCUUCACAAGAUGGUGAGCUUCACAGGCAUGAGGACCCAGGUACUAACAAUAAUCCCUCUAGUCUAGUCGCUCCUAUUAGCACCACAAGGCAGAGUGAUAACCAAUUAUCUAUCCUUGCUCCUGAAAAUGACCUGCCUAUUGCUGUGAGGAAACCUACUAGAAAUCGAAAUAUUCCAGGACACCUCAAGGAUUUUAAACAUGAUAUAGCCAAUUUCAUUUCCUAUAAAUAUUGUACUCCACCCUUCAAAAGCUUUAUUGCAUCUUUAGAUUCUAUCUCCAUACCAUCAAACUGGAAAAUAGCUAUAGAGGACCCAAAUUGGAAGGAAGCAAUGCUUGAUGAGAUGAAAGCCUUGGAGAAGAAUGAGACUUGGGAGCUUGUGGAUCUACCACCAGGUAAGCAACCUGUAGGUUGUAAGUGGGUCUUCACUAUUAAACACACCCCUGAGGGCAAGGUGGAGAGGUACAAAGCCCGCCUUGUAGCAAAAGGCUACAUGCAAACAUAUGGAAUCGAUUAUGAAGAGACCUUUGCACCGGUGGCAAAGAUGAAUUCAGUAAGGACACUUAUAUCAUGUGCUGUAAACCUUGAUUGGGAUAUUUACCAGAUGGAUGUGAAGAAUGCUUCCUUCAUGGUGAUCUCCAAGAAGAAGUAUACAUGCAUAUACCACCUGGAUUUGAGUCAAGUCAAACUGUUGGAAAGGUAUUGCGCCUACAUCGUUCUUUAUAUGGCUUAAAGCAAUCACCACGUGCUUGGUUUGAUCGGUUUAGACAUGCUAUGCUAAAGAGGGGUUAUCUUCAAAGUAAUGCUGACCAUACGCUAUUUUACAAGCAUACUAAUGGCAAGGUUGCAAUCUUGAUAGUGUAUGUCGAUGACAUUGUGAUUACUGGAGAUGAUUCCAAGGAAGUUGCAGAUCUGAAGUGUCAUCUUGCACAUGAGUUUGAAGUGAAGGACUUGGGACAACUAAGAUAUUUUCUUGGUAUAGAGGUCUCACGAGGGUCAAAAGGUAUUUUUCUCUCACAGCGAAAAUAUAUCUUGGAUCUGCUCAAGGAAACAGGUAUGCUUGGUUGUCGACCUGCUGCUACACCUAUUGAGCAAAAUCAUCGGUUAUGUAGUGAUGCUGGUACACCAGUGGAUCGAGAACGCUACCAGAGACUAGUUGGAAGGUUAAUAUAUUUAUCUCAUACCCGUCCAGAUAUUGCCUUUGCUGUGAGUGUAGUUAGCCAAUACAUGCAUGACCCAAAAUCAGUUCAUAUGGAAGCUGUAAAUAGGAUCCUACGGUAUCUUAAAGGGUGCCCAGGAAAAGGCCUCUUAUAUACCAAACAAGGGGACUUGCAAGUUGAGUGCUACACUGAUGCUGAUUGGGCUGGUUCCCUAGAUGACAGGCGCUCAACAUCUGGUUACUGUACAUUUAUUGGAGGAAACCUAGUUUCAUGGCGAAGUAAGAAACAAAGUGUGGUGGCUCGGUCUACUACAGAGGCCGAGUUUAGGUCUAUGGCUCACGGCAUAUGUGAGUUAUUAUGGUUGCAGAUUCUCCUAACAGAGCUGCGGCUGUAUAAGUACAAACCUUUGAUGUUGUACUGUGACAACAAAGCUGCUAUUGACAUUGCAAAUAACCCCGUUCAACAUGACCGAACCAAGCACAUAGAAAUUGAUCGUCAUUUCAUCAAGGAGAAGCUUGAUAGAGGGAUAAUUUGCCUACCAUAUGUAACUUCAGCAAGUCAAGUAGCAGAUGUACUUACAAAAGGACUCCCAGAAAAGACUUUUUCCAUGUUUUGUAGCAAGAUGGGUUUGUACGACAUAUUCACCCCAUCUUGAGGGGGAGUGUUGGUGUGUAGAUAAUGUAAUUAGGUGAGUCUAUAGGGUCUAAAAUGUAAAUUGUACAAAGAAUAUAUAAAUCAGCAGAGAGAAUGGAUCGGUGAGGAACGAUCCAGAAAUUCCCCAAAUGCUCUUCACACUCCCUCCAAUCCCUAGCUCAAAUCCCUCAAAUCUCAGAUGAUUUUCAACAGAGAUUUAUAGCGCCGGUUGAUUAGCUUCUUUGGGGUGGGGCUGGCACUAGAUUACAUACAGAGAGGAAUUAACAAUGGACUAUAGGCGUCCUGUGGCUUGCUGCGAAAUUGGGAACAUGAUUAGAGACCCCGGAUGUAUAUAUAGAAGUCCUACAUAUACGCCAUUGUCUUAGGAUGUCAAAGUGUGUGUGGUAUGAUUACAACUUUGCUUCUCUCCCUAUCCAGCUCCGGACUAUCUAAAAUAUUGGAGGAGAACAAAUACAUAUAUCCUACCCUGCCUAAUCCCUUUCCUCGUCUUGCUCCUCACGGACGACAUAAUCUCGCAACCAAGUCCCUUCCAAUUUACAACAAGCACCCUCAAGUCUUCGUUUCCUUACAAACAAGGUCAAAAUUUUGACAGUCGGGCCAAACAUCACCGGAAAUUUUGGCAGCAUAACGCGUCGGUUUUUGGGAACAAAGAAUCGGAACAUGCAUGCAUGCAUGCACAAAUGGCACCACAAAUCGCCCCACGACCAACCACGUGCGCCAAGGCAGUGUUCUUUGUUUAGCUCACAACCACAUAGAUUAAAUGUGCCGCCGCGCUGAUUGCUGGCACUAGAUUAGGUACAGACAGGAAUUAACAAUGGACUAUAGGCGUCCUGUUUCUUUACAGAACAACCUCAUGUAGUCAGUUGGUCAGUCAGUGCUCUGCUUCUAUAGCCCUGUUUCCACCCUAUUCCUGAACCAGCGUUUAAGUUAGAUCAGAGGGUUAAAAAUUUCAGUGAUUUUUUUAAAUUUUGCAUAAUUCAGUGGGGUUCCAAAUAUUUUUAAACUUGAAAUUUCGAGGCAGAUUCAAAAUGAUUUCAAAUAAAUUUAAAUUGUUUUAGAAUUCAUCAAAAUUAAGUGUAAUUUGAAAUAUCCAAAUCCGAAAUAAUUUCUUAAAUAUAUCAAAGCACCUUUUCUAGUCUGUUUAGGUAUCAUCUUCUGUAGAGUAGAACACAAUGCAUGCAUUUGGAUACUGUUUAUAGCUAACUAGCAUGGCAGACUGGAUUAAUCAUGUUAUUAGUGUCAACGAUAUCUGAAAUACACUUGUUCCGUUUGGGGUGUGGAUUGUUUGUCCUUAUGAUGCAGGAGGAAAUUGCAAUUGCUUCCAGUUAUCUUGUUCAGACUGUUUUUAUCGGAGGAAAACAGGACGAAUUAAUACCACAUGGAAAGGGAAAAUGUGUUUGCUUCAAACUGUCUUGUUCAGAUAAUUUUUAUAGAAGGAAAACAUGACUAAUUAAUAAAGCAUGAAAAAAAAGAAAAAAAAGUAAUGUGGGUGUAUUAUCAUUCCUCAAAUUUGUACUAGUUGGGAUACAAGUUGGCGCCAAAAGUGAUCCAUGAGGGGCUCUCGCAGGUUGUAAUCCUAAUUAGUUGCUCUCCCAUUAAAUGCAUUCAGCCUUCUCAAGAAGCCCCAGUAAUCAUGGGCCCAUGAAAAGGAUAUUCAUGGAAGAUAAGGACAAGAGGUCCUAUCUGGCGCUUUGGGUGUCGCGAAGAUCUACAUCGCUUGCACACAAGGCACAGUGAGGCAGAACCAUUAGCGCCAUUGUUCCCCUCAGCUGCUUCUCUCGCUAGCUCGUUCCCCGUUCUAUCUCUUGCUCGUUGGUUAGCAGAAAGAACCAGUAGUUACAGGUUCAUGAAGAAAAUGACUUCUGAUUUUUUUACAUGAUAGCUUAUUUUUUUGUUACAUUCAAAAGAAUAUACAAAUUCUAAAAAAAUUAUGAAUUUGUUCAAAAUUUUAAAAAAUGCUCAUGAACUUGAAAAAUGUGGAAAUAUAUUGAGAAUGUCUAUGAUCUAAAAAAAUUAUGGAUUUGAAAAGUGUUCAAAAUAUUUGAAAAUGUCCACAAAUGUUGCAUGAAUUCGAAAAAAAAUUCAAAAUAUUGCUCAUAAUUUUUUUAAACAAUGAAAAGAGUAAAAGAAAGAAAAAAAUAGAAAACAAAAAAUAUUGUAUCGGAAAACCCCCGACAGAAAGCUCCGGUGUGCACUAUGUACAAAAGGGUGAUUUUUUCUAUUAAGAGAAAAACAUGAAUGAAUACAAAGUGCAGUUUAGAGCAAGUAAGCCCAACAUAAUAAGUGUCAUGUGCCUCUCUAUUUGCCGAGGCCCCGAAUCAUUAGACCAGCCCAGCCCAACUUGCCCACACUUUGCCGUAGAUUCUUUUCAAAAUGUUUUAUCUUUUGAGCCGUGCAUCCAAACCCCAAACCGUUUUCACCGUUGGGUUCCCCGCGUCGAGAUCUUUGAAACCAGAUCUUUCAUAGGUUUGAAACAUGGCGGUGGCUGAGAGCAUGUCAAGUGACGCACGGUUAGCGCAUCCGAAGUGACCUUUGAGGGGCUCCCUCAAUUUGCACGCCUAGUUAGUCGCUCUCCCAUUACAUGCAUCCAGCCUUCUCGGGAAGACCCAGUAAUUCUGGGCCUAUGAAAAGGGAAUUCAUGAAAGAUAAGGACAGGAGCUCCUAUCUAUCUGGCACUUCAGACGUUGCGAAGAUCAACAUCGCUUGCGUGGAAGGCACGGUGACCCAUGGCCAAUUAGCGCGCUUGCUCCCCUCAGCUGCUUCACUCGCUAGCCCGGUCACCGUUCUGUCGCUUACUCAUUGUCUAGUAAAAAGAACCAGUAGCUAGAGGUUCAUGAAGAAAAUGACUUUUGAUGUUUAUAGAUUUUUUUGACAUGAUAGAUCAUUUUUGUUACAUUCAAAAAAGUUUACGAAUUUUAAAAGGAUUAUGAAUUUGUUCACAAAUUUGAAAAAAUGUUCAUAGAUUUAAAAAAUGCUCAUGAACUUGAAAAAUUGUUGUCAUAUUUUGAAAAUGUUUAUGGAUUUAAAAAUGUUCAAAAUAUUGCACGGUUCACAAUUUAAAUGUUGCAUUAAUUGGAAAAGGUUAAAAAAUGUUCAUUAGUUUUUUAAACGAUGAAAAACUAAAAGAAAGAAAAAAAACGAAAACAGAACAUUGAACCACAAUACCUGACGGAAAGCUUCUAGAAAGCUCCAAAAACAUGUUUCCACACGAAUGUGGUAUUAGGCAAGCACGUUUACUUCACUCGCUCGCUACAGUGUGUGAUAUGUUCAAAAACACUACCAUUUGGCACCUUAAGCACCUGAUAAUUUUGCUCACACCAUUCUCUCCUUCAUUAAUUUCUGCAGUUCACCUGUGUUGGAGGAGUUUCUUUCGAGAGUUCCAAUGGCAGAGCUGGUGGCCGCCAUGGCCAUCCGGCCACUGGUGUCCAUCCUAAUGAGCAAGGCAUCCAGCUCACUCCUGGAUGAGUACAAGGUGAUGGAGGGAAUGGAGGAGGAGCACAAGGUUCUCAAGCGCAAGCUUCCAGUCAUCCUUGACGUCAUGAAUGACGCCGAGGGGCAGGCAAAGGAGCAUAGAGAUGGUGCCAAAGCCUGGCUCCAGGAGCUCAAGACUGUGGCCUAUGAGGCAAAUGAAGUCUUCGAUGAAUUCAAGUACGAAGCACUCCGCCGUGAAGCCAAGAAGAAGGGGCACUACAGAGAGCUUGGCUUCGAUGUAAUAAAGCUAUUCCCUACUCACAACCGUAUUGUUUUCUAUUACAAAAUGGGCCGCAAGCUUUGCUGGAUUCUGAAGGCCAUUGAUGUACUUAUAGCGGAGAUGCAUGCCUUUAGGUUCAAGUACUGACCACAGCCGCCAGUGCCCAAGCAGUGGAGGCAGACGGAUUCUGUUAUCACCGACCUGCAAGACAUUGCGAGCAUAUCCAGAGACAAGGAUAAGAAGAAUAUUGUUGCUACACUACUUGGUCAAGCUAACAAUGCAGAUUUCACAAUUGUUCUCAUUGUUGGAAUGGGGGGAAUGGGGGGCCUUGGCAAGACCACAUUAGCGCAGCUCAUAUACAAUGAUCCUGAAAUUCAGAAGCAUUUCCCGUUGCUGCUUGAUAACCCACAAGUAUAGGGGAUCGCAACAGUUUUCGAGGGUAAAGUAUUCAACCCAAAUUUAUUGAUUCGACACAAGGGGAGCCAAAGAAUAUUCUCAAGUAUUAGAAGUUGAGUUGUCAAUUCAACCACACCUGGAUAGCUUAAUAUCUGCAGCAAAUUAUUUAGUAGCAAAGUAGUAUGAAAGUAAUGGUAACAUCGAUAAAAGUAGCAGUAGUAGUUUUGUAGAAAUUGUAACAGUGGCAACGGUAAAGUAACUAAGCAAAGAGCAAUAUGUGAAAAGCUCGUAGGCAUUAGAUCAGUGAUGGAUAAUUAUGUCGGAUGCGAUUCCUCAUGUAAUAGUUAUAACACGGGAUGACACAAAACUAGCUCCAAUUCAUCAAUGUAAUGUAGGCAUGUAUUCCAAAUAUAGUCAUACGUGCUUAUGGAAAAGAACUUGCAUGACAUCUUUUGUCCUACCCUCCCGUGGUAGCAAGGUCCUAAUGAAAACUAAGGGAUUUUAAGGCCUCCUUUUAAUAGAGUACCGGACCAAAGCAUUAACACAUAGUGAAUACAUGAACUCCUCAAACUACGGUCAUCACCGAGAAGUAUUCCGAUUAUUGUCACUUCGGGGUUGUCGGAUCAUAACACAUAAUAGGUGACUAUAGACUUGCAAGAUAGGACCAAGAACUCACAUAUAUUCAUGAAAACAUAAUAAGUUCAGAUCUGAAAUCAUGACACUCGGGCCCUAGUGAUAAGCAUUAAGCAUAGCAGUCAUAGCAACAUCAAUCUCAAAACACAGUGGAUACUAGGGACUAAACCCUAACAAAACUAACUCGAUUACAUGGUAAAUCUCAUCCAACCCAUCACCAUCCAACAAGCCUACGAUGGAAUCUCACGCAUGGCGGUGAGCAUCAUGAAAUUGGUGAUGGAGGAUGGUUGAUGAUGACGACGGCGACGAAUCCCCCUCAUCGGAGCCCCGAACGGGCUCCAGAUGAGCCCUCCCGUCAGAGAUUAGGGCUUGCCGGCGGCUCCGUAUCUUAAAACACGAUGAAUCUUUCUCCCUGCUUUUUUUCUCCGCGAAAGCAAAUAUAUGGAGUUGGAGUUGAGGUCGGUGGACAUCCGGGGGCCCACGAGGCAGGGGGCGCGCCCCCCACCCUCGUGGACAGGGUGUGGGCCCCCUGGCCUUGAUUCUUUCGCCAGUAUUUUUUAUUAAUUCCAAAAAUAAUCUCCGAGGAGUUUCAGGUCAUUCCGAGAACUUUCGUUUCUGCACAAAAAUAACACCAUGGCAAUUCUGCUGAAAGCAGCGUCAGUCCGGAUUAGUUCCAUUCAAAUCAUGCAAGUUGGAGUCUAAAACAAGGGCAAAAGUGUAAAGUAGAUACGACGGAGACGUAUCACUGCUCUGGGUCUGUGUCUCUAAUACCUUUGACGUGAACUCCCUGGCCAAGAGUAUAGUUGAAUCAUCUUCCAGGAAGAAUAUUGAUACAGACAAACCACCACUGGAUAGACUUCAAAAACUGGUCAGUGGACAACAGUAUCUCCUUGUAUUGGAUGAUGUUUGGGACAAUAAAGAGUUACGUAAGUGGGAAAGGCUGAAGGUAUGUCUUCAGCAUGGUGGCAUGGGCACUGCAGUGUUGACAACAACUCAUGAUAAACGAGUUGCUGAAAUUAUGGGUGCAGCUAGGGCAAGCCUACAAUCUCAAUGCUUUGGAGGAUCACUUCAUAAAGGAAAUUAUUGUGGAUAGAGCAUUCAGCCUGGAUAAAGAAAAGCCCGCUGAACUAGUGGAGAUAGUUGAUCAGAUUGUGGACAAAUGUCGUGGCUCUUCUUUAGCUGGAUGUGCACUGGGCUCUGUACUUCGUACCAAGACCACAGUAAAAGAAUGGAAGGCUAUAGCAUCUAGAAGCAGCAUUUGCACUGAGGAAACUGGAAUCUUGCCAAUACGCAGUGCAGGAAUGGAAGGUUAUCGCGGGGUGUCGUCAAACCAUCCAUGCAUCUCGCAAGAGGGAGUAAAGCUUGGACUUGUUGAGAAACUUUCCAGCAUUCUCUAGUUUGGAGCUUGCUGAGUAAUGGUACUCUAUUAGCUAGGGGAAUAGAUGCUGGUUUGCAAUUGCUUCUGAAACUGAACUGAACCUGCAGUUGCUCUAGAGCGAGAAUUGUUGGGGCCUUGGGUGUAGAGUGACUGCUCGGCGUUGAGUCAAGUCGAGCAUCACGGUAGGCUCCCGCUCCUGCGACCCGCUCCCACCCCCGAAACCCUCGCCGCCGCCACCUCCCAUGCCCGUCUCCAGCGGGAUCCGGCCGUCCUCGCCGGCGCGCGGCCCGGGUCCGCCCCUCACCCUCCCCGGCCCUUCCUUCCCCGCCCCUCCUUCCGCCGUCGCGCCACCUCCCCGGAAGGCGGCCGGGGCGGCCCCAGCGCCUCUUCACUCGGCUUCGCCUCCUCUUCCUCUCCCCUGCCGUCGCCGGUGGGCGCCUCCGGCUCCGGCCCGGGGGGUGCCGGCGACGGCAGGAUCUCCUCUCCCCACGCCCGUGUCCCCCUGGCCCGGGGCAGGGGGGCGGCGGCGGUGUCGCUCAGCUGGGCAGCGGUCUGGUGACCCGGCGGGGUGGCCGGCGGCGGACGUGGUGGCGGCGGGGCGGCGUGGUGGUGCGGGGUGGCCGACGUCGCGCCCCCGGCCCAGAUCUGGGCCCGGCGGGCCUCAUCUGGGUCCUAGCGGGCCGGCCCCUCGGCGUGGCCUCGUUGUCUGCGGCGCGGUGAGGAGGAGGAGCGGCUCGGAUAUGGGGCGUCGGCGCCGAUGGCAUGCCGGCAACAGCGCGAAGGCGGGAGCUUUACGGGCUCACGAGGGCUCAGCAAGGCCUGGUGUGCUCCUGCUAUUGCGUCCGGACGGCUACCGUCACUGACGGUGGAUGUGGGGCCCUCCCGCGUGCCGACGGUGCUGAUACCCUAGUCCAAGGGAAAACCCUUGGCAGCAGCAUCGUCAUCGUCGCAAUCCUUCUUGGAGGUGUUGAUAGGUGCCGGCGCUUUGGAGUCUUGGAGCCUAGUGGAAGAUCCCGGUGGGCGCAGCGAUUGCGAGGCUUCUUCGUUUUUGUUGAUCCGCCGUUAUCGGCAUUUGUUUCUGUUGCUCUUUCUCUAUCGUUUCUUUUGGGCGUGACUAUGCUGCUUCCGCCCCAGCACCUAUCUCUGUAUGGUUCGGUUGGUUGCUUUGUAUACAAAGCGGGGGAAACCCUUUUUUGGUAAGUCGAGCAUCACCGAGUCAAAUUCCAGACCGCGCCAAGAGGAUCUAAUUCGGAUUUGGUUUCCUGCUGGUCCUUUGGGUCUGCACAACAGGGUCAGUAGCAGUUUAGUCUUCAUGUUCACUGAUCACAUUUUUACUGUAACGCAAUGUAACUCUCUGUUUUUUACAUCCCAGUGAAGUGAUGGCAAGUAUAACAGAAGCUAACAUAACAUCCAUACUAAGUUCUUCUACUACAUGAAGGUUGGUUACUCUCAUACAGAACUAGCCUGUUUGCAAAUGCUAGUUCAAUCACUCGCUCAUUUAUGAACUUCUCUCCAUUCUUUUGGCGUGAGUUCCCUCCAACCACUCUUUUUCUUGUGUUUUUGGCAAGAGAUUGGAAACUAAGCAUGCAAGUAGACUAGUCAUAUCAUUCAACAGUCUACUCACAUGAUAGUAAUGUCCUGAUAAACGAUUUCCGAAUGGCCUUCUCAACACAUAUCCCAUGCUCACAAUAUUUUCUUUCGAAAGAAGAGCUAUCACAGAUUAGAGGUGUGUAGAAGUCCUAUAUAUACUUCUGCCUUAGGAUGUGAAAGUGAGUGUGAUAUGAAUUUAUAUUUUUCCCUUGCGUCUUUAGCUUAUUUACAUCUAAAAUAUUGGAGGGAAACAAAAAUGUGAGAGUCAAGGAGGUGAAGCGAAAAGGAGCUGAAAAUCACUAGCAUUGUCGUGUCUUACUUUGUCCACUUGAAGUCAAAUUACCACUAGGCAUGGUAUGUGGAUGUAGGAGCCACGGUGGCAAUUGUAGCUCUCGGAAGAACACCCACCAUUCAAUAAGUACGCCUUGGGGCAAAUGAUUCCAGAAGCUUUGUUUCAAGCAACAGGCUGCCAGAGGUCUAACUGUGUCUUGUAGACAUGACAAUGCCUAAAAUGAAAACUUUGAGGAAACCUAAUGGAGCGAUGCUUGUUUCAGGGGAACCAGUAGUCGGCAAGAUCCCAGUCCAGGGGAACCAGUAGUACUGGAAUACGGACGACAAUGGGGCCAAGAGUGGAAAUGUAGGAGUGAGCUAUAGGAAGAUCAUCUAGUGUCCCAUUUGUGAGAGUGUGUGUGUUUUUAAAAGGGGCAAGUGCCAUCCCUGUUAACGAAUCGAUGAAAUGAGAAUUGCCUGAACUAUCACCUACUCACCCUCUCCCUCUGUUCUUCUCAUCACCUACUCCCAAAUUACCCCGUCCGAUGUGUGAAUCUUGUACCACCACUAGCAGGAAAUGACAGUUUGACAGCGGCAAUCAUGGUAAUUUUUCUCUGUCAGCACUCGAGAACAAUUGGUGUAGGCACAAAUCUAUGACAGGACGGAUGUUUUCUACUCCCUCUGUCCCAAAAUAAGUGUCACUGAUUUAGUACAAAGUCAUACUAACUUUGUAUAAAUCAACUUAAUACAAAGUUAGUAUGACUUUGUAUUAAAUCAUCUAUAGUAUAAGAAAAACAAUUUAUUUCUAUUUCUAUAGUAUAAGAAAAACAAAUAGUAUAAGAAAAACAAAUCGAAUCAAAUUCAUGGAUUUACCACGACCUUGGUUGUGACUGUGACUCCAUAGAUAAAAAUGGGAAAUUUCUCUCUUCGAGACCAUUGAAAAGGGCAUUGAACGAGAAAGAAAUCGUCCACAGAUAAUAAAACUAUCAUAUGCCUUGGAAAGUGAUAUGAGGUGCUCGGAAAUGGUUGAAGUAAUUGAAUAGGAGGAUCACUAUGACUAUAGCCCUUGGUAGAAUUCCUAAAAAGAAAAUGAUCUAUUUGAUACUAUGGAAAAUGCUUAUACAUAGUAGUUUAGCAGUCGUGUUUGUUUGGGCACCCACGCUACUUGUAAUUACCAGUAGCGCUGGGCAGAUAGCACGCUACUGGUACGGCUUAGCAGCAGCGUGGGUUUCUUUUGGGCACGCUACUGGUAAGUGUGCCACACCACACCAGCAGAUCAACAUAUACUAGCAGCGUUGGUCGUCUACCCAGCGCGACUGUUAAGUCAAGAUCUAUAGCGCCUGUACUCAGAAACGCGCUACUAUUAUUUCUUCUAUGUGUAAACUUUUACCAGUAGCGUGUUUUUCCACCCGACGCUAUAGCUAGCAAAUCAUAGCUGUAGCGCGCAUCGGUAGCCAGCGCUAGUGCUAUGGUCCCAGUCCACUCCCACACCCCACCCACCCGAUCCAGAUCCCCUCCAUCUCCCUCCUCUGCCGGCCUCCCUUCCACCUCCUCUCCUCUCCGCUGGCGCUGGGAUCCCCUCCCCGUUCUUUUUCAUCGCUGUCGUCCCCGUCUCACCCUCUUUCCGAUCCAUGGCGUGAUCCUUCGCCGUGUACACGUCUAACAGGCCUCACGCGCGCGCAGCCUUCCUUACUAUCCGGCCGACCAGGCCCAUCGCCGUGGCCAGCCCGGGCUUCUCCCAGCCACGGCGUGGAGGUUGGGCAGCGAGGCGGCCCCGAGGGUGAGCCUAGUAGCGGCACGAACACAAGCGCCAGGGAGACAGAUGGCGGACGCAAGCGCCGGCGAGUUGGUGGCUCCGAUGCGAUGACUUCGCUAGGCCUGGGUGGCCGCUCCGGCAAGGUGGCAACUCCAGCAGGCGUCAGCUCGAGCUUGGCGCUAGCAGGCAGAAGGAUAGGUUGAGUACCGCCUGCCGACUGUUGUUUUUUCAGUUUCAGUUUUAGUAUUUUGAUUACUCAAUUUCAUGCUAUCAGUUGCUCAAUUUUAGUUGAACUGCAUUUGUUUGUAUCAUCAUAUGUUUUUAGGUGAUGCCUAUAUAUUCGUUCACGUGUAUGUGUGGUUUCUGAAUCACAUUUGCCAGUUGCCACUGGUUCUUGUGUGCACAAAUGAUCCAACUCUGCGCACACUAGUUCGUUCAUGUGUGUCUGCAACUCUGCGCUAAUCUUAACACUGAUGUGUUCAUUGCAGAUGGACAGACUGCUUCAUCAUUGGAUAAAAGUAAUAGCUCAUCCUACCGACAGGAUUAUUAUUCUCACUGUGACAACAAGAAGGUGAUAUUCGAGACCCGACCUCCCAGAGGUAUGUUCAGAUAAUAGGAGAUUUCUAUUGCAAGUGAAAACUAUGAUCAGAAUGGCUAAAGCAAAAUUUAUGAACAUAUCAUUAAGUGAAACAGAAAGAAAAUACUAUUGAUUCAUGCCUGCUGGUUCUGGUGAAAAGAAAGACGAGGGCUCAAAAUUCCUGGCCAUUUCAUUAUUUAGCCUCCUUUGGUAAAUACUAUUUAGUUGCAGAGCUCAGUGAGUGGCUGGUUUUAUGGAACUGAAUAUUUGAGCCAUAUUCUGUGAGUUUGUGGUAGUAGAGAAAUGUCAAAAAUGAGGCUGUAGAAUGUUAGGCACAUAUGAACAUUAUUUAUUAUUGAUAGAUUAUGCCAGCUUCCAUGGAAUUCCAGUUAAACUGCGUGCCAGGAGUUUUAAUACGCUAUUCUUGUAUGAUUUUUCCACUUUUCUAUGUAGUGAUCUUGCAUGUAACACCUGUCCAUUGAUCCGGGAUGUUAUGUAGUACGUGUGGCAGUGUACAUAUUUUAUCCAAAGAGAGUACAUUCUCAUCUUGGAACCAGGGAAAGCUCAUGGGUAGCACAAGUCCAAGCAUCUCUGUUGUCUUCCUGACAGGUAACAAACAUCCCUACUGUCUUUCAGCUGAGUAUUAUUCUCUCCUUUGUUUGGGCUAGACUUGUGGCUUAUGCUGGUAGGAUUUCCAUGAUGCUGACCAUUAAGGAUUAUAUUAUCAAGACAGUUUUUCACUGCCUUUAUUAAUUGUUUGAGAAAUGCCCAAUAUAAUUGAAGUUAACUUUCAUUUGGGCCAUGAUUGAAGUUAACUUAGAUGAACUAGUAGCUUUGAUGUUCAUGAGCUGAUGUCAUUGCUCACCUUAGUCAAUCUUAAUUUGAUCCCGGGACUAGCAAUCCCGUGAAAAUCCCUUCAUUUCAAACUAAUUGAAGUUCAGUACAAAAAAACAAUUGAAGUUCUAAUGUUGUGCUAAGUCAAACUUCUUCAAGUUUGACCAAGUAUAUAAAAACUAUUUCAACAUCUACAACACCAAAGUUUCAUCAUAACAUUGUGCUCUCCUCUCCCAACCCACUCGCCGCUGGUGAGUACUAUCACACAGAGGAAACUAUGUUGCUCUUCUUUUACUUGUUUUUUGAGGAAGCUGUAGCCUGCCGCACGUGCAUGGUAGAUUAGUUCUGCAAGUAGGUAGUAUCUUGGAUUCCGCUGGACAUGUAGCCAUGGAGAUAAAAAAAAAUUAAUGCUUUGCGUAGGUUCAUGGCCCUGCUAUGUGCUUGCUCCUGUCUAUGUCCAUGAGCAACAGCAAAAUCAAUCGUUUAGUAGCAUAUCAUUCUUAGACCUUAGUGCUUGUCCUAGAAACUGGAUAUACCGGAGUCCAUAGUGCUAGUGCACUUUAAUUUUUGUUAAGUUUGUACACCCUGCCCGAGAAAGCAAUAGCCGUCACUUAGCUUUUUGUUGGAUGCCUUAUAGAGGAUGAAUUGGUUUAUUUAUGUUUAAUGUUGCCCCUCUUACAGAUUCUCGCUUAGAGAUACCAAGCUUGUUCUCCGAGAGUUCGAGAAAUGUGGCGUUAUAUUGAGACAUCACUAUGGCCCAACAGAGGGUAAUUGGAUAAUUAGUAAUUCUGGACAUCUUUGUAGCUUGCAAAAACCAGAUUGCAAGUAAUUCUUAACAUCUUUGUAGCUUGCAAGAACAUAUCCAAUUUGACUGAUUGUAGGCCCGUAUCCAAUUUGAUUCAUUCACAGUUUCUUUGCCUUGAGUUUCAAUCAAUUGUACUGGUGUAGGUAGUAUGUUCAUAUCAUACUUUGCAAUGGAUCAAAAAUAAUCUAAAGGUGAAGCUGUAGUAGUUUGGUCUUGCUUUCUUUUGUUCACAUUGGCUAACUUGAUAUUGUAACAAACGAGAGCAGAAGACACUGAUUAAUGCUAAUGAUUUAGUAAAUACAUUUUUUUUGUGUUUUUCUUUGCCUUGUCCCGCCCAGUAAUGUAUUCUAUUUGUCUGCGAAGACUGAACUUGGUGCCAAACAUUAUAGAAAGUACUAAUCUAGACUGGUAUCCAUGGUAACCAUGUGCGUUCCUGGACCAUUUAGUUUGAAUAACCAGUGAGGAAUUAAGCAUAUAUUUUUGGCAUGAGCUCUUUUAAAUUGCUAGAUGAGAAGGAAUCUUAACUUAAUGGGUCUUGUGAAUUGUAAUAUACUAUUUGGUUGAACUGAUGAUAUUUGCAUACUAACAAGUUUUCACUUUCCCGGCGUGGACGCAGGGGUGAUCGACGCUGACUAGCAUGGCCCGGUGGGCACUGUGCUCUUCAACCCGGUGAAGCCCGGCGGCCACAUCGCACAGAUGAUAGUCCAGGUGAUCAUGACGCCGAAGGUCGCCGAGGUGGAGGACCUCGACGCCACCGUCCGGGGGGAGGGAGGAUUCGGGUCCGCCGGCGUCUGAACUCCGAGCCUUGGUACAUUCAUCUGGAGAAGUGGUUUGUUUAGGUUGGUGGUGAACACUAGGGAAGGUACCUACGUUUUGAUGAUGGUUGUGUGUGUCUGAUGUUAAAUGGAUUCUUGUGAUCUCUUCCAGUUGAGAUGGUUCUGUGACCUUAGUUUAUCUUGCACUGGAUGUGUCUCUGAUUUCCAUCCAUGAAUACUGCAUCUAAUUUUUACUAUUCUAAUUCCUAAUUAGCUAGUAGUAGCGUGGGGGAAAAGGUGCAUGCUACUGGUCCUAAUUAGCUAGUAGUAGCGUGGGGGAAAAGUGCACGCUACUAGUACAUAGGAUAGUAGUAGCGUGGGUUACAAAAAAGCCCUACUGCUAUCUUCAGUUACCAGUAGCGCUGGGACAAACAAGCGCUACUGCUAAAAAAUAGCAGUAGCAGUAGCGCGUCUGCCAGUGCUACUGGUAGCAAAAAAACCAGCGCUACUGGUAAGCAUUUUCCUAGUAGUGUAUGGAUGACUAGUUACGAAGGGACCAUUUCGUUUUUGUAGGAUGGUCUGGCCUAUUGCUCUUUCCUUGUGCUUAUUUCGCUUUAGGGGGUUGGUUUACAGGGACAAGUUUUGUAACUUCUUGGUAUACCCAUGGAUUGGCUAGUUCCUAUUUGAAAGGGUGUAAUUUCUUAACCGCAACAGUUUCUACCCCUGCCAAUAGUUUAGCACACUCUUUGUUGCUACUAUGGGGGCCUAAAGCACAAGGAGAUUUUACUCGUUGGUGUCAAUUAGGCGGUCUAUGGACUUUUGUAGCUCUCCACGGGGCUUUUGCACUAAUAGGUUUCAUGUUACGCCAAUUGAACUUGCUCGGUCCGUUUAAUUGCGGCCUUAUAAUGCAAUCUCAUUCUCUGGUCCAAUUGCUAUUUUUGUUUCUGUAUUCCUUAUUUAUCCACUGGGGCUAUCUGGUUGGUUCUUUGCACCGAGUUUUGGCGUAGCAGCGAUAUUUCGAAUCAUCCUUUUCUUCCAAGGAUUUCAUAAUUGGACGUUGAACCCAUUUCAUAUGAUGGGAGUUGCCGGAGUAUUAGGUGCGGCUUUGCUAUGCGCUAUUAAUGGAGCGACCGUAGAAAACACUCUAUUUGAGGACGGUGGUGGUGCAAAUAACUUCCGUGCUUUUACCGAAAAAGGCUUUCGCCCCGCUUUAUAGAUAAAGCACACCGCCACAAAACACACAACCCCAACAGGUUCAGACACACACACCCAAGUAGCACAACAAAGUCAAAAGGUACUGCUGAGGGCACAGCUCAACAAGCCCAAAGAAACAGAAAAGGAAACCGGGCGAGGCCGGGCGAGAGACCCACGGAGGGGGCUAGUCAGGCUCCGGCGGAGGGGGCGGCGGCGGCGGCGACAGGCGGACGGCCAUCGUGCGGAGGUCGGCGAUGAAGGCGGAGAUGGCGUUGCGCUCCAGGAGACGGCUAAGCGGCCGCCAAAGCUGCAGGAAACCCGAGAAUUUGUAGAGAGCGUCAGUAGCACGACGAAUCGGAGUGCGCUCAAUCACAAGCUUAUUACGAACAGUCCAAAGAGUCCAGGCUAGGGUCCCAACCUCCAGCCACCUAAUGUGGCGGGAGGACGGGGGGGACGCUUGGAGUUCAGCAAAAAGGUCGGGGAAGUUGGUGUGAGUCCAAUUUCCGCCGACAAGCUCGCGAAAACAGCUCCAGAGGAACUGGGCAGAGGUGCAAGCGAAGAAGAUGUGGUUAGAAUCCUCGGGGACGGCACAGAGGGGGCAGAGACCAGAACCCGGGCCAUUACGCUUGCGGACCUCCACACCGGAGGGGAUCCGUCCCCGGAUCCACUGCCACAUGAAGAUACGGAUCUUCAGAGGGAGGCGGACGGACCAAACCAUUGAGAGGGGGGGAGGGGCGGCGGAGGGGGUAAUGACCGCAUAGAGCAAUUUGGUAGAGAACUGGACAGACGGCUCCAAAUGCCAUCGAACACGGUCUUGGACGCCGUCAACCAGCGGCUCAUGAAGAGCGACGCACUCAAGAAGCUCACGCCAGGCGGCGGAUUCCGUAGGCCCAAAUGGCCGACGGAAAGCGAGGCGCCCUAAGUCAAAUAGGGCCCUAUCAACAGAGAUCAUGGGGUCGACAGAGAUAGCAAAGAGAAUGGGGAAGCGAGCCGCAAAGGGGGCGUCAUCGGCCCUACGGUCAUACCAGAAUAACGUCGAACGGCCAGAUCCUACCGAGAUAGAGGUACCAAUGCGGAGCACAGGGAGGAGCUGGACAAGGGACUGCCAGAACUGAGAGCCACCCGACUUCUGGCAGAAGGCAAGGGGUUGGCCGCGCAGGUAUUUAUUCCGGAUAAUGUCCAGCCAGAGGCCCCCGUGGCCCUGCGAGAUGCGCCACAGCCAUCGGGAGAGGAGGGCAAUAUUCAUCCGUUUGGAGCACAUGAUCCCCAAACCCCCCUGCUCCCUCGGCUUGCAGAUGUCAGGCCAGCUGACCAUGUGAUACUUCUGCUUGCCGUGCUCCCCAGCCCAAUAGAAGCGGGACUGGAUUUUGGCGAUCUCCUUAUGAAGAGAAUCGUGAAGGCUGUAGAGACUCAUAAGAAAUAAGAGGAGACUGGAGAGGGAGGAGUUGAUAAGAAUAGUCCUGGCCGCCUUGGACAGCCACCUCCCCUGCCAAGGCUCGCAUCUAGUCUGGAGCUUGGUCACGGAGGGGCGAAGAUCGGCGGCCAGGAGGCGCGAGUGACUGAUGGGCGUCCCCAGAUAGGUAGAAGGAAACGAGCCCAAGCGGCAAUUGAGUCUAUUGGCAAUGGCCACUGACUCCUCGGGAGAGUAUCCCAUCACCAUAACAUCGCUCUUAUCAAAAUUGAUCUUGAGGCCCGACAUCUGCUGAAAGCAAAGGAGGAGGAAUUUGAGAUUGGCGAUGUCCAUCUCCGAGCCUUCGACCAUGAUGAUCGUGUCGUCCGCAUACUGGAGGAUGGAGAUCCCCGCGUCCCCGGAGAGAUGGGGGGCGAUGCCUCGGAGGUGGCCCGCAGCUUUCGCCUUAUCGAGAAUGGAAGCCAAAGCGUCCACGACCAUGUUGAAGAGGAACGGGGAGAAGGGGUCGCCUUGGCGCACCCCACAAAGGGUAGGGAAGAAGGGACCAAUUUCGCCAUUAAUAUUGACCGCCGUGCGACCGCAAGAGACCAUUUGCAUGACUCUCGUGAUCCAUUGGUCGUCAAAUCCCUUGCGCAGAAGGACUUCCCGAAGGAAGGGCCAGCUAACCGUGUCAUAAGCUUUGUGAAAAUCGAUCUUCAGAAAGACCGCCUUCAGGUGUUUGACCCGGACCUCAUGAAGAACCUCGUGCAGGACCAAGACCCCAUCAAGGAUGAACCGACCCUGAAUGAACGCCGACUGAUUAGGGUGAGUGAUCCGGUCGGCCAGCAGGGUCACCCUAUUGGCGUACCCUUUGGCCAAGAUCCGGAAGAUCACGUUUAUGACCGUAAUCGGGCGGAACUGGCGGAUGUCAGUCGCCCCAGGGACCUUGGGAAUGAGGGAGAUGGUCCCAAAGUUGAGGCGGCCAAGGUCGAUCGAGCCCACGAAGAAUUCCUCGAAAAUGGCCAUGAUCUCGGGUUUGACCACGCUCCAGAAGGUUUGGAAGAAGAGAACCGGGAGGCCGUCCGGGCCCGGCGCCGAGGAGGGAUUCAUACCCUUGAUAGCCUCCCAGACCUCUUGUACAGAGAAGGGGGCCGUCAAGGUGGCAUUGUCUUCGUCAGAGACUAGACGGUCGCUGGUCCAGCAGUCAAAGGCAAGAGAGAGGCCGCUCCGAGGAGCGGGGGAGAAGAGGGAGCGAUAGAAGCCAUCAACAUGGGCGCGGAUAUCUCGGGGAUCCUGAAGGAGAGUGGCUCCCUCCCAAAGGCAGGAGAUGGUGUUGCGUCUACGGCGCCCAUUUGCGAUCACCUGGAAGUAGGCCGUAUUCGCAUCCCCCUUCAAGACCCAACGUUGGGCGCCCCGAAUGCGCCAAUAAGCCUCCUCAUCAGAGUAAAUCACGGAGAGCUGGUCCUCGAGGUCAUAACGGGACAUCCACUCGUCAGGAGAGAGACCGAUCGCAUCAGCCCUGAAGUCGAGGUCCUGGAUCGCCGACAGGAGAGCCUUCUUCCGCUCCCUGGAGUCUCUUCCCAGGUUGGCUCCCCACCCCUUCAUAAAUUGUCGGGCACGCUUCGCACAGAAGUGCCACGCAUCUAUGGCGGAAGGGGGGCGGGGGUGGGGAUGGCCACGAGCCUCGAUCCAACGAGCACUGACAGCGUCGGAGAAUCCGGCCUGGGAGAGCCAGACAGCCUCAAAACGGAACCGAGGGGGAAUCGGGGGGCGCUCAUCCGCGGAGGAGAGAAGCAGGGGAACGUGGUCAGACCCAAUCCGGGUGACGGCAUGAAGAGAGGCUAAGGGGCACCGGAGGUCCCACUCGGGGGAAACUAGGACCCUGUCCAAGACGGAGAGGGUCGGGGAGGCUUGGCGGUUGGUCCAAGUAAAACGAGCCCCAACCCGAUCAAGCUCCCUGAGGGCGAGGUCGGCAAUGAAGUCGUUAAACAUGUCCAUCCGGGCAAAACUAACAUUGCCAUUGUUCUUGUCUUCCGCACACCGCAACAGGUUGAAGUCCCCCCCCCCGACAACUACGGGGAGGGAGGCGGCCGAGAUUUUCCGGUGAAGUUCCUCCAGGAAGGAGGCCGACCUACUAUGGUCAGCCGGACCAUAGACGAUGAUGAUCUCCCAUUUGAAAUUGAGAGAUCUCUCAAAGACCUCCAUGCUGACGAAGAAUUCGCCCCGGUCCAUGCUGCCCACCUCAAAGGUGGCAUCCUUCACGCCUAGGAGGAUGCCACCCGAGUGGCCUGCACUCCCACUAGAAGGGAGCCAGUGCCACGCAAAUAGGUGAGAGCUCAGCCGGUUGAGCUCAGGGAGCGCAAAGUCCCGGCGCAUGGUCUCCUGCACGGCCACUAGGUCGAUGCGUUCAUCGCGCAAGUACUGCACUAACUGGCGGCGUCGGCCAUCAUGGCCGAAGCCGCGGAUGUUCCAGAAUAGGGCAUGCGUCAAGGAGCCAUUGGGGGGCUGCUUGACCCCAAGACACGAGACGCGCUGAGAGCGCGGAGGGCCGCCGUGCGGGAGCGGGUGCGACCCCGGAUCACCAGCUCGGCCCCCGAAGGGCGGGGGGCCGCCUGCCGCGUCCGAGGAGGGGGGGAGGGGUCUCUAGGGGGCGCCUGGGCCGGGGGAGGGGGAGCCGCAAGGGCCGCUCGGGCCUCUGCCAGUUUCCCAUCCAGAAUCUCCCGGGCCCGAAUGGCCCCAAUCUGGGCGAGGGGGGGACCCACCUCCCCACGGAAGAUGAUCGCGGAAUCGGCGACCACUUGGGCGAGAUGGCCCAAAGGGACAGAUUCAAGAGCAGAGAAGGAGCAAGACGAAGCAGAAGUAGAAGGGGGGGCGGAGGGCGUACCUGGCUCCAGGUUGCGGGCGGCAGCGCGAAGCUCAGCCCGCUCGGAGAUGGGGAGCGCCGGGUGGCCCGCGGGGUGAGCGGCGUCCAACCGAGCACUCCUGCGUCCGGCGACCACCGGGGAAGAGGCCGACCGGCCGCGGCGGGAGUAGGCGGCAGACCGAGGAGGGGGAGGCUGGGCCACCAGGGGGGUGAUGAUCUGGGCCGCCACCUCCCCAGAGGGCGACGAGGGGGGGGCCACCAAUCCCGGCCCAGCACAGNNNNNNNNNNNNNNNNNNNNNNNNNNNNNNNNNNNNNNNNNNNNNNNNNNNNNNNNNNNNNNNNNNNNNNNNNNNNNNNNNNNNNNNNNNNNNNNNNNNNNNNNNNNNNNNNNNNNNNNNNNNNNNNNNNNNNNNNNNNNNNNNNNNNNNNNNNNNNNNNNNNNNNNNNNNNNNNNNNNNNNNNNNNNNNNNNNNNNNNNNNNNNNNNNNNNNNNNNNNNNNNNNNNNNNNNNNNNNNNNAGGUGGCGAGGAGAUGAUGGAGGCUGGGGGAGGCGAGGCCGGAGGGGGGGGCGUCCGCAGGAGACGGCGACCCACCCUCAGGGGCCGCCGGCGCGGAGGGGAUGGGGCCGCCGGUCGGGUCGACAGGAGCCACCUUCGGAGCCGGGGGAGAGACGGGGGAGCGCGGAGAGGAGGCCGGGCAGACCACCAGGCCGACACUGGAGAUGUCGCUCCCCUCGGACGAUGACCCGUCAGGGAUCGGGGGGUCAUCAGCGGAGGGGCCUGGGGCGGCCUGGCGGCCCUUGCCCCCCGGAGCCGGAGGGGGGGGCGAGGGAGGAGGAGAGUGGGAGUCCUCGGACUCCCCCUCCUCGUCAGAGCAGUGGGAGCGCGAGUGGUGACGGCCGUGGUAGUCUCCGUCGGCCCCCCGGAAGUCGUCUGGGGGACCGACGUCGAGGGAGCGGGGGCGCCCAACGUGGUUGGGCGGCUCGGGGGCGAUCCUGAGGUCGAAGCCCUGGUCGUUGAAGAAGACCCGGACCGAGGUGUGCAGCCUGGUGGAGUCGAGACACUUGACUUUGACCCUGACCUCCUCCUCCUUGCGCAGUGAGAGCUCAUCAACCACCACCACCUUGCCCAAGAGGCGAGACAUCUGGCGGAUGACAAGCUCUGACCGCGCGAUGUCAGGGAGACCGGAGAUGAGGAUCCAAGCGGUGUCGAGGACGGCCACGACCUGGGCGUCGAGAACAGGCUCGGAGAUCUCAACCACCAGUUGGUUGAGGGCGAGGGUGAUCCGGCCACUACGCGUGCCGUAGCCGUAGCUGACGGAGUCGGGGAAGACGACGGAGAAGAUGUGGCUGGCGGUGGGGAUAACCACCCAGUCCCACUGACAACGGUAGAGGUGGUUGAGCUCGGCCUCGAUCAUCUCCGGGGAGGCCACCCCGUCAACGACCGUGACGAUCGCCUGAAGAGAGGGCGAAGGCGGAGGGGCAUCCGGGACCUCAAGGUGGAAGAAGCCCAACCCCUCGAUGUCGUGGCCAUACAUCAUGAGCUCGGACACCACCGGUCUGUCCGGACACAGAAUGGCGGGGUGGCCCGGAUCCUUGCAGAGGUAGCAGCACUGGGGGUUGACACAGGCAACCUGGGAGUGCCCCCUCACCCCACAGUUGAAGCAAGGGGGGCGAGGAAGACCGGAGACGGGGCCCGGAGCGGAGGGGGCCCCCGGACCCGAGGAUGGAGGGAUGGUCGGAGUGGGUCGGGCACCCCGACGCUUCUUCUUCUUGGCGGGGCCAGGGCGGCCGCGGGCGGGAGCGCCCCCAGAGGCCGGACCCGGGGCCGAGGACCCCGAGGCAGCGUGAGGCGGGACGUAGCGGCGGGUGUCCGGAGUGGGGAGGAUGCCAUCACGAACCGGACGGGCGGGGGAGGGGGACCGGUCCCUACGACGGGAGGGCGAGGGGGAGCGCCGGCGGCGCCAGUUGCCCGACGACUCUCGGGGCGAGCGUGACCGGGCCCGGUCAUCCCGACGGGAGGGGGAGCGGCGGCUGUCCCGGAGCUCCCGGAGCUCGCGCCGGAGCUCCUCCUCCCGUCGGAGGGAGUCGGGGGAGGGCCGGGACGAGUCGCGAGAAUCACCCCCCGCUUUGCGCUUCGCCCGGGGAGCCAGGUCCGCCUGGUCGCGCGGCAUGGCGAGCCGCAACCGGGCGGGAGGGGGCAGGGCGAGGCGGGCUACCGGCGUCAGAGAAGCCGCCGGACGGCCAGACGAGGGGGGAGGCGCGGCGAGAGGUGGAUGCGGGGCGAGGGCGGGAGCAGAAGGGGGCGGGGGAUCGGGGCGAGACGAGCCCGAAGCAGGGGAGGCGGCGCGCGAGGGAUGGGCGAGGGAGAGGCUUCGAGGGAGCCAGAAGGCGCUGGCCGGCACCUCCCUNNNNNNNNNNNNNNNNNNNNNNNNNNNNNNNNNNNNNNNNNNNNNNNNNNNNNNNNNNNNNNNNNNNNNNNNNNNNNNNNNNNNNNNNNNNNNNNNNNNNNNNNNNNNNNNNNNNNNNNNNNNNNNNNNNNNNNNNNNNNNNNNNNNNNNNNNNNNNNNNNNNNNNNNNNNNNNNNNNNNNNNNNNNNNNNNNNNNNNNNNNNNNNNNNNNNNNNNNNNNNNNNNNNNNNNNNNNNNNNNNNNNNNNNNNNNNNNNNNNNNNNNNNNNNNNNNNNNNNNNNNNNNNNNNNNNNNNNNNNNNNNNNNNNNNNNNNNNNNNNNNNNNNNNNNNNNNNNNNNNNNNNNNNNNNNNNNNNNNNNNNNNNNNNNNNNNNNNNNNNNNNNNNNNNNNNNNNNNNNNNNNNNNNNNNNNNNNNNNNNNNNNNNNNNNNNNNNNNNNNNNNNNNNNNNNNNNNNNNNNNNNNNNNNNACGGAGAGGGGGGAGGGGGGAAGGGGGCGUCGUCCGCGCAGUCGGCCCACCGGAAGGAGGCGCCCAGGGCAGCCGGCGCGGGGAGCGGCGGCGGAGCCGCGGGCGAGGGGGCCUGCAGGGAGGGAGAAGGGGAGGGCGACAGAGGAGUCUCGGCGGCGGCGGCGCAACCGGCUGCGGGAGCGCCCGCGGUGUCGCCCGUCAUCUUCCGCCACUUCCGUGCUUUUAACCCAACUCAAGCUGAAGAAACUUAUUCAAUGGUCACUGCUAACCGCUUUUGGUCCCAAAUCUUUGAUGCUCCUUUUUCCAAUAAACGCUGGUUACAUUUCUUUAUGCUAUUUGUACCCGUCACCGGUUAAUGGAUGAGUGCUAUUGGCGUAGUUGGCUUGGCUCUGAACUUACGUGCCUAUGACUUUGUUUCCCAGGAAAUCCGUGCAUCGGAAGAUUCUGAAUUUGAGACUUUCUACAUCAAAAAUAUUCUUUUAAACAAGGGUAUUCGUGCGUGGAUGAAAGCUCAGAAUCAGCCUCAUGAAAAUCUUAUAUUUCCUGGAAACACUCUUUAAUGGAACUUUCGUUUUAGCUGGUCGUGACCAAGAAACCACUGGCUUUGCUUGGUUGGUUGGGAAUGCCAGACUUAUCAAUUUGUCCGGUAAACUUCUUGGAGCUCAUGUAGCCCAUGCCGAAUGAAUCGUAUUCUGGGCCGGAGCAAUGAACCUAUUUGAAGUGGCCCAUUUUGUACCAGAAAAGCCCAUGUAUGAACAAGGGUUGAUUUUACUUCCACACUUAGCUACUCUAGGUUGGGGAGUAGGGCCCGGGGGGAGGGGGGGAAUUCUAGAUACUUUUCCGUACUUUGUAUCUGGCGUACUUCACCUAAUUUCCUCCGCAGUCUUAGGCUUCGGUGGCAUUUAUCACGCGCUUCUGGGACCCGAGACUCUUGAGGAAUCUUUUCCAUUCUUUGGUUAUGUCUGGAAAGAUAGUGUGACUUUGUACUAAAUCAGCGACACUUAUUUUGGGACGGAGGGAGUAUAUCAUUAUUAGAAAGGCAUCUGAGAAUCACUAUGACUGUGAAGAUGAUAGAAGCCUUGCAUCCAGCGCUAAUGUGGUUUUUCAUUAAUAUUUUUUUAUCACAACAUAAGCAAAUGUGUUUUCUCUUCUUACGUCUUGAUGACAUUAAGACUGAUAGCUCCUUGCAAGAACAGAUCUAAGCGUUUAUUUCUUCAACGCAAAAGCGAAUGUUUUGUUUCUGUGCAUUUCUGCAGCCCAGGCUCAUAUGCUAUUUUUAUUUACAAAUUAAUCGUGCACCAAAUGGAGUAUAUGCCAUUUUAUCCUAGGGCCGUAAUGAUGUUAAGAUUUUGAUGGAUUUUGUACAGUACCGUAAUUUACUAUUAAUAAUUCCUAGUUUGUAUGCCACUUUCUCCAAUAUUUUCCUCUAGGUUUCUUUGCUAUGAUAUGCCGAUCUUUGGAGGGAGCCAAAAACUUACCUUAAAUCUGUCAAUUUCCAUUUCAUUCAUCUUUCACGUUGCAAGCAAUGGACAUGAAAAACUGUCUGUUUUUACUUCCCAGAUGUGAUGGUAUGAGCAACUCCAAUAGCUCCUAUAAAAAUCUUCCUAAGAAGUCGUCUUACGGGGUGUCUGUACAAUUUAGGGGAGGUUGAUGGAUGACUAAUUUCUCAGUUCCCGUAAACAUGUACCCCUAGAAUAUGUUUUUUUUCCUAUUUCUCUUUUAAAAUUGGUCCAUAACACAAGGUACCUAACAUGUCACUGAGAAAAUGAAAGGUGAUGUCGGUCAGGGAAGGUCCGACGAAGUGGGCGGGGAGGCGCAGAGAAGGUCUGGCGAGGCGGCUGGCUGGCUCGAAGAGGUAGGCAGGCGACACUACCAGCGGCAGAGCAGUGGCUGCAGGGAGAGGUGGGCGGGCUGAACAGCGGGCGGUCGCCAGGCGUUGGCGGACAAGUGCGGGCGGCAGGUGAGGCGGGCCGACGGCGAGGGGGCUGCGUAGCGGCGCGAGGGUGUUCGAUGUGAAAGUUCAGGCAGUUUCAGCCCACCAAAAUUAUAUGGGAAGGGUCAUUUUCCUGUAAACGCAAGGAAAGUUUGGGGAAAUUAUAAGGGAUCCUGUAAAAGUUUCCGGGUUUACCGGACUUGUUGGAAAAUUAUUGGAGUUUACAGAUACAAGAACUAUUGGAGUUACUCUGAGUAUGAUCAAAACAAAUGUAACAUGAAUAUUAAGUCCUACUACAUGGAGGUUGGUUACUCUGGACUAGAUCAUUCAUGAUUAUCCUGUUUGCAAAUGCAACUUUCAUUCAACCAGUCACUCAUUCAUGAACUUCUGUCCAUUCCUUCAUUUCCGGCAUGGAAUUGGAAACUAAACAUGCAUGUAGAAUGAUCCAGAGUAACCAACUUUCAUGUAGUGCCAAGCAAGGUCACAAGACUCCGCAGUUUAACCUGAACGGCUCAUUCAACACAUAUACCGUGCAAAGAUUUUUUUUCUUCCUAAAAAGAGGUAACAAGGACUAGAGAUGUGUACAAGUAUUAUAUAUACCCAUGCCUUAGGAUGUCAAGUUGGGUGUGAUAUGGACAUGUUUAGCUUCAGUCCAUUUAAGAUAUUGGAGGUAAACAAAGAAAAUGGGAGAGUCAAGGUCAAGGAGGUGAAGGGAGAAUAGACUGAUUAGGACCACCAAUUUCUUGUCUUGCUUGUAGCCUCGAUGGUGUAGGAACUGUCGAUGGUGAGUUUGUCGUGAAGAGAGAAAGGAGAAAACCGCACUUGAAGAUUAGUUGCUUCUGCUCUACAGCUAUGGUUAGUGUAUGGUAUACAUAUCCUCUAUACAGGCGUUACCACCUACUUCUUUUGUUAGUACUGCCGUUCCAUCAAUCAUAAGUCUUUCAGCCGAUCAAUUAUGCAACUUGAUUAUUUUUAUCAACAGGUGACUAUAUUUGUUCUACAGGUUGUAGUGAUUGUCCUAUAUGUACCUGAUAUCUCCUCGGUAGCCUGUCUAGAAAUUGUCGGCAUUGUGCACUACACAAUAGCAAAAGCGAUACUAGAUGGAUGAGAUCAAUUUGUUACUUUUAUACUACAUUCACCAUUUAGCAUCAAUAGUUAAUAUACAAAAUGAAAAAUAUUUCAAGUUGUAUAAUAAAGUGAGAGUAUGCUUUAGUCAUGCUUGGUCUUUAGUAUGACCACCUAGCCCCGUUGAGGGGAUCUCGAUCGGACUGUCAUUGUUGUUGUGUGGAUGAGGGCGGGGGGAGAAGGCCUGGUUUCUCCCGUAGCAAAUGGAUAUAGUCGUCACUGAUGUUGUCGGUGUUUGAGAGCUUGGUUAAGUGAACCUGAAGAGGCGGGAAAUAUGUCAUUUUUCUCUCUUGGAUCAAAUGUCCCUUGUAAAGCGUUAUCUUUCUACCGUGGAUAUGAGAAAAAUAAUUUAAAUCAACAUCCGAGUAAUAAUUGCCAUAACUAUUAUUUGAGUCUGCUGGUGGCACAUGUGUUCUCUGCAGCGUGCCAGUGGUUGUGACACGUACGAGAGUGAGUGCGUACAUAUGUGGCUGUAUAUAGACAAUGCAGCUUGGCCACAUGUGGUGGGCAUGCCACUUAUUGCAAAAAGACCUGAGAAGAGAAGCAACAUCUUUGCCCUUGUGAAACACAACACACCACCGGCACUAGUAUGCAUAUUUAGCUGACAGGUGAACACAGUUACUACCUAGCUAGGGUCCCUGGGUGCUUAUAAAUAACAUCCCUGUGGAUGCUCCUUUAAAGGCACACCACUCACGCAGUCACGCUUAGCGUCGAUCUUCACACACUUCUUCUUCAACAUGCCUCCAGAUUCACCUACCCUCGCUCUCAAAGCGGCCACCAUUCUCGCCAUGCUUGCCAUGGUGAUCCUUCCAUCCGUGGGGAGCUCCCCGUCGCUGGGCCAAGAAGAACUAGUAACGACCCCGGCACCAGCAUCGGGUCCGGCGCUGGCGAUGCGGUGCAGCGAGUGUGGCCCACACUGCACAGGGAUGUGCAGAGUCUCUGUUCCCCCGAAGUGCCGCAAGUACUGCGACGUCCCCAGCUGCGAGGACUGCCGGUCUUCCGCGAUCGGCAAGUGCAGGGUAGGUUGCACCACUAGUAGCUGUGACUGCGACGGUGAGGCGACCCGGUCAUGCUAUGGCUUUUGCUCUGGCAGUUCUUCGUGCGCGGACUGCAUGAGGCUAACUAGUGAGCAGUGCACGAGUGAAUGCAACGGCAAGUGCGCCACCACUUGUACGAACAAAAUCAACCAAGGCAAAUAGGUCGGCUGGGCCUCUUGGUAUGUAUCCAUACCAUCUACGUAUGGUAUGGAUGUUGUAACUGCCAUAAUAUCGUACCUUUUUUGCAGUCAAAUAAAAAUCUGGUACCUUUCCUUUACUCCUUGUCAUAAAAUACCUCGCAAAUUAUUACUUGAUGGUAAUUUCAUUUGGAAUUACAACGCGCAUGUCAUGUGAUAUUUGUAUCUUUUACCAUAUUUAGUUUUUCGUUUCAUAGGAUAUAUUAGAUUAAAGACCUGAACAUAGAUGGUGGUGGUGGUGCUACCACACUGCCACUACUGACAAUGUUGCCACUUACUACUAGCACCACUACUACAAAUGUUGUCACUUACUACUAGCACUACCAUUACCACCACCACUACCUAAAUUUCAGUGAAAUGGAUCAUUCAAGAUCUACCACCAACACCACCACUACAACCUAAAUUUCAGUGAAAUGUUAGUACAAUAAAAGUAGCACCGACAUACAAUGGUUCAAGCAAAAUUUCAUUAUCAUAGAAUCAUCUGUGAUAAACUUGAGUAAGUAUGGUUGAUAGGAAGCAAUAGCUUCAUUUUCUCACAAUAAUUAUAAAAGACAAAUUGGAGACAUUAAAAUUUGAUUGCUAGCAUGAUCAGAUGCAUAAAGUCGUGCUUCGUGAAUAAAUUAAAAUUUUCAAUUGUAUGGAAGCAAGGCAUCAACAAAGUUGUGCUUUGUGAAUAAAUUAAGAUUUAAAUUGUAUGGAAGCAAGGCAUCAACGGGAAAAGCUUAUUUAUUAACUGAAGUAUGGCAAGUGUUAGGAAGCAUGAAAUUAUAUGGCAGCUCAAGAUAACUAUUUUUGGUUGGGAGAUAAAACAUUUGUAAUGUAGAACAUACUAAUACUGUGGCCAAUAAGAGGAUGCAUGUUUUGUUACGCAUAGAUAGGAAUUUAACCGAUUUACUAUUGUCUUGCACAAUGCACCAUUAGGUAUGAAUGUGACACAAACGGGAGAAACUGAACUCCCCGACGUGGGAUAUGGCGCGUGGUCAUGACGGGAAUGGAUCGAGCCAGGGUCAUCGUCACUCCACACGAUAUCACCUCCAUUGUCAGCCAUCAUCGCGAGGACACACAAAACUAACAGAGAAAUCACAAUCUACAUGCCAUGCAAAGAUCCAGGGUGCCCCAUCUCUCUGAGUAAGGGUAUAUGUUUUUUUAAUAAGGGCGGUAAAUGUGUUUGUUUAGUAACAUGGGUUUUUUUCUUUGAGGGAAAUGAUAGAUGGGGUUGAAACAGAGGCCCACAGGUGGAGCGAGUAAUUAGGCCCAACAUACAGGAACCAAAUUCUGAACUGGGCCAUGUUUUUCCCAGACCCAACGUCACAAGCCCAGCUCACAGUUGGCCUUUGUCUCAAAAAAAAAUACCUCACAGUUCGCCUAUCUGCGUCCUCCUCGCCAUGGCUCAAGGUACUCACUCACCCCCACUACCGCCAUGGCUCAAGGUACUCACAGUUCGGCACCAGCUUCNNNNNNNNNNNNNNNNNNNNNNNNNNNNNNNNNNNNNNNNNNNNNNNNNNNNNNNNNNNNNNNNNNNNNNNNNNNNNNNNNNNNNNNNNNNNNNNNNNNNNNNNNNNNNNNNNNNNNNNNNNNNNNNNNNNNNNNNNNNNNNNNNNNNNNNNNNNNNNNNNNNNNNNNNNNNNNNNNNNNNNNNNNNNNNNNNNNNNNNNNNNNNNNNNNNNNNNNNNNNNNNNNNNNNNNNNNNNNNNNNNNNNNNNNNNNNNNNNNNNNNNNNNNNNNNNNNNNNNNNNNNNNNNNNNNNNNNNNNNNNNNNNNNNNNNNNNNNNNNNNNNNNNNNNNNNNNNNNNNNNNNNNNNNNNNNNNNNNNNNNNNNNNNNNNNNNNNNNNNNNNNNNNNNNNNNNNNNNNNNNNNCUGCGGUCCUGUCUUCAACCUCUCUGGUGUCCUCUUCUGACCUCCCGUCUUACUUCCUCCGGCCUCGUCAAUGGGUACGACGACGGAAGCCAGUCCGGCCUUCCCGUCAACACAAGGUAUCAGUCCUGUUCGUCCAUUUCUUCCGCGAUUCGUCUCACAAGAAUUUAAUUGAAGGGGCACGCCCAAUGGAUGAAUCAGCAAGGUUAGGAAACAGAAUUCAGUUGCAUAGCCUGACGGACAGUGAUGUAGAUGUACAUAUGUGCUUUUCUAGCUUAACAACUCUGCGCUUUCUGUGGAUAUCACUUCAAAUAAUCAUCAAAUUUUCCAUCUGCGACAUCACUAUCAGGCGGACGGGAGGCAAUUGGCUUCGAAGUUCCGUUUCUUGAUGAAGUUCAUCCGCUCAGUGGCGGAGUUAUAUCCAGAAACAGAAAGGUGCCAUAGCACCCGGGUGGCCCGACACCCCCUAAUCCGGUUCGUCGAGUGACUUCAAGAUUCGCGUCGUGGAAUAGUUAGUGCAAGCCGCAUGCAUUGUCAGGUUAAUUUACUAGGCAAUUUGCAGAGACAAAACAGGACCUGUAGUAGCCUGUAGCAGGCAGUGUAGGGCCGGCAGUAGUGGGCACGGGUAGGCUAGAGAUAGCCCUGGACGAGGCUAGGUGGCCUAUCGGGAGAAAAGACAACACAUUCAAAAAUCAAGGACGUCGCUAACUGUCACAUGUGUGGCAGGAAAGGAGACGCACUACACGUCUCUUAUGCAAAUAGAUUACCACGUCAUCGCAUGCAUGCAUGCGAGAAUUGUUUUUGAUUUUCAGUUUUUAAAAUGUUUUAUCUCUUAAAUGAAAAAUCCGAUUGAAGAUUCGUUUUCAUCAUUAAAUCCCUCGCGACGAGAUCUACAAAACUAGAUCUCAUAUCGAUAUAUUUUGGUGAAUUUUUUUGGUCAAAAGUUGCCAUGUCUAUUGCACAUGAAUUUCCAUGAUAUUUACAUUGAAGUUGCCAUGAUAUGUUUCAACUAUUUUCUUUUACAUUAAAAUGUAAAUUUUAACAUAUUAUAAAACGGAGAAUUAAGAAAUUAGACUUGCCAUGCACCAUAAACUAAAAUUGCCAUGAUACAUGCACUUAAAAUUGUCAUGGUUCAAUAAAAAAAUAUUUUCAUGGUCAAAGUACUGGAAUUGCCAUCAUCAAAAAACUAAAAUUGCCAUGAUCUACAAACUAAAAUUGCCACAUGACAACUUUAGCUUAAGCACUUUGGCAACUAUAGUGUAAACAUCAUGGCAACUUCCGGGCAAAAAAAAAAUCAUCGAAACAUAUCAACAUGGGGUCUAGUUUUGAAGAUCUCGUCGAGACGGAUUUAAUGGUGAAAACGGAUUUUUAGUUUACUUUUUUAUUUAGGAGAUAAAACAUUUUUAAGCCGAAAACCAAAAAGAUUUCUGCUGAUGUCAUCUAUUUAUACGUGGCAAAAUGAGUGGUGAUGGAGGCGUGUGAGCGAUCUGCAAACGGCCACACGUGUGGGCGUUAGUUUUUCCGAAAAUCAAUACACUGUGGAUGCAUUGGCAGCAUUAGAUUGCAAAUAUGAUCGUAGCCAUUAAUAUUCUAAUCCCACAUUUUCAUGAUCUAAUUUCUAAAGGACUGGACAACAUGUUAUAGCCUUAUAUAGGGCUGAGCCACCAAAUCCACAUUUCUCUCGGUAUAAUUUCUAUAUGUUAAUCUGCAGCAUCUCCCGAUGAACCUAUUUUAGGAUAAGAAUUUUUUUAGAGCAUUUUUUGAUGUUUUUUUUUAUAAAAUCAAAUACAAUUCAGUGCAUUCCACAGUAGGUUUUCUGCCCCUAGCUAGUGGUAAAGAACAAGUUCAAUUCAGUCUUAUGAUGUUAUUAUUGAUGCCUUGUUCAAAUCAAAUGGACAAGCAUGUACUGUACUAAUCAGUGAUUUAUAUCUUAAUACCGAAAAUUUGUGCUGAUUUAUGAAUUUGUUGAUCCCGAGGUUCUGCUAAUCCGUGUACUAAUAUUUUUUUUGGGCAAUUUGGGUUAUUUUGGUCUCAUUAUGAGGACUGUGCUAAUAUGUGUUACAAAUAUGUUGUUGUGCCGACUAAUUUGUGCUAAUUCUGAAAAUAUGUGCGUCUAAUCGCCAAUAAUAUCAUGUGUAAAACCAAAAUGUCAUCGUUCUUGAGGACAUGAAAGCGCUGAUUCCAUGCUUUUCCUGCUGAUAUGCACUUUAGUAUAUGAAAAUGUACACUUACGUGGUGUUUAAAUUUUCAACUCACACUUAUAGAGACGUGCAGUGCACCAGCCAACUGGCGCAAGCUGUACAUUGACGGCAUACAGUUUCGGUCUUCCGGUCAACAUAAGUUAUCAUUCGUGCUAGUCCGUCUUUCUGUGACACGAUUAGCAUGACUUAAGAGGCACACCCAUCUACGUGCCAGUUGCCUGAAUCAGGAGGGCGAGGAAGCAGAAUUCAGUUGUGUAGCGCAACAGUGAUAUAUGUCUGCACUUUGCUAGCUGAAUAACUCUGUGCUCUAUGUGUACGUCACCUCAAGUACUCAUCAAGAAUUUACUCCUGCACGCGCUAUGCAGGUGGAGGAGAAGCAGUUCGCGUGGAAGUUCCGUGUCUCUGAUGUCUGAGAAGAAAGCUCUUACAGAGUUUUCGUCCGCUUGGUGGACUGGAGCGACAUCCAAGUUAAUUAUAGUGUCCAGUCAUCCCUAUAUUUCAGUGUUUCUUCUGUUUUGUACCAUCACAUUUCAUAUGUGCAUCGGAGGAAAUGUGCAUUCUACAUGAUGGAGAGGAUCAUGUCACACAGUCCCCAUUUACAAAGCCAUAGGCAGUGGCUGAAGAAUUUUUCUUCUAGUGUCACUGUUGUUCUAACUCUCUGUCUUCGAUUUUGGUGCUUCCGUAGUACGGUUGCAAAGCUAGGCUUCAUCUGAUUUUAGUUAGCUAAGCUGAUAAAGAGAAUUCCACAUGGCCCUUUAUUUCCAGCUUUCACUGUCUCACAAUAACAACACAUAUUAAGCUCACCAAACUAGAUCCAUACUCAUAACUUACCUUUCAUCAUUGAAUAACUGGAGAUUGCCAAGUUGUCUUUUAUCAUGUCAGUAUAUUAAGUAUUAUGUAUUUUCAUAUGAAGAAGAAAUAAUCAUCUGGGAUGUGGAGUUUCGGUGCUCGGGCGCAGCUGUACCCGAAAUCCCACUCGUUGGUUGUCGUCUGGGGAUUCCCAUAAUGUCCUCUGACAAGUCUGCAGCGAUGCGUUAGUAAUUCGGUAUACGGCGCGGCAGCGUAUGGUACAGUGCCUGGGCGCGGGCCCGAAUCGUAGGUGUGGCGAACGUCCCGUGUGCUUAUAAAGUUAUAAUUCUGGUCCGUUGACCAGAUAGUUUAGCUGUAGGCUGAGCCGUGGAGCAUGGGUUUGGCUCAGGAUCGCGUGUCUCGACGGCGUGUGUGACACACGAUCGUGGGGCCGCAGUUAUGGAGAGGCAGCUGCCGACAACUGAACCCCGCAAACCCUUCCUCUCGGCGGUUCUCGAAACCAGCCACCGCCGCGGGUCAGCUAUAAUCCAUCCCCAUUGCCAUUGAUGGCUGUUGCGGUAAGCGACGAUGGAGGACGCUGGCCUGGACUUCCUGCUGGACGCGGUCGACAGGUAAGAGAACUAUGCCCAAAUUCGAGAUCUAUCGUUUUUUUGGCGGCGAGGAGGAUACUGGUCGACACCUGAAUAUUUGGUGCUCCUCCACGUCUUGGACAUGUAUUUGCAGAUUUCCCCUCUGUAAAGACUUUGCAGAUUGCUUGGAGCACCCAGAUCCGGUUCCUCUGGCGCGGAUUGAUGCGCCGAGCGUUCAGCAGUCUGAAUCGAACGCUGGUUCCGGGUGCGGGCAGCUAGUUGGCGGCUGUAGCCAGGAGCGGCAAGCAGGCGAUGGGAGCCGUCGCCGUGAGACAUCUCCGGCGAGGUCCGCACAGUCAACAGACCAGUCCCGCAAGGGUGAACCCGGAGGCGCUGGGGUGGACAAAAAGGUUCUGUAACCAUUGCAUUCCGUCUGCUCUGAAUUUUUUCCUGGAGUGCAACUCCAUUUGUCCUAGUACGGAGUGUAGUUCACUGCCAUGAUAUCUGUAACAAACUGUGACAGACUGACAGUAAUUGUUUUUUGAUGAACGGUUGGCAGAUACCAGGCAUGCUGAAUGUUGUCUCCAGCAGGGGAUUAGUCACUCGAUUUUAGGCAUGUCAACAAAGGUGCAUGUAUAGGUACAGACAAGGAAAUGUUAUUCAGAGUUCGUAGAUUCAAAAAUCUAGAAACCCAUAAGAAGUGGAACUCUAGUUGACAAAAUAAGCAGGAGGCAUGAUUUUUGAAUUUCACGGCAGACCAUCAAUAGUACAUAGGAAAAAUGUAUUUCCUGUUUAAACUGUGUUUGCUUUCGUUCAGGUGUCAAUUUUUUUGAAUAAGUUGAAAGUUUGUUUCCAUGGUUAGUGUGAGCAUCCCCGUCAUCAGAAAACAUAUUUUGCAUCUGAUAUCCUGAACUGCUUUUGGCGCAUUUCAGGUUACUGAGACUUAUAAUUAUGUGUUGUUCGAGUACCAGCCCCGCCUUCCAGGCCCUGUCUCCUGUUGUGCACAACUUACCAAGCUUGCAUUUUGAUGUAAAAUCAGGUUGCGUCUUGACAGUGCGCCACCAGACAGAACCCCGCGUGCAUCAAGGAUGAGUGCUCUAGAGACGUCGUUUCGCAAGUUUGCCGAGGAACCAACGAAAAGUGUGGUUCGUCCUGAAUUAGGAUUAAAUUUUGAUUCACUUGGUGAGGCGUAUAACUUCUACAAUUUGUACUCAAGGGAGAUCGGUUUCGGGAUAAGAUAUGGGAAAAGCAUGUUGAACGCAGAGAUGGUGAAAUCAAUGCAGGAGAUUGUUGGGAGUAGUCUAGGAAACAUUCUUGCACAUUGGUUGGGUUUCGAGUUUUGUUGCAUUAUAUGGAAGUGUUGGGAGUAGUCUAGGAAACAUUCUUGCAGAUUGGUUGGGUUUCGAGGACCGUCAGGGAAACAUUCUUGCAGGGGGGCUGCCUGGGAAUGGUAAAGUUACGAUACUAGCAAAUGGUGGUGCUGACUGCGAAAUGGGCCCAACUCAGUCGGUCAGUGUGAAUGCCCUAGUAGGAUUAGCUCCACCAGAUAAACAACGAGGGGCUGGCAGGCCAACGAAUAGCUGAGAUAAAGCACCAUAUGAGGGUUUGAGCAGGCGAACACGGUUCUGCAGUAUUUGUAGGUGCGAAGGACACAAGAGGACAACCUACCCCGACCGGGGAGAUGCCGCGAAGAAACGGCGCAGACCAGGGAAGUGCAAAAAAUGUGGCAUGAAAGGACAUCGCCGGAACACGUGCACGUGACCAAUUGGUGGGGUGCAGAAUCAAAAUUGUUAAACUAAUUAGUUUUAAAUUCUGUACUUGCAGUAUGAGGAUUUUCCGGAUUUUCCGGUGUAUCUCAGUGAGAUGUGCUCCAACGCUUGUUCCUCCAGUUCUAGACAUGCAACUAACUUGUGUAAAGGAGAAGAACUUGGUUCGGCAUUGUUGAAUAUCUGUGGUGGAUACACAUUUUACGUUGCUGUGUGUGUUCUGAUCAGGAUUGCAAUGUUAUUUCUUUUCUGCUCACCAUGCGUGUCUGGGACUGAUGCGUUGUGUGUGUUUAUGCUCCAAGGGAUUCAAAAUUUGAAUCAUCUGUCGGAGUAGAUGAAGAAUCGUGAGGGGUUCAGGGGUGUCCUCCAACGCCCGCCCCACCCCCAUGAAGACAUGGCGAGCAGCUCAUUCCUUAGCAGGCAGCAGGCAAGGUUUGAAAAACCAGCACGGUGACCUGUGUUGAGUGGCGCCUACACCUGCAGGCGGGACGACGAGGAGCUCUGCCGGCGGUGGCGAGGGAGCAUGUAAGGAAGCACAGGUACGAGGUGUGGUUAAGUUUUUGUUUCGCUUGGUAACCUCUGCAUGCUUCGGCGUCUGUAUCUUCUGCAGCUGCCUGAAGCAAUUAGGACGAUGGCGUCAACCACUGGGGGAGCUAUGUGGUAUGCUGCAGGUGCCAUGGCCCCCCAGCCCAUGAAUAUUUUGUGAAGAAACACUGUUUAUGAUGACACAAAUUAAAAUAAAUACAGUGUUUAGCCCCUCUACACAAUUAUAUUUGGCUAUUUGCCCCCUCAGUAAUAUCUCGCUAGCUCCUCCGCCACUUGCGUCAACUGCAUGGAGCUGCACCGACCUGGGUGAUGGAGCUGCGGACGAUGUCGGCGAGGUGAGUAGGGGAACAACCUGUUUGUUAGUACUACGUAGCCUGGAGUGUAGGUAAGCACGUGGUGACGUGGACCAGUUACGACCAAGACGGCUGCUAACAAGUUUGAGACGGCUCAGCCAGGCACGGGAAAGAGAACUGAGCCGUGCGGAACCAGGUGUUCCGCUCGAUCGGGCCGGCUGCCAUCGCAAUUAAUGGAGUCACCUGCACCCCACAUUUAUGUAGAAAUACAGCCAAUAUACCCUGCAGUCGGGUGGCACAAAUCCCCAUGAGAUCGGACGAUGAUGAGUGCGGGAGCAGCUGAGGCUGAGCUCAGAAACCAAUUUUCGUAAUCAUCUGCCCGUAAUCAUCUGCACACUCUCAACCAACCUGAGAACAGCAUACAGAAUGAUGAUGUAUGUGGCGUCAUGGCAGCCGCACAUCGGAUAUAGGACGGGGUCAGGCAGCGCUAUUUUUUUCUAUUUACUCCCUUUACCGAACAGUACUCUCGGUAAACUACCUUGGCACGUAGCUACACCACCAUUUGCGUCGUCCCGUCUGAUCGCUUUUUUUUGCCGAGUGACCGUAUUUGAAACUCGGUAAAGACUUUGUCGAGUGUUCGACAAAUGGAUCUCGACAAAUUUCUGUUUGCUGAAAAGGGGUAUGCCGAGUGUCCUUUGCCGAGUGUUUUUGGCACCCACACUCUCAGGUUUUAUGGUUUCUACCUUAGGUUGCUUAUUUUGCAUUCUAUGAAGAACAAAUGUGGUAUAGUAUGAGAGCAUGAAAAGAGCAAAACAAAGUAAUGCGCAAACAAUAGCCCGCCCCCCUUCCCAGACACACACAAACACCCUGCUGCCAACAACUCCUUUUCCGUACCGAGCACAAUAAUUAUUGGAUUGAUGUAGCGAUUUUUUGCAACCACUCAAAGGACAUAAAAACAAGGAAAAAACUGGAAACAUAUUUAAAAUUAACUAGCUAGUGGUGUCCGUGAAGUUCAAGAAAAAGCUAGAUUUUUUCUCGACAACAAGUUAAUGUGCAAAGAAUUAAUAAAUGUAUUUGCAAAAAAAGAAAGCAAAUAGAAUUAACGAUUAAACCAGUUUAGGUUUUCACUGCAGACAAUGGUAGUAGUCGGAACCAGAUACAAACCAAUAAAAAACAGGAUCUCAAAUCUCCAACCAUUAAAGAGUUGUAUGUUAGUCCUAUCUUCUGUUCAACCCAAAUUUUACAAUAACACUAUUAUACUUAAAUCUUUAUUAUUGCAAUACAUAAAUAAGUAAUUAAUGCACCAGCUUGCGGUUGUAACCAGGCAAGAUGAACCUAUGAACUCGCAAGCAUGCCAAUCAGAUCGACAUCCACACAACACCGGUAUGAACAUUGUCUAGAUAAAACUUUAUUUGUAUUUUAUUCCAUAAUUUAAACUAGUUUGUGCGGGUCACACAUGACAUUGUGUGACACUUUAUUUGUCACCGCUACAUCGACAUAUCCAUCGACUAAGCAACGACAAUCCAACUAUAUAUUACUAGAGAUAUUUUCUUAUCAGUAGGCACCAACUCGGGUGCCAACGCCGAAUGGCACAAUAGUGGUGGUGCCGUACACCGGCACGUUGACACUGCACAUCGUUGGCAGGGUACGAAGUGCAAUGGAAGUCAUCACCUCAAGUUGAGCUAUUUGGUGUGGCUGCAACAAGGUACCCUGGGGUACCUGUUGUUGUUGAGGCCAUUGACCCAGUUGUUGUUGUUGAGGUUGUUGGAAAGAACACUGUCCGAGCUGCUUCUGUUGUUGUUGGGGUUGGGAGACACCUUGGACCGACUGUUGGGGUUGUUGCUGCUGAGGUUGGUUCAAACCCUGACCAUGUUGUUGUUCUUGUAGGACGAUCGAGUAGAUGAUGGCACGGAUUGCAUCGUAGCGUGAUUGUUCGGGGAUUUGCGGCAGCUGCCGGCAACAUUGUUGCUGCAUCACAUGGCAACUACUCUGCCACAACAUUUGCGACCUAGCAAGACUUUGUGGCAUUGCCACAGGGCUGCAUUGCUGCUGGAGGAAUACCUUGCAUGGGUUUAGCUGCUGCAAGAUAGAUGGCUGAACAGAUGGUAUUUGUUGUUGCGGUAGAACUGGUUGUUGGUGUUGUGAAAAUGGUGGUUGUUGCAGUAGAAUUGGUUGUUGUUGUUGCUGCGAAAAUGGUGGUUGUUGCUGCUGCUGAGAAAAUGGUGGUUGUUGCUGCGAAAAUGGUGGUUGUUGCGGUAAAAGUGGUUGUUGUUGCUGCGGAAAUUGUUGUUGUUGCUGCGAAAAUGGUGGUUGUUGCGGUAGAAUGGGUUGUUGUUGCUGCGAAAAUGGUGGUUGUUGUUGUGAAAAUGGUGGUUGUUGUUGCUGCGAUAAUGGUGGUUGUUGUUGCUGUGAACAUGGUGGCUGUUGUGGAAAUGGUUGUGGUUGUUGUUGGAUGGGUUGUUGUUGUUGGUACCAUAAUAUUUGUUGUAGUGGUAAUGGUUGUUGUUGCAAUGGUUUCUCCAAGCUAGGGAUGUGGCUAGUCUCCAUUUGUGCAAUGGCACUUGUCGCCGCAACGGCGAGGAGGGCAAAGAUGAGGAAGGUCUUCAUGGUGGAUUGGUGUUAAAUAGUGUUGCUUGGUUUUGAUGCUUGUGCUUGUGAUGAUCAUUAUACUUCAUGCCUAUUUAUAGUAGCCCGUGCACCAUCUCUUUCCUUCUUUGCAUCAGCUUUAAUAAUUGUGUUUGGAUGUUUCUGAAAUGGAUUUUUGGUACAUUAUGGUAGGUUGCACUAGCUAUAAGCGUACUUUUGGAUUGAUCAUCAAAGUUGCUUUUUGGUUGUGCAUAUGAUUAUACACAAAGUACAUGAUGUUUGAAGUAGAUGACUUGCCUUAUUCACUUUACAUGUCACGCAUUUAUCAGGAUAGUAUCACUUCUACACCCGAUUUGGGAAAAAGUACAUAAUCUUUGCUAUAGAUAACUUGCCUUAUUCGCUUUACAUGUCAUGCACUUAUCAGGAUAUUAUCACUUUUACACCCGAUUUUGGAACCUUGUAUAGGGUGUCAGCCUUAAACAAGAAAAGGAAAAACUUGUGUAGGACUAAGUUGCAAUCAUGUGUGGGUUGUUAGGAUAUGCUCCAUUAUUAAAGCCUUACAUGUGGAGGGUUCUUCUAGACUCGAUUGUUUUUUAUAGAACUAACUAUGUAUUGUCCUUUAAGAUGAUAAGAUAAACUGACACCUAUAGAGCAUGACAUGACUCAUCGAAUUCCCUUUACAUGUAAAGGAUUGUAAUUGCUUACAAGUCACUAACAUAUAUCCGGUCCUAACUCUAGACACAUCAUCAUUAGUUUGAUCUUUGUGUUAAGGAUUUUUAUUUGAUCAGAUCAUUCUUUUGGCGGACUAAGUUUGCAAUAUUGUGUAAAUAUUUCACGGGGUGCACCUGGUCUCUUUUACUAAAUCUUUGGGGCAGGAGGUUGAUAUUUAUUUGAAUUGUGUAGAACAUUUACAUAGGUAACCUACUAGAAUUAUUAUAUGUUCAUUAUACUAUGACGACAAACAUAUAUAGUUUGGUUUACUGUGGUUCAUGUUUAGGUGUAUAAGAAUGAAUUUAUGUAUAUCGAGGUACUUUAUCAACCCAAAAUGAAAAAUGCCAAACAUUUUAACAUUUUUCAUCAACAAACCUUUAGAACCCCUAUUCGCGGCUAUCCUCCUAGAUCAUGGACAACCAGCAUAUUUCAUUUGUAGGAUUUUGACAAGGUCUUGAUUCUCUCCCACAUAAAAUGUUCUAGAUUGUUUCAUGGCAACUUGUUUGUGCCCGGAUAUUUUCAAUCUUCUUAUCUAGGCCAUACAUAUGUUUUUCUGUCAUUAAUCUAUUAACUGCUGAAUGAAGAGGUCCCAAAUGAUAAAGAAAAACUAUGUUAGGAGUAUGGGCAUCUCCACCACUUGUUUCAAUAAAACCAGAGGAUUUUAUGAUUAUGAAUUUGGUUCGAAAUAUGUUAAUGAUAUGUGCACUCGAUCUGAGCCAAUAUCCGAUGAAUUGAAAAGUGUUAAAUGGCCCAUGGAUAAAUUUAUAUUUGUUCACAAGUAUCAGAAAUCUGGAAUGGUGACACUACAUAUUCAAUUCAAAUUUGAAAAUACAUCUGAUCCCAGCUACGGAGGUCGCCAUGUGCCUCAAAGGAGUCUCCAUCGCAACUCUGGUCGUCUGCAAUUACACUAGAUGGCAGGCUAGUCUGUCAUCCAUCGUGGGAAUCCGCCGACAGGGCAGGUCAGAGGUCCUGUGGUUGCAACUAGCAGGUUAUUCAUCCAAUCUAUGUCCGUCAGUUAGUGCUCGAUCCUGCAGUAAAUGGUACUUGUAUGGAUAUAUAGUUGCAGAGAGGAAUUUCUUUGACUAGUGUUCGAUCUGAUUGCUAGCUGGAUUGGUGGAGAAAUUGCUACUUCCUCGUGCUAGGGCAGCAGUGGACAAUUAGUACAGACAGACCUGGCAAAAAAAUCCAAUGCGUAUAUUAAGUGGAGAUAGUACUAGAUCUGAUGUCUGCAGGAGAUACUAGUAGAUGUUAUACUGCACACUGGCACAGUAUGAGGUCAUUAUGUUGUUCUGUACAAAGUCUGUCACUUAGAUGUACAUAUAUGAGUGACAACCGCAUAUAUAUUUCUUGCAAAAUCCAUGCUUCCUUGCAGGUGGAAGGCCCUCAUGGUGCCCCCGAGACAGAGCCUGUUCCCUAUUUGGUACGGUGAGUAUUGAAUCGAAACGCAAAAUAUGCACUUAUUGAUUUGUCGAUCUCACAUUAUAUGCAUCUGAUAGGAGAGGUUAUCGUCAGAGGUUGUGGAACAAUCUGAAGGACACUUGUGGUUAAGCAGCAGCAUCAGGUGAGGUGUUCAUGUCAGUCAGUUGGUGGUCAGACUGGCACUUGUUUAAUUUGGAUGGUACAAUUUUCUAUUCACAUUGGUAAAUGCCAAUGGACAAUGACCAGCUUGGAUUCGCAUGUUGAAUUUGGAUGAUACAGGUGAGGAAGAAACUAAAAAAACACUAGUUAUGUGGUCACCUGGAACUCCAGAGUGUUUCUUGGUGCCAUAUAGUCUUGCUUUGCUGCAGUUAUAGACUUUAUAAAUGCCCUGAGCUAUUUUGGCAGCAUCGGUGUCGUUUCAUUGUUGUUUUAGCAGGGGCUUUUGAUAAAAAGAGAAGUGAAAAGAAAAAUAUUACGCACGCCUAGGUUAUGUCAUGAUUGUUAUCGGCUUUGUCGAACUUUGACCUCUGUCUUCUUCAGAUAACUGUAAUGUGAAUUAAUAAUCUCCUUCCACAUUUCCUAGGAUUAUAGAAGUUGGUAUGUUGUCGCAGCUGUGAAGUACUUAUCUUACCAAUUAUAGUGUCGUUACUUAGUUGAGGUGACAAUGUUGGAAUUAUGUGUCCUGCAACUAUAUUCAAAUUACUUGGAAUUGUUAAUAUUCGAAUUGCCUCAUUAUGAAAUUAUACAUGUAUUUAUACAUGGAAUUGCUUUACAUGUUUAGCAUGGAAUUGUUACUUGCUGGAAUGUACUUAAGUAAUAUAUGCUUAAGGAAGCUGGUCAAUUCUCAGUAGAAUAUAAUAUUACUAUUUAUAUUGAAAAUACUACCCGGGAACGCUGAUGAUUUGAAGGAGCUAGAUAGUGUAGUUAGAUUAUAGUCCUAAUGUUGAUCUACAUAAUUAGAGGAAUUUACAUUCUAUUAUGAUGUGUUGCUCACAAGCGCGUGCUCCAGGGACAUAACGGAUAGAAUCUGUUAACAAACAAAUACGAUCGUGGUUGGUAAUUUGAUUUAGACUCUAUCCAGGAAACUAGUUGUAACGACUAGGAAUCUUAUAUGUAUAAGAGGUGGACUCUUUGAAAAGACAGUACAAGAAGGUGCCAUCUCUAGUCCAGAUAUGCGAAUUGUGAGCGGCGCCAUGGAUAAAUAGACCACAAACCCUAAAUUUCUAACAGACAAGACGUUGAAAUUUUAUCUUGUGUUCGGAUAGCAUUAUUUGAAACCGUGAGUUGUCUGUUUCUGUACUGAUGGCACCCCAAAAGUGCUGGUUACUGGGGAGGUGUAUGCGGCAUGCCGAAUCAUUCUUCCUCGGGAGGCCCUAAAGCUUCAACUUGUUGAGAAACUGUCUGCACUCUGCAGUUUGGAACCUUACGGAAGGAUGCUGUGAAUUUCAUGGAUAGUGGGCUUCCCUGAUGGCUGCUCUGCUACUGCUAGCUUACGGAAUGGCUUCUACAACUGAACUGUACUGCAGUCGCUCUUGACUGAGAAUUGUUGGGGCCCGCGGUGUAGGGUGACUGCUUGGCGUUGAGUUGAGCUGCAACGCUGAAUCAAACCCUGGACGACACAAACGAUCUGAUCUAGAUUUGGUUUGAUGCUCGUCCUUUGGGUUGGUACCCAUGACAGGCACGGGUCGCCAGCAGUUUACUAUCAUCCAUGGUUCUUUAGCCCUGUGGUGUUCUACUUAUCUGAAAAACUUCUUGUUUUUGAAAUGUCAACUGGGGUAUAUAUAUUUUUCAAAAACAGGAAGUCAUCAGUUUGUGAUCAUACAGCAGAGGUGAAGAGAGGGGCAGAGGGCCAGGCAGUUACACAUAGAUUACAAUAUACAGACAGCAGCCAGGCGGGGUGUCAGCGAGCAGGGUUGCUAGAAUGAGCUGAAUUGCCUCUUUUUUCUACCGAACCUGAAGAUUUGUGCCUAACAUUGAAAAGGUUCCAUAUGACGAUGCAAUCCAAAUUGCCUUUUCGAUCGACUACUCUCAUAUGUAGUAGGUUAUACCAAUGACAACAACAGCAGAUUUAUAUCCCACAAAAAACAUGCAGCAGCAGUGCAGCUGAAGCUAAAAUAUAUAUGUUGGUUACUGAAGCUAAGUCGUAAGCACUUUUCACGGUGAUGAUCCAGGCUUUUCCUUGUUUCCACAUAAUUACCUGAGUUCAAUGAUCUGCAUUUCUCAGGUAUCGCUUGUUUCAUACAUCGAAUGCUAUUUAUCGGCCUAUCCAUGCAAUUUGAAAAUUCACUGCUGAAUGUCGGUUGUGUUCUGCGAAUAAGUGAAUGGUGGUGGUUAUUUGAAACCUAUGCCCAAUUGUGGUGGUUACUUGCAAUAUACUCCUAGAGCUUAAAGCACACGUUUUGGGCAGUAAGUCAGAUAUAUGCAUUAUAGUUUCUUUCUUGAAAGCUAUGUGUUAUGUGACACUGAUCAGACUACUAGUUCUGGAAACAAAUACAUGUGCAGAUGCCAUGCCAGCUUAUGCAAGUUGGUUAACAUUUUUGAAAAAUGAGUGGCUGUGUGCAUCACACAUAGGCCUGGAUUUAACCUCCUUUCCCGGGGGAAAAGGCAAGUUACUUAAUAGUUACAAUCAGGUUAAGUAACUGAAGAAAUUAAGCAGUUGACCCAAAUGCAGCUUUCAGGCUGCCCCAAGCAACAUUAAACUGGGCUUGUGUAAAAUAUUAGUGCAGUUUAUGGUCAGAUGGCCUUGUCGAGAUCGAUGAUGGAUAUUUUAUUUUGGUUGUAUGUUUCGAUCUAAUCCAUAACUGAUGAUACUACAUGCAACUAGGACACGAGUGAAUAAUCUACUUAAGAGCUGCAUCAUGAAGGGAAAACAAGUAAGCUAAGUACAUGGAUUAGAGCAUCUGCACACAUCUCAAGUGGUUGACUUAAGACUGAUUAACAAGCUUAUGUUGUUUCUUACUGAAGCUAGAGCAGACUUGUAUUUCAAGGAAGCGAGAAUGUAUAUAAGUCUUGCUCACGUCUCCUUCCCCUCUCUUGUACCUAUAACUAUCUAUCUCUCCAUUACCAGAUCAUCAGUAUUUACUUGUAUGACGGCAAAAAAUAAUAACAAGAAAAAUUUCACUGCAGAACCUCCUUCAGGCACAAAAUAAUGACCCGAGGAAUAACAAAGUUGGUUUCAAUGAAAGUAAUUAUCGAAGGAGGUUUCAAUACCCAAUGAAUUUAUGUAUGAUUGACUAAUGGUCCUACCUUUUCCAUAAUAUGUUGCUGGUUUUCCUUGAUAAUUGUUUGGAAAGCGUUGAAUUUAGCAUGUUUUAAUCACAAGUGGCCUUCUGAUCCGUCUGUUAUCAUGUUUAGGGUAGCUUACUGGAAUAAUGAUUGGAGUUCCCUGUAGGUGAUGGAGGACGCAAAACGAGCGCUACGACGGGACGCAGGACUUCUGGAAUGAGUCACAACUAAAGUUUUUCAAGCCAGAAAAAGCUUGGUGCCAUGGAUUCCCCGGCUGGAAGAUGGGACUUGAAUUUGGGAUUGUGUCUAUUCCAUUAGUGGUGUUGUCCUGGUUAAUAGCUGGGUGUUGGCAUCGGCAUGUUCAUUGUAAAACACUGUGUAUUUUCGUGUCUUCGUUGUGUUGGUUGUUCCCCUACUCUGUUGCUCAGCUAGGGUUGCAAGGAGGGAUGCCUUAAAAACUUAAUUCCGUGUCCGUGUUGUGUUGGUGGUGGUUGCGUUUUGGUUGUAAAAACCACUUGGUUUCAUUAAUGAAACUGAUAAAAAAAAGUAAGCAUAAACCUUUCAGUGGAAUAUCCAAAAAAGUCCAGGCCAACUGUUUUGAGAGAACAUUUUGCAAUAAGAAAAUUUAGUAGCUACAAUCAGAAUAGAAAUGUUCUUAUCUGAUUCACAUGUUAUCCAUUUGUUCUCUUGUGUUUAAGUGAGUAAUUGCACCAAUUUCGAACAUACAAUAGGUCGUCAAUGUAGCUCAUAUGAAGUGUGCAAUAAGUAAUGAUCCGUGGUAUGGGAGUAUACUCUUCAUAUUCACAUUGACUACACAAACCAAACUUUAUUAUCAGAUCCACACUGACAAGAUAUGAUCCCAAACACACAACCAAACAUAUAUCAUAACUAUAACAAACAAAUGGACAUGGAUUUUUGAAUUAAUAGAAUAUCCCAGGCUAAAAAUCCACAGAUUACUUGAAAAGGAAAAAAUUGACAAAGCUUGUACAGUUCCUUUCAUAGCUACCCGUAUAUGGGUAGCUACAGCCCACCUAGUUUUUGAACAUAUUAUUGGAUGGUGGCGCCAGAUGUAGUGUCCUGCAAAAAAAAGGUAUAAUCAACAUGGCUACAUACCAAGAAACCAAUCAUUAAGGUACUGAUGGAAAUUUGUCAGGAAAAUGUAACAAUCAUAAUGCCAGAUGACUAAAACUAGCUUUGAAAUUUAUAGGCUUAUUUGUUACAUAACCUUAACUACGUCCAAUUGUCAAUACCAUGACGUUUAAAUUUCUUUCAGCUGGACAAGAUAUACAUGCUAGAAACACGAAGAAAAAUAUAUACAGAUUAAGUAGUUGAAUGUAUGUACUUACAGAAGCUUUGACGUAGAAUGCAUGGAUAUUGAGUUCUUUAAUAGUUUGGAACGUAGGGGGGUUGGUGAGUGCGUAAUACUUGAUGAUCCCACGUGCCAUAGCAAACUCUCCAGUCCCACCCAUAAUGGCCAUCUGGCCUUGGCCUGUUUGAAAAUUGAUCCCCAUCGCUUCGAAUGAUGAUCCAUUGUACCUGAUAUAGUUUUAUAGGGCAAUAUCACAUAUCAUAUGAAACUGGAAAAUCUUUAGUAUUUGAGAUCUUUGUAACAAACCAUAUAUGCUAUAUAACCGGGAAAACUAAAACUUGUACUAGUCCAAAAGUAUAUAAAAAUGACCUAGAGUUCUUCUCGAACACCAUGCUGAAGUAGUUGAACCAGCCUGGACCGGCUACAUCAGCCUGCACUUGCAUGCCUUUGGUACGGGCAACAAUGGUGGCAGUAGCGGGGUUUGGUCCAUCAAUCACAGUCCAGUCGGUAACUGCAGUUAGACCAAACUCUGAUGGUUUGCUGGAGGUAACAAUUGCUACCUGGUUGAUGCCUGGUCCGGCGGCGAUUUGGUGCAAGUACAAGCGCAUGUUAACCUCGGACUCACACUGAAGAACACAGGAUAGGGAUGCAGAUGCCAUGGAUAGAAUGGAAUGCAGGAUUAGGAUCAUGGACAGGACUAAAAGGCUAGGGCUAGCCAUUUCUAGCUAGGAUUUUGGCUGGCUGAAGAAGAUGGUAGCUAGGAGGUGUGUCCGUAAACUGACUCUUUCCUUUGUCGAGUGUGUUAGCUGUGUGAGAGACACUUGAGUCUAGGGUACUAUUUGUAGUGCUCCAGAACUAGCUAGCAUAUUCGUUCCAUAUCCUCUUUUUUCAUUUCUCUUUGGGAUGAUCCAUUUCAUAUCCUUUUUAGUUUCUUUUUUUUUCAACUGUCAUUUCAGUUAGGAUAGACAACUACACAUGUGUGACUGAUUCCUUGUACAUCUAUCAACCCUCGGAGAUCACAAAGGUCAAGUGCCUUUUGAGGAACUACCCUUUUUUCCUUGAAAUACAAUGUGUACAUGGUAAUGCAGCAUUGACAAAGACUAAAAUGAAUUAGACGCCCAUUCUUAUCUUUACAUCUAAUUGUAUCUCCGGAUGAGCAGCAGCCUAGAUUUUCCACCUGGACAACGAGCACACUGUCACUACUCCUACAAUACAAAGUUCAAAUACAAGGAUUCAUCGCCGUUGAAUCUGUGAAUCGAUGCGCCGCUCCCCCGCUCCCCCGCUGGGGAAUCGGGUAAAAGGCCGCUCCCCCGCUCCCUAGGGUUUCCCCGCCGCCGCCGGCGGCUCCCCCGCGCGGAGCCGCCGCCGCGGCGGCCGGAGACCGCCGGAGCCGCCAGCCCCCUCCUCUCCCCGUUCCCCUUCUCCUCCCCCCACCCCUCCUCCGCGCCCCCGUACCCCCGCGCCGCCUCCCCGAGCGAGGCGGCCGGGGGCCCUUCCUCCGUGCGCCUCCAGCCCCUCCCCACGCCCAUCCCUCCUCCCGCCGCCGUCAGCCUACGCCGCCGGUCCUCAGCCGCGUGAUGCUGGCGGCGGUGGGCUUGCCCUUCCCCGCUCGCGGUCCUCCCCUGCUCGGGCGAUGAUGGCCGGAGGCGGUGCGCCUUGGCCGGUGGUGGUCCGGCGUCCUUGUUGGAGGCCGGCGGUGCUCGCCGUGGUGGUGCCGCCUCUUGGCGGCGGGGUGGUCCGGUGGUGCUGGCCGGCUGGGGGCGUGUCCCCGGCCCAGAUCUGGGCCCGUAGGGUCCCUUCCGGGUCCUUGCGGGUUGGCUCCGGCGCGACCGUGACGCUCUCUGUAUGGGGAGGCAGGGGAGCGGCUUGGAUUGGGACAGCGACACAGAUGGUGUUCCAGCUGCUGCGCGGAGGCGGGAGCUGUCCGGGCCUUUGACGGCCCGGCCGGGCCUAUGGGGCCACGGGCCCGGUAGGCUCCUGCCAUGGCGUCCGGUCGGCUACCGUCGUGGACGGUGGAGGUGGGGCCCUCCCGUAUGCCAACGGUGUUGUUGCCCUAGUCCCGGCUCCUCUUCUCCGUUGUGCAGACCAUCUUCGUGGUGCCGUGGUGAGACAGCGUGGGAAGCUUCAUGUCCGUGUUGGCGCAGGGUGGUGGCCGGUCUGGUGGCGAGCUCCGGAGUGCCUGAGGUAGAGGCUGGGAUCGGGAGAAAUCUCUGUUGGCUUGGUCAACACCGACGUGGUGGCGUCUGAGGGUGCCGCCGGACCUUCCUUGAGGGCGUCGGGGCUACCCUUCCUCUCUCCUCGUCGUGUACCGGGGGAAACCCUUGGCAGCAGCGUCGUCAUCGUCGCGUCCCUUCUUGGAGGUGUUGUUGGGUACCGGCACUUCGGAGUCUCGGAGCUUGGUGGGCGAUCUCCGGUGGGCGCAGCGGUCACGAGGCUUCGUCGUUUUUGUCGAUCCACCAUUAUCGGCAUUUGUUUCUUUUCUUUUUUCUCUUUCCAUUCUUUUGGGCAUGUUUGUGCUGCUUCCGCCCCAGCCCCUAUCGUCGGUUGUAUUGGUUGAUUGCUUUGUAAUACAAAGCGGGGGGAAACCCCUUUUCUCAAAUCCAAGGAUUCGUGCUGCUUGUAAGUUAGAUACAUAGUUCAUCAAAUGACAUUUAAUUAUCUGGCUCAGUUUAUAGCUGCGAUUGGAGAUGCAACCCCCCACCCAUGGAACCCAGGUCAAAAGCUUUCCUUUCACCUCUUCUUUCCGCCGCCACCGACGUCGCUGCUCUUGUUGGGGCAGACUUGAUGCCAAAGACAGGAGGAAGCGGCCUUGGCAACAUCGCUGGUCUUGUUGAGGCAGCCUUGAUGCCAAAGACAGGAGGAAGCCGCCACACAACACUUCAGUUUGGUGGUGCUCUUCAAAUACCGGAUCUCGAUUUCCAGAGGGGAAACUCUAGCUCAGGCCUUCAUUCACUGUACGUUGGAAUGGCGAUGUUUCGACAUUGUUCCCUUGUUGAAGACAUUGUCUUGAGAUUGCUCGGAAGUCCUAUUCAGGGUGAAAACUCAUGAUCUAGCCUCUAUUAGAUUGGUGACAACAGUGAUCAUCCCUUUCCUAGAGGUGUCGUUGUUGGAGAUCCUUUCUCAUAGUUCGGGUAGUUCCAUUAGCGCAGGUUGGUGUUGGCCACUGAUGCAUGCCAUUGAUUGCUUCAACAUGAAUUUUGUAUGUCCUGUCUUUUUUUAAUAAUUUGGAUGUGUGCAACCCUGAUGGCUGGAUUAGCACAUUGCUUCUUGUAGAGGCUGCAGGGUGGAUGGGAGUGGGGCCGGGGGCAGUGGUGCCGACCGAAAACUAGCAAAUUUACUAUCAUCUUGAUUAACAUAUUUUUAGCGGUUUGUUCCUUGCAAAAAAAGACUAUCAAUGUAUCAAUUAUGCAAGCUAGUUUAAGACCAUUCACAAAUUAUUAUCAAAUGGUUCUAUUAAUGUCAACUGCAUUCAGGAGUCAUGCAUGACGUCAACCAUGUCAAAUUAUUGAAGGUUUAACCUCUGGCUUAGAAACAAAACUUAUGCGUACCAUAGGCCUGCAAAAAUUAAACCACUGUACAUGACAACCACACAAAUAUAAUACCUAGUGGGCAACCUCCGUACGACAACCACAGAAAUAUAAUACUUUUGACAAGUUUAUCAAUGCUACUUGCGUGUUGUCUAAUAAGUAGUGACCUUCAUAAGGAAUUGCGUCGAUCCAAGGAUAACAUCUUAAUUAGCAUACUACUAAGAUUCGAAGACAUAUACUCUUGAAAGUCAGUUGUGCCAUUAGUCAGAUGUGUAUACAGUAUACAAUCCAAUUGUAUGUAUAUGUAUGUCAGUAUGUGUGCUCAUCAACGGUUCACCAUGUUUUGAAGCAACCCAGUCAUCAGUAUGACCGAGUGUUCAGAUAUAUCCAGUAUACAUGCAUUCACGAGUGCUCUUAUUGCUUGUGUGUAACCCAUGUGGUGUGUUUGUUGAUGUAACUUCAUCAAAUAUGCAUCUAUAAUUGAAGGGAGAACCUAUCCUUCAAUUAUGGAUUAGUCGAUUUUCCUAGCCUACUGUUUAUCUUUUUCGCCCACCCUUCUCCACUUCUUUGACCCGUUCCCAACCGUCUGCCAAGCCGUCUGCUAUCUGUGGUGCCGCCAGCCACGCCGUCCGCCGUCGGUGGUGCUUCCGCGUGUGCCCCGGAGCCCUGCCCUGCUCAGUUUGAGCCGCCAUCUCUGCCAUCCCUCUGCACCCUGGCCAUCCCUACAAACCUCCCCACAGUCCCUGGNNNNNNNNNNNNNNNNNNNNNNNNNNNNNNNNNNNNNNNNNNNNNNNNNNNNNNNNNNNNNNNNNNNNNNNNNNNNNNNNNNNNNNNNNNNNNNNNNNNNNNNNNNNNNNNNNNNNNNNNNNNNNNNNNNNNNNNNNNNNNNNNNNNNNNNNNNNNNNNNNNNNNNNNNNNNNNNNNNNNNNNNNNNNNNNNNNNNNNNNNNNNNNNNNNNNNNNNNNNNNNNNNNNNNNNNNNNNNNNNNNNNNNNNNNNNNNNNNNNNNNNNNNNNNNNNNNNNNNNNNNNNNNNNNNNNNNNNNNNNNNNNNNNNNNNNNNNNNNNNNNNNNNNNNNNNNNNNNNNNNNNNNNNNNNNNNNNNNNNNNNNNNNAACCUGUCAAGCCAUUUUCCUCUCCUCCGUCUGCGACCGUGCGGCUAGUCACGACAUCCCGUCUCGUGCUCGAUGUUGCGGUGUGUUGCUCUCUGCAAACCGAGUUGGAUGACGCGAGGAAAAGAAUCAAGACUGAGUAAUAGAAAUUUCCAUGAUUGAAUAUUUCAGUUUGGCAAAACUUUUCAUACAUUUCUAUGGAUUUUCACUGUCAUAGAAACAAAAAAACGUAACAAGGAAAGAAGACGAUGUCCCUUCAUAGGAUUGCAUGGAGGUAACAGAGAUCCAUGUCUUGAAAACGUGGGAAAGAAAGGAGCACGCAAUUGAAAACAAACACCUCAUAAAACUUACACUAGUGCAUACUACGUCGUAAGAACAUCUACAACCGAACCCAAAUGUGACCCCUACACGUCCGUGGAUGCGUCCACAGACAGCGACCGGUCACCCCUUAUAUCUCCGCGUCCUCUUCCGUCCCCCUCAAAUCCAUGCUAACAACAAAACGUCAUCAACAUUUUAUGUAGAAACAAUUUGAACAUAGCAGUAUAAAAACAUAUAUAUUGGGAAUGGCAAGUUUCAUACAAUCGGACACAAAAUGUCCAUCAUCACCUAGAUAUGAUAAGCCUAAACAAUAGAUAAACUCCUACAUGUAGGCGUUGGCUGUCGGAGGGGAUUUGUCGUUGUCCUCGCUCAUCAUGCCGCUGACAUAGGACAGCAUCGAGGAGAUGAUCCCGACCAGACGCCGGACGGCGCAGGCCUGCUCCUUGGUGAGUCGGGCGGCUCUCGUGAGGUUCCUGAAAUCGUCGAUGUCGAGCCAGAGAGCCUUUGCAGUUUUCCUACGUCGGGCAUCCAUCUCUGCUGAUGUCAAUUUUCAGAGGCUGACAUCACGGAGGAGCUCCUCCUCCAGGUCAACCAGCGUGGACCUACAGAAUUCGCAGACACUGCAGGAGGAACCAGCAUUCUCACAGACCUACUGCCUAGCACGGCCGGCUCGCGCCUCUCAUUUGUACGUCCUCCUUGAAAGCUCGUGGUGCGGGAACAAGCAUCCUGCUCCAACCGGGAGGAGCGGAGCCCAAAGUGGUAGAGUAGGGUCACAAAGGGCGAUGGAUCUGGACCGGUGCAAACCGCGACGGGCUGCAUUGCCUCGUCGGCCAACGGGAUAGAAGGCAGAGCUCAAAUUCCUACCCCUGUCCAUCCAUGACCGGCGGAGCGAGGCGCAUGCAAAGGGCGAGUUCUCCUCAUCAUCCAGAUCCGAUUGCGGCAAGGCAUCCCAGUCGAUGGGCUUCGCCUCGUUGCUGGAUCCGCCACUGAAAUCGCUGCCAGAAUCAACCCAUAUGGUAGCCUGAGAAGAGGAAGCAAUGGAGAUGGGAGCGAACAUGACUGGAGUGGAAGGGGAGAGAAGAAGCCAGCACUGAGCUAUGUUUGCACCCUAGUGGAGAUGGGUCGGGCGAGCACGAACGGGUCCAAUAUGACGGCCGCGUCAGGGAGUGUCGAUCUACCCCAGACGAUAGGGCUAACUAUGUGGGGUCCGGUUGGGUGGCAAUUAUGGGCUGAGUAGUGACCGGGCUGUCCGCCCAUACGUUUGGGAGGAUAUGAGUGCUCCUUUGUACAUGCUUUAAAUCUGGGCAUGAGAAGCCGCACCUGCCGGUGCCUAUGCUGGGCUUGUCCCUCUUAGCUGGAAAGCCCCAAAAAGUCAAGGACCUUAUUUUUGGGAUUUUAUAUGAGAAAUAGGUAUGGUAUUGUAUCAAUUUGUCCUAAAAUAAUUCUUUUAUUAUAUUUAAAUAAAAAUAUAGCCAUUUUCGUGGCCAAGCGAGGUGGGAUAAGACCCGGGCUCGGAAUUUUCAGGCCGGGAUCUAGCAGGUCCGUCAGUUUUAAUCAAUUUAUUUCUUUUUCAGUUCUAAGCUGUUUUAAGUACCUGGUCAGCAAUCUCUAACCAAUGAUAAGAUAACAAGACUAGGCCUACUAUCAAUUUUCAUAGUCAAUUGUGUCCCUGGUCACAUUACUCCAAUCCAUCUAUAUUUAUGCGUGCUCAUAACCAGUUCACCUUGUUUGAAAUAAGCCCAGUUAUGUUUCCUUUUUGCAAGAAAGUACCGCAUUUAUAUUAAAUGACUUCCAACAUCCCGGAAAACAGAUCGUCGACGUGGUCCAGUGCAUCACAGGUGGCAACAAUGAACUGAAAGAAAUUGCGAAAUUUAAGGUAGUUGUUAGUGGCAGGAUCUAGUUUGAAGGUGAUCUAGGAAUGGAUGUUGGUUUUAUGGACGGUAUGGGGGCCUAGAGUUAGGAAAAAGGAUUGAGAGGGUAAUAGAGAGAGCACCAGCUACAGUAUUGAGGGCACCAUGGAGCUGAGAAACUGGGAGAGGUUUAACACCCUCUGGUUCUGAAGAAGAAGAAAAAUAAUACCACAAGCCUGCAAAGUAAACCAACAUAUAGAAUUAAGAAGCAAUUUAACAAUACUUAGUGGGCAAUCUCCGUGACAACCAUCAAAAUAUUGCUAUGCUGUUAAGGAAUUAUUUCUUUGAAUAAGCUUGGUACUAGUUGUAAUAGUUGCAUGUUGUCUAAUAUGUGACGUUAGUAAGGAAUUGCGUCAAGCAAAUUAUAGCAUCUUAAUUAUCAUAUUACCAAGACCUGAAGAUAUAUACAACCUUGAAGCCUUAAGAGCUAGAGCCAUUGCCUAUUUUUUCUUAGAAAUUGGGCCAACCCUGUCGCGUACGGAUUUAUUUAGUAGUAAUUAUUCUGUAUAUUUUCAUGGAUAUAUAGGAAUAGGCAGUGUAUAUGUGGAGUGCACACAAUCUUGUUCAACUUUUCUUUGCUGGAAGUAAGCUGUUUUAAGUACUUGGUCAGUAAUCACAAAUCAAUGAUAAGAUCGUAAGACUGGGCCUACUAAUAUAAUCCCUCCGUCCCAAAAUUCUUGUCUUAUAUUUGUCUAGAUACGGAUGUAUCUAAUACUAAAAUGUGACUUGAUACAACCGUAUUUAGACAAAUCUAAGACAAGAAUUUUGGGACAGGGGAGUACUUUCAAAGUCAACUGCGGCCGCUAGUCAGAUGUGUACCACAAGACAGUUACAUAUAUCAUGCUCAGCACGAGUUCACAUUGUUUUAAAAGCAACCCAGACAUAAGUAUGAGUGUUAGUUCAAACAUAUUUGUAAAAGAACACUCGUUUAUACACUUUAGGAGUUAAUACAUUCAUGAGUGGUUUUUUCAUCAUGUAACUGGCACGGAGUGUUACUGAAUAUAACUUUAUUAUUUAUUACAUUUCUUAGGAUUCUUCCUAUCAUGAAACUAGCGGUACUGCCUGCUCAGUUGCGCGGCAAGAUUUUGAUUUGUCAUUUUAAAUUUGGAAACUAUAUUUUGGCAUUUUAAAUAUUUCUUAACACUUUGUAAAUAUGCAUUCUUGUAAUUACCUAAUUGCGAAUGAGGAAUUCAUCAGCAAAGGAAUGCCAAGAAAUAGUCGGUCCCACAAAAAAGGCUGAAAUUAAGUGUUUUUACUAAAAGACAUUCAAUUAGAACAUAUCAUGUAAGAAGGCCUAAAUUCAUCCAUACAUACGCAUUAAGUAUACUUGUGGGGUUAACAAUUUUAAGCAUGUAUACAUGUACAUCUAUUAUCUAUUAUAUAAUUAAGACAAGAGGCAAACAAGCCAUCACGUUCGUCCACAUAUGAUAAUAUUUUGUACACCGUUUCAUUAGAAUAAUAACGGUUGAGAUUUAAAGAUUCUUACGUAACAUCGUAAAAUAGAUGUGCCAGUACAAUUGAACUGUCAUGUUGUCAUGUUAUAUGCAUGUAUAAGCAUUAGGUAUGUAAAAAGAAGAAAAAAAGAGUAAAAAGACAUAUUGGUUUGUCGCGUUACAUGUACCGUCACGUAAAAGAGAUGGACACAGAAGGGUGCAAAUAACCAUGACGUGCACACAUGUACAUACAUGAAUAAGAGUUCUAGGAAAACUAAAGAUGAAAGUAGGGUCACGUGAGAAUUAGAAAGGGAAACCUAGGGGACGAAACUAGAACGUGAAGGCAGACUUCAACUUGGACACGUACAUGUUCUCAAAAAAAAAAAACUUGGACAUGUGCAUGUAACGGAGAAAAAAGCUUUGCAUGAAGGGUAUUCACUGGAAAAGAAUAUGCAUAUGUAAAUCUACCAACUUACAAGGAAACAUACUAAAAAGUCUAGCGUUCUAACGCAUAGCAUAAAAACCUUAUACUCUAUACUGUUACACAACAAAAAAUCAGCUAUUAGGCUCAAAUUAAAAUUUAACCGGUAGAACUGCACAUGCAAUUCAAACUAAAUAUAUUAUUGGUAAUUAGUCAUUCGCUAAUUUAUGAGAAGACGCUGCAAGACAACAAUAUAUUACCGAUUUUAUAUGAAUAUACACCAAUAGUUUUUUUUAAAAUAUACACCAACAGUUCUUAGCCUUAUAUGGUCAGGCUACAUAAACAAUUAGAGUACGAGGACUUUGUCAAGAACAUUUAGAAGCAUGUGUCGAAAGCCGAUAUCGAUGAUACUGCACUAUCUAUAAAAGGAAUGCACAACAAAUAGAGGUACACAACAUAAAUCUUACAUAUUUAAUUGAUGAUGAAAUGAUUUGGCGUGGUAAGAAUCUAAGAUAGGUGUAAUUGGUCACCUUUCGUCGGGCAUCGGUGGAUGUCGAAAGGAUUUCAACCUAAAAGACACACAUUUCAAGUAUAAUAUUUUUUGUAUUUAAAAAUCACAUAUCAGUGGCAAUGUGGCAUUCGACUUAACAUUUAUGUGUUGGAGGAAAUAGCGACUAACCAAGAGCAGUAGAAAUGUGGAAUUUGAUUAGUGUUAUGGGACAAGCGGCUAGCUUGGUAAGCUACCAACAAAAAAUUGCAAUCAAUGAUUAGUGUUAUGGAAUUAUAUGGCUUAGUAUUGUAAGGUGCUGAUCUCCAUGACAUAGCACACUUGAAAGAAGUAUUGUUAAACUGACGAUUCCAAGGUCUUAUGGCUUUCUCGGAGAUGCACAUUUUGGUCAUACGUUACUAUAUAAUAUAAAAGUUGGUGUUGAAAACAAUACUACAUAACAAUUAGACUCGAAUGAAUGAUAGAGAAUAUUUUACCAAAAGAAGAAAUCAAGCAUUAAUUAAGGAAAAAUCUGUGUCCUGCCUUUUUUUUGUUUUGAAAUCCGGUUAUAUUCAAAUAACUGGGCAGUGGGCACCAUUAGAACUGAACAAGCCCUGGACAGCCCAAGCGAGAAUAUUGUAUCAACUUUAACCAUGAAGUGGCUUUGAUAGUUACCUCACAAUGAGAAGAUGUACAAGCAUAUAAACGUAUAUAUGGAUAUAUGACAUGUAUUUAUAAGAACACAUGUGCAUAAACAGACGGUGUAUUGCUACAAGCCAACAAUUAAUGUUUAGAUUUUAUUGACAAAAAUUCUACAAGAAUAUUUGGUGAAAAGAUAAAUGAAAAUGGAUUUGAGAAGGUGGAAUAGUGAAAGCCACGUAUUAGUACAAAAUCAUAUGGUUUUCCAUGGUGGGACACAUGCCUUGGUUCUGUCUAUCUUUGAUUGCCAUAAUAACCCAGUCUGUACCAACAUCUUUAUACAUAUUACAAAAAUAUACGAUGUGAACUUUGGUGAUGAUUUAUAUAGAUAUAAAAAAAAUGUAAUUGGUUAUAUAAAUAUUUAUAUAAUGACAGAUCAAAUAAAAGAAGAUACAUAGAGAAAUAACAGCACAAAACAUAUAAUAUAAAUAAAGGAAGUCUAGCCGCGCAAACGCGCGGGUCACUAUAUAUAAAAUAGCUGGGCAACUAAGUUUUGGUGAACUUAUUGUGGAAGUACAUGUCGUCCCACGUUAUAUGAAGUGUGUGGUCGUUCUUGUCAUUAAGUAAGGAUACCCAUUCAGAGCAGGAUGCUUUAUGGCUAAGCUCCUAUAUUACUGCCGGCCCAAGUUGAUGACAGAGAAACUCCUGAUCAAACAAGCUGAUAUACGGGAGCACAUCACCUUGUCGAUGCUAUGGAGGAACUUGACGCCGAGACCGCGAUUAGUCAUCGCUUGAUCAAUAUCUGCGAGGAACUUGAGCUGCUACCCAUACUUGGUGACAGACAUGGUGCUCUCCUUGAGCAUGUGGUACUUGACGCUAAGACUGAUGAUGUGUGCGGAGUUAUUGUUGAGGAAGUACUGGUGGAGGCGAUUCCAUGCCGACAAGGCAAUGCCGUCAUUGGACAUCGCAAGUCCAGAAGACCAUCGUCGAUCAUGGUAUAGACCCACAACAUGAUCCUGAUGUCAGCACGCUGCUACUCGGGGUCAUCAAUUUCAAGUUCAGAUGUUGAAUAAUGUGGUUGAGUUCGGAGGCGGGGAGGACGAACCAGAAGAAAUGCACCAUUUAUGGUAGUUGUUGACAACUUGGGUCGAGUUUAAAGGUGAAGUAGGACUGGAUGUUGGUAUUAUGGACGACAAUCGGGCAUGAAGUUUGUAAAAGGGGUUGGGAGGUAAGAAGAGGGAGUAGAAGAAAUAGUGGCGACGGGCGCCAUGGCAUCAACAGAGAAACAUGGAGAGGUCUUGGGGGUUUGCGCCAUAAGUGACGUGGUGCUGGAGUUGGUCUGGCUGUUGUUCACUGGUGUUACCAAGCUGAACUCAGUAAUAUGUAUUGUUUGCCUCAAGGUUUACAAGUGUAAAUGUGCACAAUAUAUAGAGAAAGGUCACAGAGAGAGGCCUAACUAACUUCAACANNNNNNNNNNNNNNNNNNNNNNNNNNNNNNNNNNNNNNNNNNNNNNNNNNNNNNNNNNNNNNNNNNNNNNNNNNNNNNNNNNNNNNNNNNNNNNNNNNNNNNNNNNNNNNNNNNNNNNNNNNNNNNNNNNNNNNNNNNNNNNNNNNNNNNNNNNNNNNNNNNNNNNNNNNNNNNNNNNNNNNNNNNNNNNNNNNNNNNNNNNNNNNNNNNNNNNNNNNNNNNNNNNNNNNNNNNNNNNNNNAUGGGCUCUAGUACAACACGGUUGAGUUACAACAGUACAUACAUAUGGUGCGUAGAUGUUUAAUAAUAUUGAUUUGAAUUCAUGUAUGACGGGGUAACAAAUGGCAAAGAUUAACAAUAACAUUAGACUGCCUGCAAUAGGAAUAUCAUACUAGCUAGUAUCAUGCACGACAACUAAGCAUUUUUUAUGAGGUGAAUAUAAAUGAAGAAAAAAAGAGUCCAGUAUUAUAUCAUGAUAUCGUAUCAUAAUAAAUGUUAUGCUCCUAUGUGUCAUACAUAACAACAAAUAAGGCCAUAUCUAAGAUACUAAUACACGAUAUUAUGCAUUAUAGAGGUAAUAUGAUAGAAUAGUAUCAUAUGCAUGAUAUGAACUUAUGAUAUGUACAACUCAUUACGGGAGCCUUAGCCACGCAAAUGUAUGGGUCAUUUUGCUAUAAAUGAUCCUUCUGACGUCAAACUGCACGCAUUAUUGCACAGAUCACUUGCGUAGAAUUUAGCACAAAAAAUAUUGGUGCGCAGGGUAUAUGCUAUAUCAAAGUCAACCACAGUUAAUUAAGUGACACGAAUAAGAACUAGCUGUAUUCGCAAAAAAAAUGAAUAAGAACUAACUAGGUUUUCUUAUUAUUUUAUUGGCGGUGUAGUACUAGCUAUCCAGCUAUGGCUAUCCUCGCAUUGGCUCCCUAUAAAUAGCAUCCUGCUCCCUCAUAUGGACAUGUACCAGUUAAGCAGCCAGCUAGCUCAUCUCCAUUGCAUCUGUUCUUGCUCUAUUCUCCAUUAGAACCUCCCAAUUCAUCAAUGGCUUCAUCUCUGAAGGUGGCCGCUGUCGUCGCGGUUUGCAUCCUGCUUGUCCUGAACAUGGGCCAGCCGGCGGCAGCCACAGAAUGUGAAGAUUGUCUAGGCGCCUGUGUUGGCAUCUGCAUCGCCUACGCUGAAACAUCAUGCACCGGCAUAUGCACCGCCAUAACUCCUGCAUGUCAGGCAUGUAAGGACGCGGCCUUAAUUGAGUGCGGUGCAACAUGCUAUGGCGGUUGUACCCUCCUCUGCUAAACCACCGGCCGGCUGUGCCCUGUUGCUCGCCGUAAGCUAGGUGCAUGCUUGUGUUCGUUGUUACUUCGUUGUUGCUAUUAUAAGCCAAAUAAGCGAACUAAUGCCGUUGCUGUGUGCAUGUGGCAAAAGUUCCUUCGUUUUAUUGUUCCACCUCGUUUCAACCAUCAGUAAAUAUACUUGUGUGCAAGUUGUGUAUGUUUUGUGCUUCUUCGUACAUAUCAUGUGUCCAAUGUGUUGUCAUACUUAAACAAUAGGGAUAUAUCCUUAUCAAGAGAACGCAGUUCCAAAGUAUGUAGUUUCGCUUCCCUCACGGUAGGGUUUCUUCUUUCACUCAGCGCCUCAUAGUGGCGUAAAGAUUGCAUCUAAUUCCUUCACAACUUGUCUUCUUCCAGCAUAAAACUCCGUCCUAAAUUUUCUAUGAUUUUUCUUGUUCACCGAAAAUACUAGUUUCCUUUGCUGUGCUUGAUCGUUCAUGAAUUAUUCCAACUAGUUCCAUGCAAGACUAGUUUAAGACCAUGGACGGAUUAAUGUUAAGUGGUAGCUUAUUAUAUUGAUGCCAACUCCAUUAUAUGUAGAAGGGUUGACACCAUGGGCCCGCAAAGUAAACCAAUAUAUGGAAUUAAGCAUGCAAUUUAGGAAUACUUAAUGUGUAGUCUCCGUGGUAGCGACCAAAAUAUUGCAAACAGCGAUUUUCUAAUGCUAAGGAAUCAUUACUUUGAACAAGUUUCUCGGUGCUAGUUGCGUGUAGUCUAAUACGUAGUGGCAUUCAUGAGGAAUUGUGCCAAUCAAUGGAUAAUAUCUUAGUAGUCGCAUAUUACUCCGUCCAUUUGAAAAUACUUGUCGAAGAAAUGAAUAAAAAUGGAUGUAUCUAGAAGUAAAAUACGUUAGACACAUCCAUUUCAACGACAAUAUUUCUGGACCGCUCAUUGAUAUGGUCUAAUCUAGCAAGAACUACUAUUACAAGUACUUCGCAGCUACGUGCACCUGCUUCAUCGAGCAGGUUUACAUUCGCGGGGUGGGUAAUAAAAUGAGCGGCCCUGGUGUGCCCUAGUCGUAGUUGCCGACAUGCAUGGGUCAGCCGCUACGUACUUUCUUGCGUGUAAAGAGUGACCAAUGACACAGAUUGCGUGUAAAGAGUGCCUCUCAGCAGAAAAGCCCCCAAAAUCCCAUGAGACCUUAUUUUUGGGAUUUUAUAUGAUAACUAUGUAUGAUACUGCAUCAAUUAAUCACAAAAUAAUUUAUUUAUUAUUUUUAAAUAUAAAUAUAACUAUUUUGUGCCCAAGGGAGGUGGGGUCAGACCCUGGCCUCGGCAUUCUCAUACCGGUUCUGGCAGGCCCAACCAUUUUAACAUAUUUAUUUAUUUAUUUAUUCCGUGACUAAGCCGUUUUAAGUACUUGGUCAGCAAUCUCUAACCAAUGAUAAGAUCACAAGACAAGGCCUACUAUCUAUCUUCAUAGUCAACUGUGCCGCUAGUCACACUACUCCAAUCCAGUUAUAUUGAUGCGUGCUCAUCAUCAGUUCACCAUGUUUUAAAGCAACCGAGUUAUCUUUCUUUUUUGCGUGAAAGCUCCGUCUUUAUAUUAAAAUACUUCCAACAUUCCGGAAAAAAUAUCGUUGAUGUGGUUAAGAAGCAAUUUAACAAUACUUAGUGGGCAAUCUCCAUGACAACCAUCAAAAUAUUGCUAGCUAGUUUUCUAAUGCAAAGGAAUUAUUGCUUUCAAUAAGCUCGGUACUAGUUGCAUUGUUGUCUAAUAUGUGACGUUGGUAAGAAAUUGCCUCCAGCAAAGGAUAACAUCUUAAUUAACAUUAAGAGCUAGAGCCUUGCCUAUUUUUUCCUAGAAACUGGGCCAACGUUGUCGCGUACGGAUUAAUAAAGUAGUAAGUAUUCUGUAUUUUCUCAUUGAUAUAUAGGAAUGGACCAGUGUAUAUGUGGAGUGCACACAAUCCCUUGCUGGAACUAAGCCGUUUUAAGUACUUGGUCAGCAAUAUCAAACCAAUGAUAAGUACACAAGACUGGGCAUCCUUUAUAACACUAAGCUCCCUAGUUUUAAUGAGCGUACAUUCAAUUGAGGUUUCCAGUUAAAAUUGAGUCCCGAUUUUGACCGAGUCAACAAUUUCUCAAAGCCCCAUGAUUCUAUUCUUUUAUUGCUUUCUAAUUUUUUAGGCCUCACAACUAAUUGAUGUAUUAAAUUUAGAAUUGGGUCAUCCAAAUUUGAUCGAGUCAACAAUUUCUCAAGCUCACACUUUCAAUUCUUUUCAUUCACCAUAUUCCAAAAUUUUGAAGCUCUCAUUCAAUUGAGGUAUUCAAUUUUGAUUUGGUUUACUGUUUUGACUGGUCCAACGAUUUUUCAAAUCAAUCAACAACAACCGACCUAUAAAAACAUAUCAAUCCUCCGCACCCUCCCACCACCUAAAAGAAGCAUCGUCAUGUGAUACUAUAGCAUCAAUAUAGUACAUGCAAUCAUCGACACGGAAAUGUCCACACAUAAUUAUAGGUUGUUUAGCCAAUAACACGGAAUCACACCAUGAAAGGCGCACCAAAUCACCGCAUUAUAAGUAAAAAUAAACCACACUAUCAUCUCUUCCACCCGCCAAACUAAAUAUUCCAUCAGCUAUAAAAUAUAAGGGGUCCCCAACACGCACGAGGAUUAGCCCCCGCGUCGUCUUCCUGGCGGCUCGGGGGAGAAAAAACCCUAGCCACCGCGACUCCUCCCCCUCCCCUCCUAGUCUCGCCGCCGCCGGAGGGGUCGCCCUGGAAAAGGCCGGGCGGCCUUGAGGAAGCUGGCGGCGGGGCAACGAUUCCCUUUUGGUGGCGCGAGCAUGCGAGAGCUCCGCGCGCGGCAGAGGAGUUGCGGACGGCGGCAGCCACCGCCACGGGACGGGAAAAGCACGGCGAUCCAGUUGGCCUGGCGCUGCGGGCGCACCAUGCGUGGCGACGGUGUGGCCUAUGAUCUCCUACUUGGCGGCUUGGAUCUGGGGCUUCUGAUCUGGGUCGGGCAUCCAGGUUGGGGCUUUGCCUGGUGUCACGGUGACGGCUACUCUGCUGCGUGCUGGCCUGUUGGUGGUGGCCGGCCAGGAGGCGGCGGUGGAUCUGGCUUCAGAUCUAUCCGGUGGCAAGUUUGGAGUGGCAAGACUUUCAGAGAAAACCAAGCCUCAACUACGGUCAUGGUGGACGAUGGCGGCGUCUUUUGGCGUCGUUACCUUGUCGAAGGCAUCGUCAUAGCAAGUCGCGUCACUCCUUUCGGCCUGCUCUGGGGGAAACCCUAGAUCUGUUGUCAUGGAUCGGGCGAUGGCGACGUCAGGCACCGCGCUCCUUGCUGGGGGCAUCGUUUUGGAGCAGGUACCGACUUGGGUGGACAGGUGGUGGAGCGGCGUGGUAUCUAUCGCUCAUCAACGACUGGUCUCGGCGGCGUGGCGCAGCGGGGUCUCGCUGACAGAUGCGAGAUGAUGGACGCCCGCAGGGGGGCGGCGCUGUCUGGCGUCAUGGUGGUGUCGACAGCAGCUAGACCCGGCGAGGUAGAUGCAAUAGUACAUCACUGAAAAUGGAUUGGUGGCAGGUGGCUGCGACGGCCUCAUACCUGGUAGGCGUCCUGGUUGAGGAGUACGCCGGACUGGUGGGUGCCCCAUACCCGGCAGACGUCCUCGUUGGGACCUCAGGUCUUAGAUGUUUGGUUUGGUUGUGAGGUAUGUUUGUUAUUAGGCCCAGACUAUCAGCAUCCCUUCAUCAACUGGAUUGGAGUAAUGACAGAUGUUGCCUAGACGGUGACUUUAGUCUUACUAUUGUAUGACUUUGUAAGGUCUUAUGUGAAUAAUUAAUAAAGUGGAUGCAUGCAUCGUCCAGAUGCAGAGGCCGGGAGUCCUUCUCCUUUUCUAAAAAAUAUAAUAAAAUAUAAAGGGUAUUAGGUUUUUAGAAAGACAAAUUUCUUUAGCUUUGACCAAGUUUAAAGCAAAACAUCGACAUCCACAAUAUUAAACAAAAAAAAAGUAUGGAAAUUCAAUUUUUUUUGAUGAAUCUGAAAAUACUGAUUUGAUAUUAUGGAUUUUGAUAUAUUUCUUUACAAAUUUCAUCAAACUUAAAAGGUUUGACUUUUCAAAAACAAUAAUACAUCUUAUAUUUUGAAAAGUGUGAUUAUUUUUUUAACAAAACCAACAAACACGAAAGUAUAUUUUGGUAUAUUAAAUAUAUAUUUUUGCUUUGAAAAUAUAUAUUUGUUGUAGUCACCUUGUUUUGUAUGAGGAAUUCAUCAGCAAGGAGUGCCAAGAAAUAGUCAGUUGUACUAAAAGCUGAACUUUCAAUGCUUUUAAUAGAAAGAACAUUCGUACAUAUUAUUUAAGAAUGCCUAAAUUGAUCCUAUGCAUGUAGUAAGAACACCUGCGGUGUUAUAUUAUUAAGUAUGCAGAUGUAGAUUAUAGGAUAAUUGGACAACUAAGUAUUCGGGAUUACUCUGGAAAUACACAGUAUGAUCUUCAUAUCGUUAUACGAAGUGUGUAUAGCCCUUUUUACUAGUGAGUAAGGGUGCUCAGUCAGAUCAGAAUGCUUUAUGGUCGAACCCGGACUGCCAACAGGAGUUGAUGACUGAGAAAUCUUCGAUUAAACAAGGUAAUCAUGAGCACCCAUAAUCUUGUCGGUGUCAUGGAGGGAACUAGAGGAAGAGAUUCCGAUCAGUCGUGGCCUCAUCAACUUCAGCAAGGGAAUCACCGAGGAACUUGGACUAUGAUGCAUACUCAGCGACCGACAUGGUGCCCUGCAUGAGAAUGCAGUACUUCCUGUUAAGAUGAAUGGCGUGGGUGGCAUUGUUGUUGAGGAAGUACUGGUGGAGGCGAGUCCAUGCUGAUAAGACAAUGUCGUCGGAGGACAUUGCCAGGUCCAGAAGACUACCGCCGAUAGUUGUGUAGAUCCAACAGAAGAUCCCGGUGUCGGUACAUCGCAGCUUGGGAUCGUCGACGUAAAGUUUGAACGUCAUGUUAAUGUGGUCGAGUACAACGCCGUAACGCAGGUGGAGAGGAUGAACAGCAAGAAAUCAGACGUUUAUGAUAGUUGUUGGUGGGUGGGUCCAGUUUGAAAGGGAUGUAAGAGUGGAUGUUGGUAUUGUACACGGCAAUGGGGGCCUGAAGUUUGAAAAAUUAAUUGGGAGGGUACGAAGAGAGAGUUGAAGCAGUGGUGAUGAUGGGAACCAUGGCGCCGACAGAGAAACUAGGAGAGGUCUGCAAGGUUUGCGCCAAAAGGGAGGUGGCACUGGAAUUGGUCUGGGUGUUGCUCAAUGGCGAGCAGAUGGCUCUGAUUACAAAGGUGAAUUAUAUAAUGCUUGCAUCCAGGUUUACAAGUGUCGAUGUACAACACAUCAGAUAAUGAAUAGAGAGAGCCCUAACUAACUGCAACAUACGGAAAAAGGCACCCACAGGUGCACGAGAGAUCUUCGAUCCUAACCUCUAAGGACUAUGGUACAACACGAGCUUUGCUAUACCUGCGGGGGCUCGUGUGGGGAGGGGGUUACGUAAUGUUUUGCCAAUUUCUAAUUGUUCAUUGGUGGGGGCGUGGGGCCCAUCCUAAAAUUCAGGGGUGUGUUUGAUUAGUUCAGAAUGAAGUUACGUAGGAUGCAUUACGUAGUUCUAGCAUGUUUGGUAGUACGGGUACAACGGUACAUACAGAUGAUGCAUUGUUUAACAAUAUUAAAUUGAAAUCAUGUACUACAAGGGUUAGCAAAUGGCAAAGACUAACAAUUCUCAUGUCAAAGUGCAAACAUUCAAUCAUUGGUGCACAAUGAACAUAUGAUAUUGAAGUCAACAACAGUUAAAUUAAACAAUAUGGAUCGCACUCAAAAAAUAUUUAAGUGAUACAGAUCAGCAAAUUUGCUAGUUCUGGUUUUUUUUUUGUGAGGUGGAGAAAGAAUGCUAGCUAGCUAGCUAGCUAGUUCUGGGUAGUCCUCACGUUGGCUGCCUAUAAAUAGCAUCCUGCACCAUCAUAUGGGAAUGCACCAGUUAAGCAGCUAGCUAACUCAUCUCCAUCCAUCGCAUCUCUUCUUCCUCAAUCCUCCACUAGAACCACCCACCCAAUUCAUCAAUGGCUUCAUCUCUGAAGGUGGCCGCUGCCGUCGCCGUGGCCGUUUGCGUCGUGCUUGUGCUGAACAUGGGCCAGCCUGCGGCAGCCACAGAAUGCAAAGAUUGUCUCGCCGACUGUGUUGACGUUUGCGUCGACUACUCUGACACUGCGUGCAGUGGCAUCUGCACCGCCAAACCUCCUGCAUGCCAGUCAUGCAAGUACACGUCCUUCCUUACAUGCGGUGGCACAUGCUACGGCCCCUGUGCCCACUUCUGCUAAAGCCUAUAGUGGCUGUAAGCUGUCUGUGUGUGUUGGUACCUCGUUGUUGCUAAGCCAUGUAAAUAAGUGAACAAAUGCUAUUGCUCUGUGCAUAUGGCAAAUGUUCCUUCGUUUUAUUGUUCCCCUUUGUUUCAACCAUCAGUAAAUAUACAUGUAUGUGUGCAAGUCAUGUACUCCUAUAUAUGCUUUCUGCUUCUUUCUAUCAUGUUUCUGACCUGCUCAUGCUGGGGUGGAUAUCAGGUGAUACCACCUAUUACAUGCUCCCAUGCUAAAAAAAUUAAAAAGUCAUAGUUAGAUGUUUCAAAAAAAUUGAAAACAAUUAUGGAUGUUCACAAGACAUACGCCUAUAACCCCUAAAAAUUCAGAUCAAAAUUCGAAAUAUACAUUGAGAAACAAAAAGACAAAUCUAUAUGUCAUGUUUUGUCUUCUUUUACACUAUUCAUUCUAGAUUUUUCAUUUUUGUUUCUCAAUAGGUAUCUCAAAUUUGGGUCAGACUCUUUUAGGGGUCGUAGUCAUAUGUCUUGUGAACAUCUACAAAGUUUUUCAGAACAUCUAAAUGUGAUUGAUAGCUAGCAUAAAUAUCCAUCCAUGAUAGAUCCUUCUUCCUUCCACUCCGCCAUCAUGGAUUGGACUUGGCUUUGGCUUUGGGGCUGGUUCAUCUGAAGUGCUCCCAGACAUAGAGCUCUGACCUAUUUUCCUAAGAAAUUGGACCAAUGUUUUCAUACUGACGAAUUUAGGAAUAGUUCUGCUGCAUUUUGUUCAUUGAUAUAUACGGAUAGGGCAGUGUAUAAGUGGAGUACUUCGCUGAUGCCAGCAAGUUAGUAACCAUCACUUACACGCGUUAACAAAUUCUUCUGUAACAAGUAGUUUAAUAUCAUUCACAAAUUAAUGUCAAGUGGUAGUAGCUUCUUCUAAUAAUGUCAACUCCAUUCACCAAUCAUUCAGGAUCAUGACAAAUCAAAGAAGGUUCCACACCUUCAUAAAUUUGGCGCCACCUUUUACCGAUUAUAAAGAUCCAAAUUUCAGCGAUUGUGUUGUGGAUGCUCUUAAUCUUGUAUUGUUUCAUCCAUUGACACACCCAUUCCGUAAAUGAAACGAUUGAAACAACUUUUAAUAUUAGAGUUAGUGAUGACAAAUUCAUGAAAUUUAUUUUUUAGGGUGUUUUAAAAUAAAAAACAAUGUGUCCUUACCUGAGCAUUUUUAAGUGAUUUUGGGAAGUGAAAUCACACAAGAACACUGUGUGAGAGCCGAAAAUAAAAAAGAAAUGUAAAAGAGUUAGUACAUCGGGCCUGCGUGACCAUCUCCAUGGUACAGCUAGGCUACUGCUGGAGAACGUUUCCCACAGCGCUUACAAGCCCUAAUAUCUACUCCUCCAUCCAGAAUUACUUGUCGCAUAAAUAGAUGGAAAUGAAUGUAUCUAGAAUUAAAAUACAUCUACAGACAUGCAUUCUUCCGACAAAUAUUUUCGGACGGAGGGUGUAUCUUGGGCCAGUGACCAGCAACAUCAGAUAGCAUUAGUUAUCUUCUCUCCUUUCCAUAAAGGGAGGAAUGAUCGGGCCAAGGUCGCCUAAUUUUGCCAUGGCCUCUAGCCAACCACCCCAUCGGGCGUAGCCAAGCCAUGAACGCUUCUCUUCUCUCUUACCGGAGCCUGAUUUUUAGGCUAAGUAUCGUAACUAGUAUCAGACAUGCCGAUUAUGCAAUUUUAAUGAGGUGGCAUAGAAAUCUAUAAUACUAUGCAUUACGGAGGUAGUAUCAUACACUAGCAUAUGAUACUAAUAUAUGAUACUCCCCACUACAACCAGCCUAAGUAAUCAGGUGCUCCAAAGUGAAAAUGUGUGUCUAGUGUGCAUAAUAAAGUGCCUAGGUGGACAAUACAUGCAUGUCCAUCCUUGGGCAGCAUAGCAGCCAACCCUACCCUACCACAUGCUGGCAAUUGUUUAUUAUGUUGAUCUCAUGUCAGUGUGGCCAUGCGAGUGUUAAUUAAGUAUUACUAAUACUUGUCGUUCAAACGGAUGUAUUUAGAAACAAAGUGAGACCUUCAUCUCGUGAGAAAGACCGCCGAUGGCUACCGGCCAUCGCCCUCGCGCCAGGAAGAGUACGUUGCCGUGCAGUCCGCCGACGUGGAAGACAAGUUUAUCAAGUUUAUCAAUUCUACUUGCAUAUAGUACUCCCUCUGUUUUUAUUUAGUUCGCAUAUUAGCUUUGGUCAAAGUCAAACUUUACAAACUUUCAUCAAGUUUAUUAACAAAAAUAUUAUGAUAUACAAUAACAAAUCAACAAUAUUAGAUUUAUUAUUGGAUGUACUUUCACCUCGAAUAGAUUUAUUAUGAUAAAUGUCUAUAUUGUUUUCUAUAGACUUGGUCAAACUUUACGAAGUUUGAUUUUAGUCAACUCUAAUAUGCGGAGUAAAUAAAAAUGAAGGGAGUAUAUUGUCUAAUAAGUAAUAACCUUCGUAAGGAAUUGCGCGGAUCCAAGGACACCAUCUUAAUUAGCAUACUACUAAGAUUCGAAGAUAUAUGCUAUGCAUAUUAGAUUCGCCUCAAGUCAAACUUUAUAAAUUUUGAUCAACUUCGUCCAAAAAAUUGUGAACAUCCACAAUAUGAAAUCAACAUCACUAAAUGCCGGCCUAGAGAGACACGAGAGCUUCUACGUGGCAUGCCAUCAACCUUCAACCCGGGUAGUGCGAAGUCAACCGCUCGAGCUGAUUCCAUCCAUGCACGCAUCAGGCCGACCUCCAACCGGGAUAGAUGCCCUUAAGGCAUAUACAAUGGUACUAUCUUAGAAAUGUCAUGUAGGAUAAUUACUAGGAUAAAGGAAAGAAAAACAAAUAAAAAAAGUGUUCCAUUUCUCUUACUUAUGAGAUGAUCUGUUAGCCCCAUAUCUUUUACCAUUACUCCUUGCAUAUGAGAAUAUAUUUUUAUUGCGGAUAAAACUAAGAGAUACCCCAUUCUACCCGUGAUUUUAUUAUCAUCUCUAAACUACAUGGUAGGCUUCAAAGAUAAAAUUGUUUUUUCAACCAUUGUACAUGCCUUUAGUAGGUUUUUGGCUGGGGUACCAAGUAUAGUUUUUCAAGAAAAGUCUCCUUCCUCCUUCCGCCAGCGCUGCUGCCGAUCCGCCCCACCUCCAAUGGCCCUUGGGCCGUGGAGGUGCGGAGGACCUCGGCGGGAGGGACCCCGUUCUCUUUUUCGUUAGGUUCAAUGUCUUGAUUGGAACUGUGUGGCGGUGGCGAUGUCCCUCUGUACAAAUAAUGUCACCCACGUCAUAUCCCUGUCCCAAUGGUGCGGAUAGCAUCGUCGGAGGAUGUGUGGAGGUGUGUCUUCAUCAGAUCUCGUGGAAUUCGGUCGGUGCUAGUCUUCGGUGGAUCUAGUUGGAUCCAGUUUUUGGUUAUCUUCGUUCAUGUGGUUUCAGGUUUGAUCUUUCUGAUCUGCAAGUCUCUUCAUCGGUGAUGGUUGCUGCUCUAGUGCACGGUUCUUUUGGGGCCUUGGCACGAUGACUUCCUGGUUGUCUACUAUAACAAGGUUUGUCCGGCCCUGGUGAGGCAGGGGCGAUGAUGGCGGCAAGCCUUCGGCUCGUUCCAAUGCUUGUAGUCGUUGGUAGGUGGUUCAUAGGCCUGGUUGUAAUUUUAUUACAUUUUGUGUUCUCUGUAUUGCCAUGAUUGAUGAAUGGAUUGGAAAUUUCUCUCGAGACAAAAAUUAGGUUUUUGGCUAAUAGUGAUAAAUUAUGUGGCAUGCACAUGCGGCGGUACCAUAAUCAAGGUGCCUUCACGUGCUACGUGGAUGGACAUGCAUAGCCCUACCACGUGCUAUUGUUUAAGUUGAGCUCAUGUCAACAAACACACCGCAAAUUAAUCUAGUUGGUCAAACCAAAUCAAUAGAUCGAAGAAGAAAUACAGAGCUAUAACAAUCAUGCAUAAAAGAGUUCGGAGAAAACUCAAAUAAUAUUCAUGAAUAGAUCUGAUCAUAAACUCACAAUUUAUCGGAUCCCAACAAACACACCGCAAAAAAGAAUUACAUCGGAUAGAACUCCAAGAACAUCAAGGAGAACAUUGCAUUGAAGAGCAUCAAGAGAGAAGAAGAUAUCUAGCUACUAACUAUGGACCCGUAGGUCUGUGGUAAACUACUCACGCAUCAUCGGAAGGGCAGCAAGGUUGAUGUAGAUCCCCUCCAUGAUUGAUUCCCCCUGCGGCGGAGUGCCAGAAAAGGUCCCCGGAUGGGAUCUAUCGAGAACAGAGGCUUGCGGCAAUGAAAAAGGUAUUGUGUGGACUCCUUUGUUGGUUUCCCGAUUUUCAAGAAUUUAUAGAAGCAGAGUUAGGUAAAACAAAGCUACGUGGGUCCCACAAGCUACAGGGCGCGCCCUGGUGCCUUGUGGGCUACUGCUCCAUCUUCUCAUCCCCUCCUAAAGCUUCCAGGGUCUCUUGCCAGAAAAAAAAUCUCCAAAAAAAUUUUGUGGCAUUUAGACUUCGUUUGGUACCAAAAAAUAGCAAUUAACACUAGGCACUAAGUUAAUAGGUUAAUCCAAAAAAAUGAUAUAUAGUUGCGUGUAAGUAUAUAUAAAAUAUCCAAGAUUAAUAUUAUAAUACCAUGUAACAAUAAAAAAUUAUAGAUACGUUGAAUACAUAUCAACAGAAAAGGGUUGCGGGAAGGAUAAUGCCGGGAACAUAUUGUGGAAAAGUUUUGCGGGAAAUUGCGGGUGCCGGAAUAAAAUUACGGUCCAAAAUAUGGUUCCAUUCAACCAUUGGCUGAAAAUUUUGGUCUCAUGCAGCUGUCGUCUUAGCCUAAGCCGAUUUGAACUAAUCGGCUUCAGCCUUCUCUAUUAGUACUAAUUGGCUACGGUUAAGAUGCUUAGUUCCAAUCGGCUUAGUCUAAGAUGACUAGAGCUAGUCGGCUUAGGUUAAGCCAACUGGACACUAACCAGCUACGUCGUGGCAGAUUGGAUCUAGUCGGCUUAACCUAAGCCGAUGCUGGAUUAUUUUUAUAAUAUACAAACCGUGUAUUACUUUCCAAAUUGAUUACAAAUAUAUCAUUUUAAAAAAUUAGCCUCAUUCUACCCUCAUGUUUAGGAUUUCGUUCAUUCCAGAUUGUCUUGAUAUUUUUCUUCGGUUCACACCGUCGUAUUAAAUGACAAAAACGGUCCCAAUAAUUUGGUCAUAAACAUGGGGGCGGAAUGUGUUUCCAUCUUGAAGAUGUAUGUCCUUAAGGCGUAUACAAUAGUACUAUCUCAAAAGUGACACAUAGGAUAAUAACUAGGGUGAAGGAAAGANNNNNNNNNNNNNNNNNNNNNNNNNNNNNNNNNNNNNNNNNNNNNNNNNNNNNNNNNNNNNNNNNNNNNNNNNNNNNNNNNNNNNNNNNNNNNNNNNNNNNNNNNNNNNNNNNNNNNNNNNNNNNNNNNNNNNNNNNNNNNNNNNNNNNNNNNNNNNNNNNNNNNNNNNNNNNNNNNNNNNNNNNNNNNNNNNNNNNNNNNNNNNNNNNNNNNNNNNNNNNNNNNNNNNNNNNNNNNNNNNNNNNNNNNNNNNNNNNNNNNNNNNNNNNNNNNNNNNNNNNNNNNNNNNNNNNNNNNNNNNNGCUCGCCUACUAGCGGGGAUCCAUCCGACGGCGCUGCAAGAUCCGGUGUGGUGGGCCUCUUCGCCGGCGUCGGGGGGUGGAUCCGGGGCUGCUCAGGCCGGAUCCGGCGCGUGGUGGUGCGGUGCUGAUGGCGGCGGGAUCGAGCGCGCGAGGUCCUGCUGGUCCGAUGUCUCGUGGCGGCUCGUCAUGGCUCUGUGGUGGGCGCUGGCUGGAGGAGGAGAUGCCCGACGCAGCUGGCUGGUGAUGGCGUGUCGCUGUGAAGCGCGCAGGCCGGUGGCGGCUUGGUGCUCCUCGCCGCGGAGGCGCUCGAGCCAGGCCAGAUCUGCGCUGGCUGGAGGUGAGGGCUCAUGGCCGGCGCACGACAGGUGAGGUGGUGAUGCGGAGGGCCUGACGGGGUGUGGCAGAGGAGAUGUGGCUCGAUUUGGUGGGGGCGGCGCCAGCGGGAGGCAGUGCUGGGUUCUCACGGGCAGGUUGGUGGCGCGCUGUGAUGGCUCCGUCAAGAUGGAGCCUUGCGAGCAGCGAGCGGUCGGUCAUCCCUGUGCGGCGUGGCGAGCGGCGGUGCUUUCCUGGUGAUGCCGGCCUGGGAUUUCUCCGUGGAGAGGCGGGUCUGAUUGUCGCAAGGCCGUUCCUUGGAGUGGGUGACGGCCGUCGCGGGCAGUCCUGGACCUGGCCGGAGGUGUUGGUUGGCUGCGGACCCUCGUGCAGGCUGGGAGUGGAUGGUGUGGCCGUGGUUUCCCUGCCGGGUAGUCGGUCGUUGGUCCUCGGCUAUGCAGCUACUUCGGCAAGUGCUGCGGUGGCGGCGGUGUGAGGCUUCUUGGCAGUGCUACCAAUCCCAUGGAGGCGUGGCGAUGUGCGAAGCGCGGAUGAAAAUUUUGCACGGCUUCUGCCGGGCCGGCGGUGAUGGCACCUGUGGAUGUCAUUCCCCUCCUUGGAGGCAUCGUCGAGUUUGUUCGCCCCAUCCCUCGCGCUCUCGGUGUUGGUGGAUGUCUCCGGGUGAAAGCCUAGAUUCGAUGUUCGGAUCGACACGAUGGCGGUGUCCUCGACGCCGCUCCUCUGUUGGGAGCAUUGUGUUUGGAGACAUGACUGGUUCCUCGUUGCUCUCCUCCGGUGUUCGCCGCUAUCCUUUUCUGAUCUUCAGUGGCGCUAUGUACGUUGGUCGACGGUGAAUCCAAGGCGGUGUCUUCCCGGAUUGGAUCGAGUCCUGCCAUUCAUCUGCCACUUUCUCUUAGGCGCUCAGGGUGGAUGGUGCGUCGACAAGAGAAGUUCUGCGGAAGUGUGGUCUUCGGAGGUGUCCGGCGUCGGUCAGAGACGCGGUGCUGUGUAUCAGUUUAGGAUAGGCUUUUUGCUUUGUAGCUUGCCUAGCGGUGGUGUUUGUUUGUGGUCUUGUCGGUGUGGUGUUCGUGCUACACUCGUUGUUCGCAUCGCUUUCUUGUAACUAAAUCCUGCCUUCUAUAAAGCUAUGGUACGCCUAGGCGUACUCUCAAAAAAAAAGAAAGAGAAACAAAUAAAAAAAUGUUCCAUUUCUCUUAAUUAAAAGAUGGUCUCUCAGCACGAUUUUUGUUACCAUAUACUCCUUGUAUUUAAGAAUGUUUUUUUAUUAAAGACAAAACUAGAUGAUAAUCCAUUAUAUCCACGUGAUUUUAAGUUGGUUUUUGCCUAAUAGUGCAUGGCAUGCACAUGCGGACCAUCAUGAAGCCAUGAAGGUGCCCCCUCUGGAUGAACAUGCAUGUCCUUGGGCUGGGCAGCAGCGUGCUACUGAUACUUGUUUAAGCUGAGCGUCAUCUGAGUGUGGCCAUCAGGCAACAAGAGAGAAGACCACCGAGAUCUGCCGAUGCCCGCCGUCGCGCCCGCGCCGGAGGACCAUGUGGCCGCGGACGCCACCAAGCUCGUCGCCCUCCACUUGGAAGACGAUGAGCGGCAAGGGGGCUGCUGCUGCUGCUGCGG
rnacentral:lncRNA from 1 species